rnacentral:lncRNA from 1 species
AGAGAGUUUCUCUAGAUGGAUGCUUUCCGAGAUUCUUCUUCCUCCUCUUACCGGUGUUCCUAUCAUGCCUUCUUGAGUUUCAGAGGCCCAGACACGCGCAAGGGCUUUACUGAUCACCUCUAUAUAGCCUUGGAGCAAGCAGGAAUCCACACGUUUAGAGACGAUGAUGAAAUCGAGAGAGGGGAGAAUAUUGAGUUGGAGUUAGACAAGGCGAUACAGGAGUCACAAGUAUCGAUAAUUGUCUUCUCCAAGGGCUACGCUUCCUCAAGGUGGUGUUUGAACGAACUUGUGAAGAUCGUGGAACGUAGAAAUACUGAUCGUAGACAUGUGGUUCUGCCAGUUUUCUAUGAUGUGGAUCCAUCCGAUGUCAGGAAGCAGAGUGGUUCUUUUGCUGAAGCAUUUGCCAGACAUGAGGAGCGAUUCAGUACGGAGGAGAUGGACAAGGUAGAGCAGUGGAGAAGAGCUCUUAGAGAUGUUGCAUCUUUGGGAGGAAUGGUUUUAGGAGAUCGGUAAUUUCUUUUCUCAUUAUGUUCUCACGCUAAUUGAAAGUGUCUUUUAAAUUAGAAAACUAGAUUUUAAUCCCUAAACAAGGUAGAGUUUAGAAAAAUAUUUUAUACAAGAUUAAAAAUUGAUUUUAGUCAUUAGACGUCAGCAUAUAUAUAUAUAUAUUCAAUGUCUCUUGUUUUAUUUAUAAUUUUAUGAAAAUAUUAUGAAUUUUAAUUCUAUAAGAAAAUAUUUUCGUAGAGAUUUUUCGGUACGCAUAUGUUUUUGCAUAUUUUCUUAUUUGCCACUAAUUCAUUACAAUAUAUUUAGGUACAAAUAUUUUGGUACACUGGGUUAGUAUAAUAUGUUUAGGUACGGACAUUUCGGUAAACUAGUUUAGUAUACUAUAUUUAGGUACUGACAUUUCGGUACACUAGUUUAAUAUCAUAUAGUUAGGUAUGGAAUUCUCGGUUUACUUAUGUUUUUAUAUAUUUUCUUAUGUGUCACUAAUUCACUACAAUAUAUUUAGGUACUUGCAGUUGGGUACAUUAAUUUAGUAAAAUAUAUUAUGAUACAGACGUUUAGGUAUACUAAUUCGAUAAAAUUAAAUAAAAUUUAUUAAGUUAAAUAAAAUUAAUGAAUUAAAAUGUGUAUAAUAAUAAAUUUAAAAUUUAAUGUAAUAACAUUAAAUAAGUUAUCUAUUAAAUAUAAAAACAAAAAUAUAAUAUGAAUUUGAAUUAAGUACACAUUAAGGGACUAAAAUCAAUAUUCAAUCAAACACAAGAUUUUUAUUAAAUUUUAAUUUUCUUGAAGGAUUAAAGUUCAAAAACCCUUAUAGAAAACUAAAUUUUAAUCCUUGGCAAAUACGACUUUUAGACUAAAACCAUGAGUAAAAUCAAAAUCUAAUUUUUGUCCUAUGAUACAUUAAUAACCUCAUUUAUUAAUUAUAUAUAUUUUUUAAUUAUUUCUCUUUUUCUUCCUAAUUUUUAAUGUAUUAAUUUUAUUUCACUAUAAUUUUCAUUUUCAUUUCAUUUAUCGUAAUAUAUUUUGUUGUAAACAUUUAGAUAAACUAAUUUUCGUUACAUAAUAUAUUUUGAUGUACUUUGUCUUUUUCAUUUAGGUAUAUUAAAUUCAUUAUAAUACAUUUCAAUGCAUACAUUUAGAUACACAUAUUUCGGUACAUACAUUUCGACAUAAACAUUUAGGUACAUUAAUUCAAUAUAAAAUAUUUAGAAAACUAGAUUUUAAUUCUUAAAUAAGAUGAAGUUUAGAAAAAUGUCUUAUACAAAAUUAAAAAUUGAUUUUAAUCCUUAGACUCUAUUUAAUGUCAGCACAUGUAUUCAAUGUCUAUUUUUUUUUAUUUAUAAUUUUAUAAAUUUAAAUUUUAUGAAAAUAUUAUAAAUUUUAAUUGUCAUUAUGGUAAGCAUCUUAUAUAAGAAAAUAUUUUCGUAGAGAUUUUUUGGUACACUUAUGUUUUUGCAUAUUUUCUUAUUUGCUACUAAUUCAUUACAAUAUAUUUGGGUACAAACAUUUCGGUACACUGGGUUAGUAUAAUAUGGUUAGGUGCGUAUAUUUCGGUACACUAGUUUAGUGUAAUAUAUUUAGGUACCGACAUUUGGGUACACUAGUUUAGUAUCAAAUAGUUAGAUACGGAAUUUUCGGUACACUUAUAUUUUUACAUAUUUUCUUAUGUGUCACUAAUUCACUACAAUAUAUUUAAGUACGGGCAUUUCGGUACACUAAUUUAGUAAAAUAUAUUAUGAUACAGACGUUUAGGUACACUAAUUAGGGAAAGUUAAAUAAAAUUAAUGAAUUAAAAUGUGUAUAAUAAUAAAUUUAAAAUUUAAUGUAAUAACAUUAAAUAAGUUAUCUAUUAAAUAUAAAACAAAAAUAUAAUAUGAAUUUGAAUUGAGUACACAUUAAGUGACUAAAAUCAAUAUUCAAUCUAACACCAGGUUUUUAUUAAAUUUUAAUCUUCUUGAAGGAUUAAAGUUAAAAAAAACCCCUUUUAAAUUAAGUAAAGGUUUUUUUAGCCAAAAUGAUCAUGAGAUUUGCAUAACUCACAACUUUAGUCCCUGAGAUUUAAAAUCAAUAGAAGGAGUCUUUGAGAUUGUCCACCAUCAAUCAUUUUGGUUCUUGGGUGAAAAAUUAAGUUAAAUAAGGAUCAAAAUGAUAAAAUUAUCCUUAAUUUAAUAAACAAUAGGCCAAAAUGAUUUGACCAAAUUGAGGGUAUUUUUAUCAUUUUAUCCUUAUUUUAUGGAGAUUUUUCACUAAAUAACCAAAAUGUGAACAAACUCGGGACCAAUUAUAUCGAUUUCAAAUAUCAGGACCAAAGUAAGCAGUUGUGUAUUUUGGCUAAAAAACCUUAAGUAAAAUUGUAGAUGGCAGUGAAACUUGAAGUUGUUCGAUUUUGGUUUAUAUGCUCCUAUAUAUACUGCGAUUUUGGUUUAUAUUUUUCUAUCGAUUUUGGUUUAUUUGUUCUCAUGCUUAUUUCUGCGUCGUAUAUUUCGAUUCAAAUGAAUUACAGGCAUGAGGGGCAGUUCAUCCGAGAAAUUGUUGAAAAGAUUAGAAAUAAAAUGGGUCACGCAGCUUUACACGUCACUCCCUUUGCAGUUGGAAUGGAUAAUCGUGUGAGACGCCUAAACAUGUGGUUACAAGAUGGAUCAAAUGAUGUUGGUUUAGCUGUCAUCUGUGGGAUGGGUGGAAUUGGCAAGAGCACCAUCGCGAAAGCCGCUUAUAACCGCAACUUUGAAAGAUUUCAAGGUAGCAGCUUUCUUGCAGGUAUACGAGAAUCUUCAGAACAAUCCAAUGGUGUUGCUCGCUUGCAAAGAAAACUUCUUUCAGAUAUCCAAAAGGGGAAAGCAAAGAAAGUAUACAAUAUGGAUGAAGGAACAAUCAGGAUCAAACAAGCCGUAGGCAAUAAAAAAGUUCUUAUUGUUCUUGAUGAUGUGAGCAACCGGGAUCAACUCAAUGCAAUUCUUGGAAUGCGAGAGUGGCUUCAUCCAGGAAGUAAAAUUAUCAUAACAACUAGACAUGAGCAUUUGUUAAAUGCUCAUGAAGUUUUUGAAAAGUUUAUGGUUCAAGAACUGGAUGAGGAUGAAUCACUUGAGCUUUUCAGUUGGCAUGCCUUCGGACAAUCCCAUCCAGUAGAAGGUUACAUGGAGCUUUCAAGACAUGUGGUGCAGCACUGUGGAGGGCUUCCAUUAGCUCUUCAAGUUCUGGGAUCUUCUCUAUCUGGAAAAAGUGUAGAAGUGUGGAAAAGUGCAUUGAAGAAGUUAGACCUGAUCCCUAAUGACAAAAUUCAAAAAGUUCUGAGGAUAAGUUUUGAUUCUUUACAAGAUGAUCAUGACAAAAAUUUAUUCCUUCAUAUAGCCAGUUUCUUCACAGGAAAGUCAAUGGAUUAUACAAGUGCAAUGUUGGACAGCUUAGAGUUUUGCACAAGGAUUGGGAUUGAAAAUCUAGUUGACAGAUACCUAGUGGAAAUUCAAGGGUCGAAGUUGGUCAUGCAUCAAUUGGUGAGAAACAUGGCAAUGGCAAUUAUUCGCGAAGAAUCACCUGAUGAUCCUGGAAAACGUAGUAGAGUGUUACAGAAUGAUGCUUCUAAUAUUUUGAGAAAAUUAAGUGUAAGAACUAAGUUUUUCAUGCGUAUGUUUUUAGUUAUGAUUUACAUGUGUAGUACUAGUUACCCAAAUGCUCUGAUUUUUUUUGCAGGGCACGGAAAAUAUUAAGGGCCUCAUGCUCAACCUUGCUAGCAAAAGAACGUUUGUUGGAAGUGAUAAAAAACAAUGCCAUGUUGAAGAUUAUGAUAGAAAUUGUUCAAGACAACGUUGGCUUGGUUUCUUGUCUUGGAAGCCAAUUAGCUUUUCCUCCACAAACUCAGCUUCUGCAUCAAAUGAGAUAGAUUUCAAAUCUGAGGCGUUUAGAAGGAUGCACAAUCUUGAAAUUCUCAUUCUCAACAACGUCAACGUCGAGGGAAGCUACGAAGAAUUUUCAAAAAGUUUAAUAUGUUUAUCUUGGAGAGGAUUCCACUUAAAAUCAAUACCAGAAAAUUUUUAUUUGGAAAACCUGGUUGUUCUUGACAUGCGAAAUAGUAGCCUACAACAUGUUUGGAAUGGGAUCAGGGUACGUAACCCUCUCUCUCUCUCUCAUUCUUUCUCUCACACAUGUCCAUUAUAUCUUCUUAGAAAUUGAUUAAUACUUGUUAUUGAAACAGUUUCUUCCGAGGCUGAAAAUUCUUAAUCUCAGUCAUUCGCAUGGCCUUAGGACAACCUCCGACUUCUCAGGACUCCCUAACCUUGAGAGAUUGAUUCUUAAAGAUUGCAUAAAUUUGGUUGAGGUUGAUGAGUCCAUCGGAUACCUAGAGAAACUUGUUGUUUUGAAUCUAGAAGGCUGCAAAAAUCUCAUGAAGCUUCCAAAAUUGAGAUCUAUUCAGGAUCUUAUUCUUUCUGGUUGCUCAAAGCUUGUGCUUGGUGCCAAUACGACUGCCACAACUGGUCACUUACAAUCUACAGCUUGUGAAAUGAAGAAACUCAAUCUGCUAUCAGCUAAAUCAUGGUAUUCAAUCUGGUCGCAGGUGUCGCCAAGAAAAAAUAUUGAACCAAGCAGUUUCUCAUUGGCAAGUUUACCACAUUCCUUGACAAGUUUACGUCUGGAUAGCUGCAAUCUAUCAGAGAUUCCGAGUGCCCUUACUAUGCUGUCUUCGUUAGAGUACUUGGAUCUGUAUAACAAUCCAAUUACAAGCCUACCAGAGAGCAUGAACAAUCUUGUUAGGCUUCACACUCUUGCAGUAGAAGGUUGCAGAAACCUCACAAUGCUUCCAGAGCUCCCACAUAGUUUGAAACAAUUGAAUGGUAGAGGUUGCACAUCAUUGAAAAGAAUAACAAAUUUACCGAACUUGCACAUAUCACCUACCGUAUAUCCCUUCGGCAUGCAAAAGGACUUAGAUUUAAUGCAUUACAAUAUAGUAUUGGACUCAAAUUUAUGGUAUUGUGGGAAACUAGUUGAUGUUGCAAGCUUGUUCAAUACACUACCAUUGAGCAGCUUUGACAUAAAACUCCUCAAAGAUAUGGAUCUAUUCGAUUUGAAACCCAACGGUGGCGUAGAGGUCCAAAGGAACAACGAUUGUGCAAGUUUUAGCAAGCCAAGGCGCUCCAAGGUUCUCUCUCUCUCUCUCUCUCUCUCUCUGCUAUGUACAAGUGCUUAUAAUAUGAUCUCUAUGGCGUAAACAAUUAGAUUGUAAUCGCAGGGAACUUUUGAAUGCGGCAUAAUUAGCAUUUUUGUGCACGAGAGCAAGAUUCCAGAUCGGUUCAAUUACAGGUGGAUGCCUCCAGAUCGGUUCGAUUACAGGAGCAUGGGUAACACUGUGUUCUCUAUUAUUGUUCCUUCACAGCCUAAUAUCAAGAUCGUAGGUUUAAAUGCAUGUAUACUGUAUGCCCGGCAAUCGGAUCGAAGCCCUGUGAUUCCAUUUGGGAUUCCAUUUGGAAACUCUCAUGCCCAUUCGCUUGAACUUAGGAAUGAGACAAAGGGCCUUAAGUGGAACUUAAGAAUGUCGACUGGGGUUGAAUGGAAAGUGAUGAACGAAGAUAUGUUAUGGCUAAGCCAUUGGAUUAUGGGGAACAAUGAAUUGGAGUGCGGGGAAAAAGUGUAUUUUAGACUAACCGAAGAUCAUGACGAUUUAUUCACAAAGGGGAUUGGAGUCCAGUUUGGGUACGAGCAGCAAAAUAAGGAUAAGGAGGAUGUCCCAUCAAGUAGUGAAGAUCCAAUGAUCCUACCUGACAGAUCGCCUUGGGACGGCGGUCACGCUUCCAGCUGGGUAACGGAUUCAUGUCAGAGAUUUAUCGGGCCGAAAUGGAUCGAGAACCUUAAGAAGGAAUCUAUUUCAACUGUCGUGUGCGCGGCUAAUUACUCUCUCUGUAACCAUGAAGUGAUCGACCUUGAGAACGAGUCCCGCAUGACGCCAUGGUAACGAGUGCUCUAAACUAUUACCCAGGUUAAUUCAAAUUGAUGGUGAUGAUGCACAAAUCACUAAAUUCAAAUGUGUAUUGGUUGUUAAGCUUCGUUUCUAUCCAUUUUCAAUUUUCCCUAAAAAAUUGUUUUCAAUAAAACCUGUUUUGAAGAAAAAUAAAGUUUCAGAGCCCAACUAGAAAAUAAGCCCACGAGUUGUGGUGUGAACUAACUGUUUCAGGCGUAACUGCAUGAAUAAGACACAUUUCACACGUAACUGAAUAAAUAAGACACAAAGUGCAAGAAGUAAAGCUCAUAUUUAGCAGUGUUAUUUUAACAACAAUUGUUCAAGUGGUGGAUUGCCCCGGUGGGUAGGGCAUUUCUCUUAGUCCUACUGCAUUCCGGGUUCAAAGUUCCAACCAUCCCCCGUACCAGUUUAAGCACACCAAAGACCAAAUUUAGCAUGUUCUGUCGUCAUCCACCCAACCCAGCAGAUAUACAAAAUUCAAAUAGAACUUGGCAAAUUCAUCCUCUUAAAAUACAAAACGAAAAUAAUUUAUGAUCACUGACCUCUGAGAAUCGAAUGAUAUUCGGAUUCUUCAAUGAUCUGUGGUUCAUGAUUUCCCCUUGAACAUGUUCAUCCAUCUGCAUCACCAAAAAAAAAAAAUAUUUAAAAAAAAUACAAAAUGAAAAUAGUUUAUGAUCACUAACCUCUUUGGAUCGAAUGAUAUUCGGAUGGUCCAGUGAUCUAUGGUUCAUGAUUUCCCAUUGAACAUGUUCAUCUAUCUGCAUCACCAAAAAAUUAAUAAAUAUUUUAAAAAAAAUACAAAAUUUAAAGGAUAAGAAUUGCGAAGAUUCUUAGGUCUUAGUUCGAAAUGUAAUAGCUCAUCUCACCUCCAUAUAUUACCAAAUCUUAGUCUAUAUGAUUUUGCCAGAGCCACCGAAUGUUGAUAUAUAUCUGUUGCAUGUUCUACUACCAUCAACAUUAUAAAGGUUUCUAAUUGAAUCAUAUAUUUAAAAUCCAAGCAUGAAAGUUUUACAAAGAUAAAUAAACAAAUGUAAAUAACUAAUUAGGCAAUACACAGCAGAGAGGGGAGAGAGAGAGAGAGAGAGCAAUUGAAGGGAAUGCAUAGUUAUCUCUAUCUUCGGAAAAAAAAAAAGAAAAAAAGAGAGCAGUUGAAGGAGUGAGAAGCAAAGCAGCAUACCAAGUGGAGAGUAAGCAAUUAAGCAUAGUCAUCUCACGUACGGAUUGCCUGAGAACUGAUCUUUGCUUCUCUUCCUUAUGAUCCUCUUAAAUGCAAUUCUACACAUUUCUAAACCAAAAUUGCAAAGCAGAAUUCAAAGAAAUUUAAAGAAACCUAGUAAAGAUUCAAACUUUUUUAUUAUCCAAAAGAUGUACAUAACCCCAUGUAACAAAAACAAAUUUAUGACACAAAAGAAAUUAUCUUUAGCCACAAAAAGCAAAAAAGAGAAAGAGAGAGAUUUUGCUUUUUGCACUAUGCAGAAUGUGCAGAGAAUCAAAAUAUCAUAACCCAUUUAACAACAUGAUAUUUUAGGCAAAAAGGCAUCACCUUUAGACCCCAAAUGAAAGAAUUUGAGAGAGAGCGCAUACGUGGUUUCCAAGAAGAGGAAGAGAGCAAUUCUAUUUCCUGUAAAAACGAAGAAACAGAGCAUUAACAAACACACAUGCACAAAUCUCAAAAGGAAAUUGGUAAGAAAUAAUCGUAAUUGAGAAAAUAAUUAGAAAACUAGAGAGGACACAAUUGGAGUCUAAUUCUACAGAACCCACGAGUCAAGACAAACAAAUAUCCAAAAUUAACAGAUUACAGUAACAACAUUCCAACAAAAGUAAGAAGACCAGAAAAAUUAUCUAUUCUAAAGUACAUUAGUUCCAUCAUGCAUAAAUCAAGGGAGUCACGGAAGGCCAGUAUCUUAAGGUAAUCCAACAUGUUAAAGCAUCCAAACAGAGACUCAGAAUUACAAAACGCAUGAAAAUUCACAUUCCAACGUGUUAUGCAAUCACCAAUUUCAGAUCAACCAAAACCAAAUAAAUUUAUAUCAGUACGCAUCAAACCCACCAAACCCAAAAUCAAAAGAAGGUGAUCAAAUGUUUGAUUUUGCUAAAUAUUACAAAAUAAAAUAAAUAAGAAUAUGUACAAAUCAACAUGCAUACCUUGUAGCGGUGCAGGGAACAGUAGCGUGAGCUGCAUCGAGGGCAUGUGUACUGGGAAAAUUGCUACUGGCAGCUGCAACUAACAAAAACAAAAACAAAACAAAAUUGAAUAAAAUCAAAAUUGGAAAAAUUUCCAGAAAAUAAAUAAAACAAAUUAUCAAGCUUUGUUGAUGAAAGAGAGGUGGGGUUGGUGAAGAACAUACAUGCGGCUAUGAGCAGUAGAUAAAAGAUUUCAAAAUGAUUUCUUCACUUUUCAAUCAGGACAUGCACGAAUAUAAAAAUGGCAGAGAGGAUUAAAACCAUACCAAACACUAGAAAAUCAAGUAUAAAAAUCGUACUUACCUUGUGAAUGAGGACAUGCAGACACAUGAUGGAUGAAGGACAGCAAAUCCCGCAUACACGAACCUAACUUGCCAUUGUUCGCCACCCCCACCCCUCCCUAUCUCUCUCUCCCUGCAAUCCCAACGAUUUCUCUCACUGUCAUCCUCCCACUCCCGAAUCGAAUAUCCGCACGAAAUCUCUCUCUCUCUCUCUCUCACUCGGUUUCUCUCACUGUCACCCUCCCACUCCCGAAUCAAAGAUCCGCACGAAAUCUCUCUCCCUCUACAAGCAGCAUGGCCGCUGUCCCUCUCUGUCUGCCCUCACCAUCAAUCCCAAUCCCAAAAUUAAGAUGACAAAAGUGCCCUGCAACCCUUUAAUUCUAGCCGCGUGAUCCUAACCCUAGAUGAAUAUUUCUGGAAUUUGAACACCCAAAGUAUCUCAUCAAAUGUGGAUGUACCUGUCAUAGUAUGAAUCUGAGAAUUUCUCAAUUCAACUCUCGAAUUUACUGUGACAGUAAUAAUAUAUCAUGUGGAAAGAGGUGGGAUUAUGGUAAAAGAUAGAACUUUAGCUGAUGGUAAACAACAUUUGGGAAUUUGAUGUAAGCCGGCUGGGAAUCCCAAAUGUUGUUUACCAUAAGUUAAAAUCUAAUCUCUGAUUAAAAAAAUAAUAAUAAAAAGCACACCUCAAACUGAUAAGGACCAUAAUUUUCAAGGGACACUGCUUUUCAAUGGUUACCAUAAAAAAAAAUAAUGAAAGAACUGAUCAUUUGAAUUAUUCAUGACAGAACCAAUUUUGAUUUGAAAUAUGAUGGCCAAGAACAAAUCACACUGCUUUUCAAUGGUUACCAUAAAUUUUCAGAAGUUACAGAAGAUUUUUUAUCAAUUGAAAAGACAAUGGUCACAUAUAUCUACAAUUAACCACCAGUAAGCGUGAAAUACUACAUCACAAUGCAAUAGCAGCUAUACAGGAUGUCAUGCCAUUCAUACUAUGACAAAUCACAAAAGUGACAAUUAAAGGGCACCUAACAGACACCCCCAUCUCUCUCUCUCUCUGCAAUAGCAGAAAUCCCUCGGGUUUCAGGAAGCAAAUGGAAAACAAAAUGCUUUUACAUCCCCUACCCAUACCCAUACCCCUCCCUUACCCAUUCCCUUUACCCUUGCAGAAAAUCCUCCCAUCUCUCUCUCACCCUUGUCCCAUCUCUCUGUCUGCAAAUCGCAGAAAAGAAACCCUGAACAAAUCACUGAAAUCCCUCGCCUAAAUCCUCCCACAUUUCUCUCAGACACCCUCUAUCUCUCUCUCUCUUUGCAAACCCUAAACCAAAUCUCCUAAAUUCUAUCUCGGACACCCCACAUACAGCCAAGAAGCCAAGAUAUUAAAGCAAUCUCUACAUAAUACUUUGGAACAAUGAAGCAAAAUGGUACUUACUUGUUCCUUGUCCAAAACCGUUGGUGCCGCCGCACAUUGUUAUUAAUUGUGGGUUGAUCAAAUCCUUCAUGGCUUAGACUGCAUGAAGAAUUAGAAACUAAAAGAUGAAUAUAUGCUGUAAAUCAUCAUAUAAAUGUAACUGCAUUUAAAAAAAGAAGGGAAUGAAAAAUUGAAUUCUAUUUCAUCAGUAUGUAACUGCAUGAAAAGUUACAUUGAAUGCAGACUCAAUCAAUUUCCCCAAAGUCAUUGUUAACUGAAAAUCAAUAUCAAACCCAUAAAUACCACCAUUGAAUUUGCGAAACCCAAAAACAAAAUACAAAAAUUUACUCAUAUAAUCACAGAAAAACAUGAAAUUUGAGCACAUAUUUGGCAAAGUUAAAGGAUAAAGGCACUCACAUCAUCGUAGUACUCUUCGGGAAGAACUUCUAAUAAUGGUUCUUCCUUUUUCUUGCUCUUCCUCAGAGCUGCCAUAAAAAAACCCAGAGAAGCACACAAAUUCAGAAAAGAAAAGGUCCAAAACAGCCAUAAAAAAUCCAGAAAGCAUACAAAUUUAUCAGAACAAAAACCAAAUGAUGUGAGAUAGUGAGAGGUUGUGUUAGGCACCCGUAACACGUUUUGGUUUCAAUUAAAACGGCCAGAGCGUUGCAUGCGAGGAAGAUGACGAUAGGAUUCCAAACACAACAUCCACAUUCUUUUUUCUUGGGUGAACUAACCAAAUCAUAUUAUAUACUAAAAUGACAUAAAAAAUCAUUCACAAAAUCACAACAAAAUAGAACAAAAACAUUCACAAAAGAAUUCCCCAAGUUUUCAAAUGGAAAUUAAACAUUUACAUAGCUUAUAUAAAAAGCCGAAAUAUAAAAAUUAAUCAAAAGGUUGAGAUAACUCACAUCCCAGUAAUGCUUAUUGCUGAUAUUAACACCCACUGACAGCAGCCCUCGGUUUGUGGAAUUCCCACGCCCAACUCCAUGACCUCUGUCUCUGCCAUCCCUCUUUCCCUCACAACCAUACCCACUUUCGACCCACCCCUCAAUCCCGACACCAACCCUUGAUUUAAGGAGGAAAAAUCAAUCCAACCACCCUUUUCGCAAGCCUCACUCCUCCCUCUCCCUUCCCCUCCCUGCCAAUCCCAUGCCCAUCUCCCUCGUUGUAGCUCAGCAACCCACGUUUUUUGGCACCAAACACUAUGUCCUAGGAUGAUGUGACAAUUUAUCAAAGUCAGAAAAUGCAUUAUCUCAGUUUAGGUUGGUAGCAUAUAUGAUCCCUGUGCAGCAACAUAGAAUACUUAGUAAAAGUUGCAUUUCUGAGAACAAAUAACCAAUGCUUGACCGAAAAAACAAUGCAGAUGCUUUAGUAUACAGAAUUACAGUUUUAUUCAAGCUUCUCAGUCACAAACUAACCUUCCUUUGUCGAGCAGCAAGGAGGAGGGGGAGAAAAUUGAUUCCUGGAGGAGCUUUUUCGUUCAAAACUAAGUCAAGCUGCAAGGACGAAGGGUCGAGGAUUGUUCGUGAGCUGGUGUUGCGGAUAUAAACAUAUAGAAAGCUCCACUGUGUCAUAACAAACACAAAUUGAAUAUGAUCACCAUGUCACAUUAAUUACCUAAAAUUCAAAAUGUUAUAUACAUUAGUAUGUUGAAAAAAUUAGUUACAUUUCAUUAAACUAAAAAAUUUACAGAAUAUGAGAAAUAAAGAAUUUGUAUUGUUUAUAUAAAAAUAGAAUAACAAAGAACAUCAUUGACUACCAUUUUAUUCGGUAGUUUCCUCCAACUGCAAUUGUUGAGAUUGUAGGAGAUCUUCGAAUAAAGCCUUCAAUUCAACCAUCCGUACACAAACAUAAUAGACAAUGUUUUUUAGCGAAUUAUGGACAAAGCUUAAUAUUCAAAUGCAAUGAAGUGGAAAACACAAUCCAAUAUAUGGAUAUGCAUGCUAUAGGAAACCAUUCAUUUGUAGAUGGUAUUGUGUCACCAAUAUUGUAUUUAAAAAUCUACCCAAGAUAAAGAUGCAAUAUAUAGUUUGGUAAAAAAUCAAAACGAAGAGUUAACAAAGGAAAAGGAUUAAGACGUUGAAAAUACAAAACUGGAUUCUUUUAUUUGGUAAAGACGGUUCCCCCACUGGCUGUCUGAAACCACAAACACUUUUUACAUAGAAACUUUAUAAACUAAUAGAUUAAAAUAAAUCUAAGUGUUAUAAAUGAAAAAUCCUGGGAUUGAUAGUAAUGGCAUCAACAGUGCCACCACAUCCCAAAUAAAUGAAUGAAAAUAUAGUGAUUAACAUCCAACAAAGAAGCUCAAGCUUGAAAUAAACCAAGGCAUAAAAGCUUACCAAACUUUUCAAAUGGCUAAAUUGUUCAUUUAACAUGAUAACUUCUUCCUGCAAUCCAUAAGUAAGACCAUUAGAUGCGGUAAACAAAACAUCAUACUUCAUAUAUGGCAAUCUAGCAGAGAAACCAAUUGCAUUCAGAUGGAGCCUAAUUUGUGGAACUACAUUUAUAUGCACUGAAAUGCAUUAUCAUGUUGUCAUAUUUAAAAACUGAGGUUUAUGCAGUAUGCUAUCUUUAGCAUACACAAAAUUUUUGCCCCUCAUUUUUGAAGUUCCGCACUUCAUAAUUUAUAUACUUUCAGUUUCCCUUCUAAUGAAGGUAUGGACUGCUUUCCAUUUGGAAUUUUCGUAAGACAAUGUUAUGAUAUUCCUAAUUUAGAAUGUGUUUCCACUCUAAUGAAUGCAAGCCCUAAAUCAUAAAUAUUGUACAAUUAUGUGUUUGAGCACGUGGCAGGGCAUGAGAAUCAGAACCACUCCGUGUUGUUCUCCGCUUCGUGAUUUGGUCAUCAAACAAUACUUCAUUCCCUCCAUCCUUUAUCACGUCUUCUUGGUGAUCAUUUGUCCAUCUCCAAACUGUAUCCACAAAAAACUACAAAUUAAUCCCAAAAACAAUCAUACAAAAAAAUUGCGGAUUAGAUUUGAUUACGUACCAUUUUCCCAGGAUGUAGAGCUCAGUGAUGAUGCCCUCCUCGCUUUGCACCUUAAACAUCGACAUUUUAAACCAGAAACCAAAAUCAAACAAACAUAAAGAAAUACGACUGACAGAAUCACACUGUAAGACACCACUCCCUCGCUUCCACGGUUCCAACCACAACACCAAAAACAACAAUAACAAUAAUAACAAUGUACACUCAGACAAAACAAAAAUGCACCACAGCCCUCCAGUGCUAUAACAGCACUUCUCUUCUAGGACAACUUUGAUAUCUAUGGACUGUUCCCUUCUCCAUGUUACAACGAUAGUAUUAGAGCUCUUACAACAUCACAGAUGCAUGACCAAGAGUGUAUUCGACAACCUUUUCUCUGAUCCUUUUCAUCAGUUGGUCCUAAAGAUUGUAUUCUUCUAAAUUCAUCUUCUUUUUGGGUAUCCAGAGACAUUUAUCACUUCAUAUGCCGAACACAAAACACCUAACAUUUUGGGUGACAAAUUAGAAGCAACUAAUCGGAAUAUGGGUACUGAGAAUUGAAUUACUCUUUGUUCUUAUAGUCCUAAUGGAAAUUACUCGUUGAUUCACAAAAUUAAUCAAACUAAAAUGCAAGAAAAGCAAAAUCAACAACCCAUACAGAAUUAUGAAAAGAUCCCAACAAACCAACCAAACAAUUAACAUUUAAAAAAAAAAAUUGCAAAGUUGGAGGGAAAGAAGCACGAGAAAAAAUAUACACAUCCAAUGCUUUUAAUCUAAAGCUAGAAGUAGGAAUAACUGAGUAAGUUAAUGAAGGCAAAGCAGAGGGUAGGAAGCAGAACAUACCAAGAGACCAAUAGGGCAUCCGGGCCGGUCUGCCGAUGAACGCCGUGUCCUGGUCGACAACGCCCAACGGCGUCGGCCCUGCAAAGAAGUAAAAGUCGAAAACACUCCCAAUGACCUUGUAGGUGAGAGAAGUCCCUCUGUAGAACACAUCCAUGCCAUUGCUGUUGAUCAGCAUAACAGAGUGCGCGUAAGCCUCGUUGCCCACAUUCUGGAGAUCCAUGUAAAACCGGGUGGGACCCGUACAAAUCAGUGUUGAGAUUGAUCGCCGAGACUUCAGUGGUGAAGAGGGUGUGUGGAUCGUUCGGGUAGAGCUUGAUCCCGUGCGGCUGAGUGUUCUCUCCGAGGCCGUACAGGGAGGCGUCUUUCGGCGGUCGGGUGGAUAUCUCGAGGUACUGGUCCUUAAACACCAGUUCGCCAUAUGGGUCUUUGGAGUAGGAGCUCAAAUGAAGAGGACCUGCCCGUUGGACUUCCUCUUGAAGGCGAACCCAAAUGGGUCGGAGAUGAAGCUGAGAAUGAGCUCAGAGCCGGAGUAGUCUGAGACUUCGAUGGGGUUCUUCGUCUUCGCCUGAAACACGUUUUGGUUUCAAUUGAAAAGGCCAGAGCCUUGCAUGCGAGGAAGAUGACGAUAGGAUUCCAGAGAUAGAGAAAGAAGGAGUAAGACGACGGAGGCGAGAGAAGGAAGACGGCGGCAAGAGGAGGAUAGGACGGAGGCGAGACCAUCUGUAUCGUAGGUCUGUGAGACGUACAAGGCAAGGAGGGUUUGAGAAGGAAACGGAAAAGGCCUGCUUUACCAUUGCUAUUCCCUUCCCGCGAUCAUCAAGGCGUGCGCAACAAGAUCAGCGGCAGAGAGAGUCUGUGGCAAAUUUGUAUAUAAAUUGAAAUUCAUCCCAAAACAUUGUUCAUUUGAAUAAUGCAAUUGGAAUCCCUUCUUUAGACAAAAGUAAUUUUUAAGUAGAAUGCCAACUUAGAUUUUGAGGAAAACUAAUGAAAAUGACUUGAAAACUUUGAGUUUUAAUGAUAAGGACAAAAUAAAUGGUAAAGUGAAUAGUAUCAUAAUUGACUUUUUAGUGUAAAAAUAUGAUUUUUCGUUAAAAUGAAUAUUACCGCGGGUUUUUCAUUAAAACUCCCUAGAUUUUAUGCAAACCAAAACCUUACCAUUAUUCAUACUUGCCAGAAGGCCUCAGAAGUCUCCACUAAAAUGCUUCCCUAAGCACAAGUACAUAAUAAUGCCACUGACAACUAGCUCGUCGAUCACCUCAGCGCUGCGGUUAAUGCUUUCGGCGCCACUUUUACAUUUCACUCUUAGUAAGAUGAGAUGAAGACGGGUUCUCAGAAGAUCCAAUUCCGGUAUCUCAAUUCAAUUGCGCAAUUGUUCCUCGUUGUAACUCGAUCUUGAGUAUUGUACAACCAUCAUAUUGCCAACAGCCUUUGAGUCCCGACUACAAGCAGAAGCAUUUACCAAGUUGUCACAAGGCCCGUCAAUACUGGCAGUGUCAUCAGCGGAGGAUGAGUGAUUAAUCGUGCUUCUGUUCUUGUUUUCAGUUUCCAUUCUAUCAUUUUCUGUAAUGACACCUAGAGUUUCAGCCGCUUCAACCACUUGCGAUUCAACAGAUGUCUUGCAAAUAACAGCGGGAUCAAUAUCAUGGCUGUGGUAAUCAUCAGGAUGAGUUACUUUGCAUUGCUCUACAAACUCCAUUGUUGAGGAAAGGAUAUUCAUGUCCUUGUCCAUCGUAUUUUCUUGGCUAUUUCUAUUUAAGAUGUCAUCCUCAAAUCCGGUUGGAUUAGUGCGAGCAUCAUCUGCAGGAGACAGGUCUUCAUCUAUCUGUUAAACAAUGACCUGUGUUUGCUUUCAGAGAAGACACUGCUAGACACAACCUCGUCAACAGAAUGCAACCCUAGUGGGGAAAUGCAGAUGAAAGAGGGAUCAACUUUUCAUCGCCAGUAAUUUCUUCUCCAUAACUCUCAUUACAUACGCCAUUUCCACGUGCUACCACAUUACUCGGUUAGGUAGCCACUACCUUUGGUUCUCUCAGCAGCUACAUCUCCAUUACCACAGUUAUUCGCAUUUGGAGAUAAUACUUCCUCAUUUAUUGGAUCCUCAUUUACUAAUCCUUGAUCUCGAUUGGCAAAAGAUGCCACAUUUAUAGUGGUAUCAUUGCUUUCCAAAUUAACUAGUCCACUUAAUUGCUUCUGUACAAAGACUGCUAAAGAAACAGCAUGAUCACGAAUCAAAGAAUCAUGAGACGGGUAGUGUAGCAUAUCGAUCAAGGCCUUAUGGUACUGUGUGGCAGAUAUUAAUAACUUUGAGUAUAUGUUCACACAGGUUGCCCAUUUCUGCCCAAUGGCAGUUGCAAAUACCAAACUCGUCAAUAACUUUUGCACGAGUACCUUCUAUGAUAAUAUUGCAGUUAAGAAUCUUCAAAGCUUUACGCCAAGAUGUUAAACCACUCGCCCACUCAUCUUUCCAAUAUUGUGCAAAAUCAUCAUUCUCAGAAUAUUCAUCAAGCCAGAAGAAGGAAUGCACUUUUGUACCCAGCUUAUUAACCAACCAAUCAACUCGUUUUUACACUCUAGGUUUAUUCUCGUUCAAUAACCUAAGCUUUAGUGGCUGUGCUAGAACUCCAUUGCCGCAGAGGUUUCCUAGCUAGCAAGAGGAAGAGUUUGUAGUGCAGAUACCCACAUCCCUGAGUCAAAAGACAUUUUUCUUGUGCGAGUUAUUCAAGAUAAAGCAAAAGAAAAUUAAGGACCCUGUUUAAAGAGAAGGGGGUGAAGGAAUUAAACGACACACUUGUUACUUCGUAUCAUAAGGCAAAAUAUACCUCUACUAAAGAUGAUAGUAACUUAGCUAAUUCUAGGAUACUAAGUUGCCUUAAAGUAAUCUAUAAAAUCUUAUUCAUCAAGAAAAUCUUCUAUGAAGUCCUCAGACAAACGCUCGGCUCCUCGUUGUUGACAGAUGUUAUCCACUGCUUGACGAAGCCUUCUUGACAUUGUAGCUCGCAUCUCAUUGUCCACACAUUUCUUUACUAAGUUUGUAUGCCAUGCAUGAGGAACCCGCCAAAAGCUUAUCAACACUGAACACUGAAAUACAUCCCUGAGUAUAAUGAAAUAAAACUGUCAGUAUCAAGUUUGGGCGAGGACUGAGCAACCAACAGGAUGGUGAGCACAUCAGCUAGAGGAUCAUCCACUAUGAAACUAGCCAACUUCCAAACAGGAUCUUUCGUUUCAAUUCUAUUGUGAAGAGCUCUCAUCCAUUUAUGGGCAUUGGAACUUCCAAACUUUGGAGCCACUAUCCACGCCACCGGGAUAGUAAUAAUGUUGCAUGUCACAUCCCGGCCCGGGACAGAUCACUUCCCGGGCCCACUCCACCACCAUAGCACGAUAUUGUCCGCUUUGGGCUUACCAUUCCCUCACGGUUUUGUUUUUGGGAACUCACGAGCAACUUCCCAGUGGGUCACUCAUCCUAGGAGUGCUCUGGCCUCCUUCUCGUUUAACUUCGGAGUUCCUAUGGAACCCGAAGCCAGUGAGUUCCCAAAAGGAGUGAGUUCUCAAAAGGCCUCGUGCUAGGUAGAGAUGGGAAUAUACAUUUAAGGAUCACUCCCCUGGGCGAUGUGGGAUGUCACAAUCCACCCCCCUUAGGGGCCCGACGUCCUCGUCGGCACACCACGGCCAGGGUUAGGCUCUGAUACCAAUUUGUCACAUCCCGGCCCGGGGCGGAUCACUUCCCGGGCCCGCUCCACCACCAUAGCACGAUAUUGUCCUCUUUGGGCUUACCAUUCCCUCACGGUUUUGUUUUUGGAAACUCACGAGCAACUUCCCAGUGGGUCUAUCCUAGGAGUGCUCUGGCCUCCUUCUCGCUUAACUUCGGAGUUCCUAUAGAACCCGAAGCCAGUGAGUUCCCAAAAGGCCUCGUGCUAGGGUAGAGAUGAGAAUAUACAUUUAAGGAUCACUCCCCUGGACGAUAUGGGAUGUCACAUUGCAACAUGAACAUAUUCGGUUUCUCAUUAUUAUUAACAAUUGUAGUUAAUAAUAAAAGGUUAAACAAACUAAACGGACCUUCAAUUUGGUUGUUCCGAACCUUGAAUCAGAAAGCUAUAAGGCUGUGAUUGCCGAAGCAAAUCAUCUGUUGCAACUGCCACUCUGUUUGAAUGCCCAAAGUGAAAGGGUCCACAUAAGAGAAAUCCUAAUAGAAGAAAACAUGACUCUGAUGGUUUUCUACCCACAUGCUAAUGCUAACCGCAUCAUCAGCAUCCAAUUCAUAUAUAGAGCAUCGAAUGACCCUCUCCUGCCUCGAACAUACCUAUAGGUUAAAAGGUCAUCACGGUUAGAUGGACCACCCUGUUUCUCUACAGAUUCAUCGUGUCUCUGCAUUAUAGUCUCCACAGAGACCCCCGCAUAUAACAAAGAUUGUACACGAAGAAGCAGAUCCUCAGAGAUACAAGGGGCAAAUAUAGCACGUGUUCCAGCAGCCAUCUUAUCUUGUGGACCAUGGCAUGGCACUCAUUUCCUAUCUACAUGCUUAUCCUGAUUAUAUAUGAUACGCGCCACUAAAGAAUACCUAGAAUACCAUCAACCUUUGGUUUGUUAGGCGUCUAUGGCUGCCGCCGUCGCCUCGCUUCAACAUGAAAUCUUGUUGGACAUUCUUUAUUAGAGCAUUCACCCCUCAGAAAAUCGUCAACUCUAGGAAACGGAAUUAGAGCAACUCCAUCUUUCUUGUCCCGCCAACCUUCCACCUUUGACCACACAAGAUCAGAAGAAGAAAACUCCAGUGCAGGUGGACUCUGCACAGGAAGGGACAUAAUCUCAUCCCAUCUAGCCAUCUACAACAAAUAAAACGGAAAUGACAAAUUUAAUACAAUAGUCAUUUUAACAGAAGAAUCAAGACCAAAAUCCCAAUAGUCACACUCACACCUAACCCUUAACUAUUAGUUGAAUAAAAGGUUUUUCUAAUCGAAAAAAUGAACAAAAAUGGCGGAUUUUGCAACUGGCUUCGUAAAAUCACACGUUAAUAACAGUAAUAGAGGUCCUUUUUACUCUAAGCAGUACAAAAGAAAGUCAAAAACUUCAUAUCUGAUAACAAGAAAACAAACAAACAAACAAAAAAGAAGAAACAAUUUAAUUCAUGCAAUACAUUUCAUUCCCAACAAGAGAAGUUCAAAACUUUAGCAAACAAUUAAACUGAUUUCGUCUCUGUUUUCAUAAAUUCUCAGAAAUUAACAGUCGAAAAACACAAAUUAAAGGAAAAAAAAAGUGAAAUUCUUUGGGUUGUCAAAUAGAGAAAUUAUAUUCACACACCCAAAAUUUCUUCCACACAUUUUUAAUUUUUAUUUUAUUUUCUACACACUACUAACACUUGAUAGAAAAAGAUUAAAAAAUUAAAGGAUGUGAGGGAAGUAAUUUAGGAUGUGUGAAUAUAAUCUCCCUUUUAGAUAAGUGAAGUCGUUAGCUUCAGAGUCACACAUUGAGCUAUAUCGAUAUGUAUAGUAUCACGCCCUUUAUGCAAAAAGAUCCCCAUUUUUUCAAAAAAAUGGGGAUUAGGUGUAGGUCCACUCCACAACGAACUUUAAUGAUCUGAAUCGUUUAUUUUGUAAGGAACCAAAUCCCCUGCGGAUCCCUAAAAACUGAGCCUUCUGAGCAAAGAAUUAGGACAAUUGAAAUUUGAUCAAACGGUUACAAACAGGGCCCCUCUAAAAGUUAUAAUAAUUGUAGUCAUUGGAUUAAAUUUCAACGGCCCAAAUUCAUUGCUCAGGGGGCUCAGUUUUUGGGGAUCCAAUUCCAAUUUGUAAGUCUCAUUUCAUAGAUUAUUCUUACAAGAAUUCAAUUCAAUCCAAAAUCAUUUAUCUAUUUUGUAAGUCUCAUUCCAUAAAUGUCAUUAUAUCAUCAUUUCACGUGCUACCACAUUAUUCGGUUCAGCAGCCACUUUACCCUUGGUUCUCUCAGCAGUUACAUCUCCAUUCCCACAAUUACUCAUUUGAAGAUAAUACUUCCUCAUUCAUUGGAUCCUCAUUUCCUAAUUCUUGAUCUCGAUUGGUAAAAGACGCACAUCCAUUGUGGUAUCAUUACUUUCCAAAUUAGCUAGUCCACUUAAGGGUGCGUUUGUUGCACUGGAAUGUCUCGGAUUGGACUAGCUUUAGGAACUAAGCUGGAUUGUCUUAGAUUAGCUUAAUGAAGCAUUUGAUGCAGUAUCGGACUAAAAAGUAGGAUAAAAAUUAAUUUUCCUUUUUUUUUUAUCCAAAAACAAAGAACUCUAUCUGUCUCUCCAUUUUCUUUGGUCAAACUAUCUCUCCUCCUUUUUCUCCAUCUCUUCCAUUUUCCUUUCCCGUCCAAUUCCUUUUUCCUUUUCUUCUCGAUCACAAAUAUACACAGUUCACAUGCAAACCAAUUUUCCAUCAGACCAAACAACACCCAUCACCUGCCUUAUCAAUCCAACAAAAUUCCCAAACUUUCCCACCCUAAAAUUUGACAAUUCCAUUCAAAUUAAACAAAAGUUAGAGCUGGAAAACUGAGGAAAGAAAAAGAGAGAGAGAGAGAGAGUAAACGGAUCACCAAUAGUAGGAGGCGGCAACGCCAUAUAGUUUGAGGACGAGCAGUAGCGUAAAGGAGAAGAGGAGGCUAUGGGCCGCCAAGGCCUGCACGAACUUCAACAUUCUCCGCUAGUUCAUCAUCAUCGUAAAACAAUGUCGUCCGCUGCAAAAGUCGAGACUUUAGAUUGUGAGAAAUCUUAGGAGGAGGUUGAUGUUUCAGUAUACGCCAUUGAAACGAAAGAGGCAAGAAAUAUUCUUUCUCUCCUUCUUCUUUUUCAUCGUUCGGGUUGACCUAGAUGGCAAAAAAUCCCAAAUCACCAACCCAGAUGCCAAAAUGGCGCUGGGUUUGCAGGACGAUGGAGAUCAGAGACAACCGUUUCUGGAGAAGGGGGGUUAAUGCUACUCAUGUGGGUUCGUAGGACGCUGCUCGCAUACCAGGGAGACGGGACUAGCAAUCCCGUUGUUUUUGGGGGGCCUCGCUAAGACCUCCUAGUGAGGGAUUUAGUCGAGGCGAGUCCUCCUUUGUCCCAUUUACCUUUAGUCCCGCCAGUGAACAAACAUGGAUUGCACUAACUUUUAACUUAAGCGUCGAGUGAGAACUAAAGAAGGCAAACAAACACCCCCUUAAUUGCUUCUGUACAGAGACUGCUAGAGAAACAGCAUGAUCAAUUGAUUUUGACGGAGUUCUUCAGCUUAAUUUAUUAGUUUUGGAUUACAUUGCUCUUGUUUAAACUUUCAAGUAAUCUUUUUCCAUAUGAUUACUUCUAUUUAAGGGCUCAUGGCUUGGGAAUUGUUAUGCUAUUAUCACCUAAAUGCUCAUGUAAAUUGAAUUCGAUCAAAUUUUUACUAGAGUAGUCGAAUUUCUAUUAGAGUUGUUCUUAGUCAUGUUUGAAUUGCCAUGUUUAUCUUAUAUUUUCUUGAUGCAAACCUGGUCAUUUUUUUAUCUAUGCAUCCAGAGCAACAAUCAUGUGAUUUCUUGACAAUGAAUUGGACUUGUUUUUUUUUUUUUUUUUUUUUUGCACUUUAGUUGUUUAUAGUAACAAAUUCACUUGAUCAAUUGAUAUGUUCUUUCUGUAUAUAUAAAAAAUAUGUGCUAAAAUUCUUAAGUGUGUAUCAAUACACACACACACACACACACACACACACACACACACACACACACACACACAUAUAUAUAUAUAUAUAUAUAUAUAAUUGUAUACACAGAUGGUUAAGAAGGAAAGUAAUGGGGCAAGUGGAUCACAACUGCCAGCUGUAUGGAAUGCUCACAAUACAUCACUAUUUUGUGACGUGUGUAUCAAGGAAGUGGAGGCAGGAAAUCGUCCUGGUACCCACUUUAAAAAAGAGGGAUGGGAAAAUGUGAGUAUUAACCUAAAUAAAGAGACUGGAGAUGAGUAUAGUAAACAACAGCUAAAAAAUAAGUGGGAUGCACUUAAAGAGCAAUGGAAAUUAUGGAAAGAACUAAAGGGAAAAGAAACUGGUCUAGGAUGGAAUCCCAAGCUCAACACCGUUGAUGCUUCGGAUGAGUGGUGGCAUAAUAAAAUUCAGGUUUGUAAGCUUCUUGUUAGUUUCUGGAUGUUGUUUGUCUAUUAUUGAGCUUGAAUGCAUUUUAAUACUUGUUUCUUUAAAUUGCAGAUCAACAAAAAAUAUAAAAGUCUGCGUAGAAAAGGAAUUAGCCCUGAUAUGGAAGAUAAGCUAGAUAGGAUGUUCAUGAAUACCACUACUGGUGAUCAUGCUUGGGCACCCUCGUCUGGUGUACUUCCAUGUGAAAAUAAUGAUGAAUCUGAUGAGGAUGAUGGCAUUCAAAUUGACAGUAGUGAUUUUGAUGAUGUUAUCCCACUCAAAAAUACUCAAGCCGAUGAGAAGUAUUUGGGGAAGAAGAAAAAAAGAACUCAACAAUUUGAUACACAAGUUAAGAAAGAGAAUAAGGAUAAAGGAGUUGUUGCAAAGAAGGGGAAAUUGGGAGGUGCUGCUAAGUUGUCAGAACAGAUUGAUCGUAUGGUUAGUGCAAUUGAGAGUAGAAAUACAACAACUUCAAACAUGGCCAAGGGCUUACAAAAUAGUAGCAUUGCUGAAGUGAUGAAGAUAGUUUCAUCUUUACCUGGUGCAGGGCCUGGGAGCCCUUUGUGGUUAUUUGCAACUCGAUUAUUUCUAAAACAAGAGAAGAGAGAAAUGUUCUUAACUAUAGAAGAUCUGGACAUCAAGUUUCAAUGGCUUAACUAUGAGCAAGCUGAAAAUUAAGUGCCAUGUGAUGCAUUUAGUUUGCAAAGUUUUAUAUUUCGUGGUAGACAGUAUAGUCUAAGAUAUCUUUAAACUUGAGUUUAUUAUUUUGAUUUGUCAUUUGGGAUGGUUACUUGGAUUUCUUUGUGUUUUACUUGGGAUUAUAAUUGGAUGGUUUUGGAUUCUUUAUUUAAGAAUAAUUUUUUUUCAUGCAUGUACUCCUAUUUGUAGGAAUAAUGAUGAGAUUUUUAUUUUUUUUUCAAAAUUGCAGAUCUCUUUCAAGAUAUGGACAUCUUGCAAGAUGAGGAAGAGUUCAACCAAACUGUAUGCCUUUGUGUUCGUACUAUAGAACAUUAUUAUCAAACAUAUAUCCACAAAACACCUUGUAUGGAUUCAUCUCAAACAGGAUAUAAGUGGUUAAUGGAAAUAUUACGGGGAAAGAGGCGUUGUCAUAGGAUGUUCAGAAUGGAUAAAGAGGUAUUUAUGAGAUUGUGUAGUGACCUGCAAAACAAGUAUGGAUUGAGGGGUUCAAGGAGAAUGUGUCCUGGUGAAAUGUUAAGAAUGUUUUUGUUUAUUCUAGGACAAGGUGAAGGGAAUAGGUCAGCACAAGAACGAUUUCAACACUCCGGCGAGACUGUGAGCAGAUACUUUAGUCAGUUACUUGAUAUUGUAUGCCUUAUGGCUGUUGAUGUUAUCAAACCACUGGAUCCUAUGUUUAAUGGUGUCUCUGCAGAGAUAUUAAGCGACUCUAGAUAUAUGCCCCACUUUAAGGUAAAAAAAAAACUAGAUAUGAUACUUCUUGCUUUGUCUUAUGAAUUAAGUUAUAUUUAUUGAAAAUUGUGUUAUAAUAUUAUUUGCAGAACUGUAUUGGUGCUAUUGAUGGUGUACAUGUUCAAGCCACAAUACCUCCCGGAGAUCAAAUACCAUAUAUUGGCAGGAAAGGGACACCAACUCAAAAUGUAAUGGCCGUAUGUAAUUUUGACAUGCAAUUCAUCUUUGCAUGUGCAGGUUGGGAAGGAACUGCACAUGAUACAAGGAUAUUUUUAUCUGUUUUACGAAACGGUGCUUUAAAUUUUCCUAAGCCUCCUAAUGGUAAUGUCUCAAACUUGUGCAUAUGUUUGAAAUUUUGCAUUUGAUUAGACACUUUUUAUAGUUUCUUUUUAUAUCAUAGUAGCAUGUUUUGAACAUUACAGGAAAAUAUUAUCUUGUGAAUGCUGGGUACCCACAGAUGAGCGGCUAUUUAGGACCCUAUAAAGGUGAAAGGUAUCAUCUUCCUGAUUUUCGUAGGGGCAGAGAACCAACAGGAUCUAGAGAGGUAUUUAACCACAUACACUCUUCUCUUAGGAGUGUCAUUGAACGCACUUUUGGUGUAUGGAAAAAGAGGUGGAGCAUUUUAAGAGACAUGCCUAGUUACUCAUUUAAGAAGCAAGUAAAGAUAAUAAUCGCAACUAUGACGCUUCACAAUUAUAUAAGAAGGUAUGCCCGACGUGAUAAUCAUUUUGACAACAUGAAGGAUGACUUGGAUGAUGACACAAACUCGGAUGAAGAACAAGAAGAAUAUCAUAUUACCGAAGGACCCGAAGCACAAGAAAUAGAGACAUUGAGGAACAACAUUGCUGCAAGUUUGAUGUGUUCGUAAUUUUUUUUAUGUAUGCUUAUUUUAUUUUAUUAUUGUUUGAAGACAUUGAAGAAAAUUUUAUUUAUUUAAUAUUUGUUGUUUUUUUUUAACUUUUGGCAAUGCAACUACAAAUGUCAAAAUAAUUUGAGGGAAAAAAGAUUAGAUAUACUUGUGAGUCAUCUUUUUAACCAAAAAGUUAAUAGAAAACUAUUUUUCUCAUUACUUUAGUCUAAACUAGAAAAUGUGCCCGCGCGAUGCUGCGGGACUUAAAUGCAUCACCUUUAACUACAUGAAUAAGAUACAUUUCACCUAAAUAAAUUCAACACAAUCAUGAAUGAAGAGAGGAAUAGAUGAGUAAAUGGGGUCGGUAAGAUAUGCAACUUCGUUUUUAUAUACAUUGAACUGAACUCACAUGAAAAGACAUUGUACAAUGAACAGGACGAAACUGAAUGUUUUGGUUCCCUAAACUGAAACCCCUUGUCUCAGACACCCAACACCUCUCACCCUCAGAUAGCCCUAAACGAAGUGCCUCGUAGCAUCGAAUUGGCCUACAACACCCCCGAGCGAGAUUGAGACUACUUUUCAUAUUUUCAUUUUAAUGUACCAGCAAGGAAACGAUAGUAUAUUCCAAAAUUAGCAGUUUACAGAGAAAUAUAAAUAUUGUUUUCAAGAAAUUAAUAUGAUUGCAAAUGUAAUAGCUCCAUGCAUAGUGAGGUAGGAUAAAUGAUGGAAGACACACUGAAAUUUGAGGUCCAUAGGUUGAGAAGAGUCCAUAGCAUUGAUCCAGAUAUGGAUAGCUUGCACAGAUCUACAAUUCAAGCUCCGAAUAAAGUAUCAAUUUAUCAGCAAUUGUGACAUUCAUUAUUCCUAAAAAAGUUAUUGAUUCACAAAUAAACAAAUGAAAGUAAUCAGAAAAGAAACGCUUACCACAUGCUAGCUGAAUCCGAACUCAAAAUGACCACGAUAUUUUCCCAGCAAUGAUCACAAAGAGAUUGAUGCUUGGGACUUCUGUCCAUCCCUGAAAACAAUGGAAUAAUAUACCCAUUAAAAAACGUCACAAAAAGAUUUACAGUAACUGUCCCAACUAUUAUAAUUAUAUGGUCUUAUUGGCAUAUUCAGACUACAAAAUAAAAGCUGGCAGUUGUUUGCACUCGUAAACAAUUUCUCUUUACAAAACUAAAUAAAUUGUAAUGACCCAAGAAAUCAAAAUUUGAUUAGGCAUUAGAAACAAUGUUACCUUUUGGAGAAAAGGAUGCUCAACCAAAUGGAAGCCCAAAUUUAAAACAGCAACUGAAUGAAAAUCUGACGUUAUAAAAUCCAUAAGAAGCGUGUAAUGCGUCUAAUUUAAAAAGUCUCUCACACAUGUAAUUGCACGUAGGACGCCAGAUUCAAAAAAAAAAAAAAAACCUUGAAACCAAAGGACUGCAAAGGAUUGCUUUGUCAUAGAAAGUAAAAGAAUAAAUUGAAUCAACUGAACAUGCUUCUUGCAAACAAAGAAAGUAAAAUACGGGGGAACAAAAUCACAAAUCAACAUAGGCAUCUCUUAAGAAUUUAAAUAACCAAGAUUUUGAUGAACUGAUUGUAAGCAUAUGUGCAUAGAUGUCACUAUUUACAUAAAACAUGUAAAGGACAAUCAGUUUUGAGUUUCAAAAUAUAAAAUAUUAAAAUUUCCAUAAAAGAUAAGUAUUGGGAAACAAAGUUGGCAUCUCACCUUCCACAAUAGGUCGACAAAUCCUUUGAUUACGCUUUAGCUUCUUGUUUAACUGAAACACAAAUUCAUUGUUCAGAAUAUCAUAAUUUCAUGAAAUGGUUCACCUUUGAUUACGCUUGCUGCUUAGUGACUUGAUAAGUCGGUCACAAAGAUAACAUGUAGAAUGCAAAUAUGGAUCAGGAAAAAACAACAGCUAUAGAAUUGAUUAUAUAGAAGAAGAAUACAUACUUAUUGUGAGGUUAUCCCAGCUAUCCACUAUGACCCAAUAUAUAUAGCAAGUAAAAACUAUGGCAGCAAAGAUCUCACGUAUAUAAAUCUUGCAUAAACUUUGUUUUUGUACAAUGUCUUCUCCCUUCAAUGACAGUUUGUUUCUUAUUCAGGAAAAUAAAAUGAGCAGGUUAAUGAUACUCACAUGUGCAAAAUGCUAAUCCUAUGGUCUAAAGUUAACUGAAUUUUUUAGUGUAAAAUACCUAAUUUCACUGCAUUUCAAUUGAUCACAGUUCGUGCCUUGUUAAACUUGAUAUACCCUUAGACAUUUUGGGAACUUGACAGCUUAAAUUUUCUUUAGUUACAGAUGUGCUCAUAAAAGCAAAUUACAGCGACCCAAUAUAUACUAAAAACUUGGAGAAGGGACUCAAUUAGUUAACGAACAGGUGCCUCGCCUUUCAUGUUAAGACCAAAGAGAGAAAACCAAGCCGAACUCUUCAAAAUUCAUUGGCACACAUGCAUCAUCAGCUCAAUUGAAUGGAUAAUGCAUACUUAGAUACAACCAUUCAAACAAUUGAUGUAGAUUGACAUAAGCCUCCAAACUUCAAAAAAAUUGAAACCUUAUAAAAGCAAAACCUUUUUUCCUUCAUAUUUGAACUGUUUCGAUUACCUUAUCUCUCUAUCACUUGAUUCAUUAUUUCUAAAGGAAGUUCUAAUCACUACCAAAACAGCUUAAUAACAGUUGAUUAUCUAAAAAAAAAAAGAGGGAAAACAUGAAAUACUAACUGCACUCAAAAUCCCAAAUGUGUAACACAUGAUUCUAAUCUAAACCCUGAUUCUAAAAUUUAGAAUUCGACACAAAAAUGAAAAUUGGAAUGAUUAACAUGGAAAUGAGAGAGGGAGAAGUGUGAGGGAAUCUACACAUGAGGGCUUCGGAUCUGAGUCCAGAGCUGGAAGCGGCAGAGGUUGCGAACUUAAGAGUAUGGAAGAGGCGGGAAGGAUCCUUGUAAAAACAAUAAAAAUUAAAUAAGAAACUCGCCGGAAACUCGGAAAACCUCGUCGAAAAAACUGGACAGCAACUUACCUCGGAUUCACCUUUAACUCGUAACAAAUCUUUUCACAUUAUUCUCUAUUGCCACUUGUACUUCACUCAGUACUAAUCGAUAUAGCUGAAAGUCUGAAUCAUGAAGAAUGAGAAGUUGAAGUAUAUCAAAUGAUAAAGUUGUCAACAAUGAAGAAUGGGACAUUGACCAUGGAGACACUGCAAGAAGCAAAAGUGAGCAAAUUAAAUAAAUACCAGCAUCAACAUUUAGAAAAAAGUAAGAGCAGCAACUAUAAAUGAAGAAUGUGCAAUCAACAUUAAAAGUGUAUAAUAGGAACACGGAUCUCAUAACUAAAAGACAUUUUCUCACCAAACAAUGGAAAAUAAUUGGAGAUGCAAUUCAAUAAAAAAAGAAGUUAGCACUUGCUUAUUGCCUUCCAAAGAAGCUAAUGAAUCCAUCUGGUUGAAGAAGUGUUUAGCAUUGCCAGUAAAAACAACAAAAAUCACAUCAAAUUUCAAAUUAAUCAACUCAAUAGCAUGCGUACCUUAACAUCUAGAUGACGAAACAUUGGUUCCUCGAACGAAUCGUAAAGAUCACAAACACAAAUCAUGAAUUAGAGUUCGAAUACGCAUCUCCCGAUUUGAAACCCUAACGUAAUUCCCCACUUGGAAGAUGCAACCUUUGGGGUUCUGGCUGCUAGGGUUGAGAUGUUAAACCUUUGACUAAGAAAAUGACAUUGGGCAGCAUAGGAUACAUACUGCUCCCCCAGAUAGACCUGCAUGAAGAUUUAUCCACCAUCACAUGCGAAAAGGAAGAUGGUCAGUAUAUGUGUUUUAGUAAUCAAUCUAUAUUUGAAGCAAUGAAAAAAAAGCAUAUGACAUGAGCUAUCAUAAAUUAAAAUUAUCAACAAUCUCUUCCCAUUACGAAACAUAGAGAAACUACAAACCAUAACAAAUACAUUGAAAUACGCAAAUAUGCAGCAAAUCCCUCAAGCAAUUAAGAAAAAAAAUGCCUCUUAAAUCAGCAACCAAAUUCAAAUUAACAAAUGUCUCCAUAAAAGAAGUAAAAUGGAUGAAAAGAUACCUGGCUUUUUCAAAACAAUUCAAAUUCCACAACAUUUCAUUCAAAACAGUUCAAAAUUCAUAACCCCUCAAGCAAUUGGGGCUGUAAGUUACGUAAUCGGAUGGCUACAACCAAACGAAGAGCUUCAAUCAAUUAAAGUCAACAAAAUAUCAAUAAUUAAUCUAAAAAAAAAAAUUAAAUAAAUGAACACCAGGGGACUGAGGAAUGCUACUAAACAUCAGUAAGAACAGAAACGAAUAAUUUAAAUGCUUGAGCUUCAAUGAAAGCAUUUUACCCUUGCAAUUUUCCAAGAUAGCGGAGAGGCAAGAUGCACAUGUAUUAGUGAGAGGAUUUUCAAAGAUAUUGAGCACUUCCAAUCGAGCAGAUAGCAAAGGGCAUUCGCAAAUCUGAAGAUUGAAAUUAUUGAUCGAGACAGCCAAAUGAAUAGAGAUAUAAUCAUACAAUCCCCAAAAUCCAAAUCCAAAUCUGAAACGCCUGAUCCGUUUCUGGAAAAUGGCAGAGAAAAAUAGAAGAACUACGUUUUUAGAUGACCGGAUUGAAUUUGAGGCAGAGAGAGGGGGAGAGAAAGAGGGAGGAAGAGAAGCAGAAAAGCGAUAGAACAAAAUGGAAGACGCUUGAAGGGUCUUCCUUACCAACGACGUGAAAUCCAAUUGCCAUUUCAAGCUCCCUCAAUCACGACCUGUAGGAAAAUAUCAAACCCAAACAUAAGUUCACUGAAAUUCGAAUUCAAUAUAAUCAAACACAAACAAAAUAGCAAAAUUAAAAUAAAUAAAAAACUAAACUAAACUAUAAAUUAAAACUUUCAAUUGAAUAACCCCACAAUUUAAAUUACUAAACAGUAACAGAUUUCUCUGAGUAAUCAACUUCUCGAUUAUGGUCAUCGAACACGACAUUCUCCAAAACUGCCAAACACAUGCAACCAUAUUUGAUAAGAAUUUGAAAUAUCACUCCAAUCAUGACACAGAACAUAAACAUUUUGCGCACUGUCAUUUUUAAAGUAGAACGUUCAAUUAAAUCAUGAUGUUAAGUACCAGUCCCAAAUUUGAUAGCAUUCCAAAUAUCUGGUUCCUUGUCCAUUGACAAAUCAAUGCACUUGGCAUAGCAACCACCUUCAAUGUUUGACACACCAUUGUUGCCCCAGCAGUGCUCAUCAUCUCCAAUUAGAUACCGAUUAUGAUCCGUAGACAGAGUCGUCUUCCCAGUGCCUGCAACAAACAUCCCAGGAUCAGUUACACGAACACAAAAGAAACUGAAACACAAAAGAUUGAUGUAUCCAUCACCAAUUGAUCAUUGUACACAUAAAAUUAUCAUGAUUCAUACCUCUGCGUCGAUAUGGAAUUUUAUAAACUGGACAAAUGGAACCCAAUUUCAUCGACUUCACGGUGCAAGUGCUGUAAAAAAAUAAGCAAACACUGGCAAUAUGAUCAAGCACAUUCCAAGUAUUAAUACAUCCAAAUAAAACCUAACAUUCAUAUGCAAAUAACAAUGAAGGUAGAGAUUACUUGUAAGAGAUGAUUGCAAUUGAGUGAAUCCGCAGAACUCAGUAGACUCAAACUGCAAAACAGAUGGGGAAAAAUCAAACCCAUUAACAGAGUGAAGAAAUUUUUUAAAUCUUUAAACGAAUUCUGGACAGAAUCAUGUAAAGGGUCUGUUUUGGCUACCGAGAAACUUAGUAUACAUUUAAAUAUUAUUACAUGUUAAUACAAAAAUUUAGCUUUAUUCAGAUGGGAGAGAUCAAAGGUUGCAUCAUUCAGCUUCACACAUGGCUACAACACAAUUUCAAAAACUCUUGUCAUCUCAAAGUCACAUUCUUUAUCAAACUCCCACUCCAUAAUCGAACAGAGGUUGAUAACGGACAAAAAGAAACACAAAGUACGAAAUAUAAUCAAUAUCAUCAGUCAAAACUUACUGCAAAGGGUGAGGGGUCAACCAUGUGAUUUUUUGCCCCUUAACCUCGGCCUGCAUGGACAAACAACGGAAGAAUUCAUACCCAAAUAACACAAUAACAUAAAAUGGCAGGAAUGUAAAUAAUACAAAAUCGAGGGUCCAACACACGUUGAUAUGUCAUCGUGGUUUCCAAUUGAACCAUGAAUUCCAGAAUGUAAAUCAUACCUUGAGUAUAAGAAAACCAGAAAAGGAAAAUUAAAUCCCUCACAAAUGGUGGAAGAAAAUAUGAGAAACCUAUAUUAGUCCCAACGGUGUGAGUUUUCAUCAAAGAAGUAGACAAUCCACACGCUAAAUCACCAAUCAAACAUGAAGAUGAUCACAAAGAAGAAAUCCCUAAAACCAAUAUUUUAUUAGAGUUGAAAAUCGAAAUUAAGCCAAAACGGAACCGACACUACCCAAAUUAAGCUAAAAAUUCACUAACCCAACAUAAAGGCAAAGAAAAAUCACCUCUAGAUGACUGCCAUUGAUUCAAUGCAAAGAGAGCUCAAGCUGCUUAAUAUUGUUCUGAAAUUAGAGAGAGGGUGUGAGAGAUCAUGAGAGGACGGAGGGGCGAAUGGCGGAGUGAGAUUCAGCGCGUCUCUUCUCUGCAUAUAAAAGAUGCCGCACAAUUAUGCAACUUACUCCAUAGACUUAUAAACAUCACAAUUAUAAAUUCUGAAACUGAUAUAAAUUGAAUAGAAAUACACAAAGCAUAAACAAAUUCAGCAUAUGAACACCAAAACUUACCAAACUCAUGUGCUUGCUUGAAGCUGUUUUUGAUCAUUUUUCUACAAUCUACUGCAUAAAAAGGACCAAACUAUAACGGCAAACUAUAUAUAUAAUUUGCUAUAAUACCCAAAAAAAUUAAAUUACAUUAACAUUUGAGUGGAAGCCACGACCAAAGUGGUAAAAUUGAAGAAAACAUCAAAAUCCCAGAAAAAAAAACAAAUUCUUUCAGAAAAAAUCAAAGAAAUUUACUCAGGUAAUCAAUCAAUUAUGUACCUAAUUCCCCUGAUGUCUUGAAUAAAUAUAACACUCCAAGAUAAAUUAACUACCCAAUAUUAAUUUUUCCUGUUUCUUUCUUCUUAUUCUCGGGAAAGAAACAAACCCAAAACAAAUAAUUGAAGAAAACAUACAGAAAAUAUUGGGGAGGAGUAACAUACAAUCUGCUGAGUUCUUAUUCGCUUUGUAGAUAAGAGAUGGUGGCUUCUCAUCGAGUUCAUGUAUGUAUUGCCUGGAGUGAGAUGGUGAGCGGGCGUGAGAGAAUAGGGCAGUGAGAGAGAGUCGGGAGAGAAAAAGAGGGAAAGAAAUGGCGAUGGAAACGGACGGAAACGUAGUCGAAGCAGAGCAAUCCACGAUGAUUAACGCGUGGGCGCUCUUAAACUGUGCAAAAGCAGUGGUAAUUUUGUAAAUAAAUCGAAAUUUUCAAUUUGCGGUGAAGAGAUGAUGGUAAUUUUGUAAAUAACUCAAAAUCCACUCCAAGUUACUAUUCAUUUGAAUAGUGCAAUUGAAAAGCUUUCUUUAGACAAAAGCUAGAAAAAAUGCCCGCGCUUCGCUGCGGGUUUUGAAACUAUUAGCCAUAAUAGACGUGAAUAAUUGGCACGAAAAGAUGCAUUACAAAGGCGACACAAAUGGAGUCAUGUCCUAAAAUGAACCAGUGCAGAUGAAUAAUUUGCAAAAUCACAUUCAGUUUCAUUUCUAUAGGUCAAAAAACAAAGAAAACAUGUAUAUUAACUUGUCAUAUUUUAUAAAACUAAAAGCAUGGACAAUUCAGUGCACCUUGGUUGCACAUUUGUCAUAUCCAGCAGCUCACAUCGGCCACCCCCCACUGGAAUCCAAGGCUGAGGGAAGCCAUCUGCGGGAGUUGUCAUCUGAAGCACCACUCUUAUCUUUGCCUUUGUCUGAUUUGAUAUGUUGCUUACUAUUGCAUGGAUGCCAAGUAGCUUCAACAGCCUUCGAUGUACACAUAUCUGAAAUGCGGUCUUGUCCUACUGUUAGAAGCAAAGAUAGGAGCCCUAAUAGCAUAUUCUCAAGAGCUUCAUAGAGAGCUCUUUUGUUUCUCUUUGUCAACCACUGCAAGGAUUGCAAUUCAAAUUUAAUCAAAAUAAUUCAUUUCACAUUCAUAAUAAACCCGAAAGUGACUUGAUAAGAUGAAAUUAACCCAAUUACGUGUGAAAGGAAACCUUUCCAAUUAAAUGAAUGAAAUAUUUGAUGUGGAUCAAAACCAAAACCAAAUGAAAACAAAUAUCGACAACUGCCCAAGUUGGUGUUUGCCCCAAAGGUCUUCCUCCUCCUCCUCCUGCCAUCCUUUAAUUGAAACCCUAAUUUUCCUUACUACUAAAUAAUGCUAUUUUCGAUCUAUUUCUUUCGGUGUGUAAACUUUACUAAUUCUCGAUAAUUUUCAAUCACUUCCACUGUAAUUAAAAUAAGUACUGAGUAUAUACACACUCAUAAAAACACAAAUUCAGUUUUCCAUUCUAAAAAAUGAACGAAAGCACAUACUCCAAGUCAAUGUUCCUACUAUAUUCAUUAAUCCAACGAUGCAUCAAAUAUAAAAAUUAAAUUAUACCUCUAAUUUAUAACCUUUUGAUCUUGCUUCAUCUGCAGCUAAACCAAAAUUUGGACAAUCCCCAAUAUAAUUCCGUCAAAAUCCACAUAGCAACACCAUGUAAGAAUCAUAUUGGGUGUCUACACCCACACUUAUCAAUGUACACAUAAAUUUGAAAUCUGAAUCACUUGGGCUUCAAAGAAGGCCAAAAGUCUUUGUAUUCAAGCAUUUAAUACUCUACAGAAAUUAACUAAACACAGCCACAUUGAAUACCAAACCCACUUACUUACCAUCUUAUCCAACUCUUAUUUCGUAAAUUUUUCUGGUAAAGAAGCGUAGUUUAUCCUGAGCUCUGCAAUAGAAUAAUUCAAUUCUUCUUCAUUGCUUUUCAAUAGGAUCCCUACAAUCAAACAAACAUAAUUACUCUAGUAAAUAACUUCAAUUUAAAAUGCAAAGAUAUAACAGAAAGGAAAGUGAUUAAUUAAAAAAUAAAACUGUUAAAACAACAGACUGAUACACUUAACAUGCCAAUUUAUAUACUAUAUAACAAUACUAAAUCAAUUAAUUUAUAAAGAUUAGAAAUGGAUUACAAAAAGCAGAAAUCUUAUUUGGCAUGUAUGAAAAUGAUACACACAUUCUUAGCCAAUCAGCAUGAAAAAGGUAUAGAAAACUAAUUUACUUUGUUAACUUUGGACAACUGGAGAGAUGAAAGAACUCUUAGUUUUUACUAUAAGUAUGACAACCAUGUGAUUUCAUUGUUAAUUGGGACUGAUGUGUGUCAUUAGGAUUGCCAAAAUUAGUGAUCUUAGAGUUUGGCAGCCAAUGACCGAAUUGGACUCAAGUUUAUCAACAUUUGAUUCAACUAAACUAAAUUGGAUACGCUCAUUAGCAUAGAAAUAUGUAUACCAUAUGACAAUAUUGAAUCAAGUUAUUUGCAAAGAUUUAAAAUGCAAUGUAAAAAGGAAAAAAUUUAUUUUAUAUGUAAUAAAAUGAUUAACAAAUUUUUUAUUGAGCAGUAUAAAAAAGGUAUUAAAAACUAACCUAAUUUAUUAAGUUUGGAAAAAUUGGACAGAUAAAAGAAAGCUUUUAAUCCUUACUAUAACUAAAAUAACUAUGUUAUUUCAUUAUCAAAUAGGAUUCAUACGUGUAAUCAGGGUUAAGAAAAUCACUGAUUAAAGAAUCUGCCAGAAAUCAUCAAAUUGGACUUGAACUUACCAAUUUCUGAUUCAAAUAAACUAAGAAAAGGAGUUGGAAUCAAACUAACCUCUGUUUUCUAUAUGCAGCAAACUGCAUCUUGUUUUUGCCCUUGUUAACAACAUAUCUUCGCUCUGUACACACCAAAAAACAGUAAACACCUCAUUCAUUACUAACAGCCAUUUCAAUCAAUUAAUUAUUUAGACAAAUUUUUCAACGAUUCCGAAGCUCAGACAAAAAUUGCAUGAGAAAAUUGAGAUUAUAUGCAAUUGGAUGUCAAAGAACCUGAAAAUACCAUAUAUCCAAUAUUUAGUGCAUACACCUAAAAACUAAUCUUUAUAUAUACUUUAAAAUAAUACAGAUCAAUGUAAUCUAAAACAUUGGAAAUGCAUAUCAGUGCAAGCCAAGGUCUCAAGUUCUCAGAGUGGGGAAUUACUGAUUAGAACAGUUAAUUCUCUGCUCCUUUUUGGGUAUGAACUAAUUAGCAUAGUAGCCAUAAAAAUACGAAACAAAAGCUCAAUAAUUUAUGCAAUUUGGUUAAAUUUUAUACAAUUUCUAGCAAAACCCAAAACUCAAUAAUACAAAAGGAACCCAAUAGAUGAUUAAAGCAAUUUUAUACACAACUUAUGCAAGUCCAAAGAAACGCAUUUGAUCAAACUUACUGAAUACUGAAAAAAAAAAUUACAAUCAAAGUACGGAUUAAUAACUACCUCAACAACUAACAGAGCCAAAGCCAAACCCUAGAGCUUCGAAGGGCAGAGACGAUCACAGAGACAAGAAUAGUCCUUAUUCCUUCCCACUGCUGCUGCUGCCACUUUCUCUCUCUAAAAACCAAUUGGAAAUUGUUUAUAAAGAGACAGAGAGGAGAGGGCUAUGAUGAUUGGAUGAAAGAAGCAUGAAAAACUAAAAGACAUGUAAGCUUGAAUUCGAGUCCCAAAUUGAAAAUAUAAGGGAGGAGUGUAAGGGUGGCUUACCGAGGUCAGGAGAGGUGAGUCUCAUAGGAAAAGUCGACGAACAGUGGCAGGAGCCAGUGCACAGUGAAAGGCCUCGCCUGUGUCUCCUGAACAGAACAGAGUGAGUGAUAGUGGUUCUGUGAGAUGGAGCGAGUGGUGGUGGUGCUGUAGUCAUGUUUUGCCGGAAAAUGGAGGCUUUGGUGCGCCUCGGUGUUUACAGAGAAAAGAAAGGGGAGUCCAGGGAGCUAGUGGUUGUUUGAUGGAGUUGAGGCUCGCCGGAGUGGCGAGUUGUGAUGUGGACUCAGGCCUCUCGGCCUCUGGGUUUUACGGAGAAGGGGAAGAUGGUUUAGGGUUGAGAGAGAUGGAGGGACGGCUAGGUUUUAGAAAAGAUGAAGAAGAAUGGGGGUGAGCAGCGCUGGGGCUACAUGUUGAGGGAAAUGAAGAGAGAGCAAGAAGAAGUCGAAGGCAGUGAACCCUACGGACAAAUUUACCCUUCUAAGUUAUAAUAAUUACCCUUCCAACCCAGCCCAAAUCUGAUGGGUUCCUUGUAAAUAAGGUGAAAUCAAGUGGCAAACAAUUGACUGUAGCCAUGAACAGUAAGGAACAGUGCCAAUUGAAAAGCCUUCUUUAGACUAAAGUAAUAAGGCUUUUCAAUUGCACUAUUCAAAUGAAUAGUAACUUGGAGUGGAUUUUAAGUUAUUUACAAAAUUACCAUCAUCUCUUCAUCGCAAAUUGAAAAUUUCGAUUUUUUCACAAAUUACCACCGCUUUUGCACAGUUUAACAGCGCCCACGCGUCAGUCAUCGUGGAAUGCUCUGCUUCGACUACAUUUCCGUCCGUUUCCAUCCCCAUUUCUUUCCCUCUUUUUCUCUCCCGACUCUCUCUCACUGCCCUAUUCUCUCACUCCCGCUCACCAUCUCACUCCAAGCAAUAGAUACAUGAACUCGAUGAGAAGCCACCAUCUCUUAUCUACAAAGCGAAGAAGAACUCAGCAGAUUGUAUGUUACUCCUCCCCAAUUUUUUCUGUAUGUUUUCUUCAAUUAUUUGUUUUUGGGUUUGUUUCUUUCCCGAGAAUAAGAAGAAAGAAACAGGAAAAAUUAAUAUUGGGUAGUUAAUUUAUGUUGGACUGUUAUAUUUAUUCAAGACAUCAGGGGAAUUAGGUACAUAAUUGAUUGAUUACCUGAGUGAAUUUCUUUUAUUUUGUCUGAAAGAUUUUUUUUUUUCUGGGAUUUUGAUGUUUUCUUGAAUUUUACCACUUUGGUCGUGGCUUCCACUCAAAUGUUAAUUUAAUUUACUUUGUUUGGGUAUUAUAGCAAAUUAUAUAUAUAGUUUGCCGUUAUAGUUUGGUCCUUUUUAUGCAGUAGAUUGUAGAAAAAUGAUCAAAAAUAGCUUCAAGCAAGCACAUGAGUUUGGUAAGUUUUGGUGUUCAUACGCUGAAUUUGUUUAUGCUUUGUGUAUUGUCUAUUCAAUUUAUAUCAGUUUCAGAAUUUAUAAUUGUGAUGUUUAUAAGUCCACGGAGUAAGUUGCAUAGUUGUGCGGCAUCUUUUAUAUGCAGAGAAGAGACGUGCUGAAUCUCACUCCGCCAUUCGCCCCUCUGACCUCUCAUGAUCUCUCACACCCUCUCUCUAAUUUCAGAACAAUAUUAAGCAGCUUGAGCUCUCUUUGCAUUGAAUCAAUGGCAGUCAUCUAAGGAUGAUUUUUCUUUGCCUUUUUGUUGGAUUAGUGAAUUUUUAGCUUAAUUUGGGUAGUGUAGGUUCCGUUUUGGCUUAAUUUCGAUUUUCAACUCUAAUAAAAUAUUGGUUUUAGGGAUUUCUUCUUUGUGAUCAUCUUCAUGUUUGAUUGGUGAUUUAGCGUGUGGAUUGUCUACUUCUUUGAUGAAAACUCUCACCGUUGGGACUAAUAUAGGUUUCUCAUAUUUUUUUGCACCAUUUGUGAGGGAUUUAAUUUUCCUUUGUGGGUUUUCUUAUACUCAAGGUAUGAUUUACAUUCUGGAAUUCAUGGUUCAAUUGGAAACCACGAUGACAUAUCAACGUGUGUAGGACCCUUGAUUUUGUAUUAUUUACAUUCCUGCCAUUACCAAAAAGCAUGGGCUGCAGAGAGAGAGGGAGAUAGGCGGGGGAUGGCAGGGAGGGGAAGGGAGAGGGAGGAGUGAGGUUGCUAUAAAAAGGGGUUAUGGUUGAUUUUUUUUUCUCCUCAAAUCAAGGGUUGGUGUCGGGAUUAAGGGAUGUGUCAAAAUUGCCAAUAGAAGCCUAAAUUAAUGGGUAGUUGUCGGUGAUUGAGAGAUUGAGAGGGAGAAAAUUGGGGGAGGUUGUCACUGACCCGAUGGAGUGAGGGAUUUUGUGAGGAUUAACUAACUUAUUGACUAGGAACACAAGACAAGACAUGCUUCCGGUAAACCGCCUCCGUCGCUUUCCUCCUCUCGCCUCCGUCUACCUCCUCUCCCUUUCUUCGUCUCCCCCUCCUCCUCUCUCUCUCUCUCUAUGGAAUCGAUCGAUCUUCGAAGAGGAUAAAAAGAUCUGAAAUGGUGUGCUUCUUCUACUGUGAUUCUGUGUUUUUAAUUUUUCUGGGUUUGGCUUCUUCUUUUAUUCCACUACUAAUUUACAAAAAUAAUGAAUUUUGUACAUUUUGUUUUUAUUUUACUUUUUGUUAUAUUUCAUUGUAAUAUCAAAUAGAGUUGGUAUUUUAAAAUCUCACUGCAAUGUUUUUUGUUAUAUUGUUGGUGGGUAUCUUUAAUUAUGCCCUGAUGGAGAAAGGCAAAGAGGACAGACCUGGAUUUGGGGCAUAAAAGGGAUCUUUAGAUUUCUGUGAAAGUACUUUGUGCCUUUUUGCUAUUGGUGAUGAGUGUUCAUGAAUAUUUAUGCUUUAAUAUAGCUGUUACAGGAGCAAGUUGUUUAGUUAAAAUCCUAAGAAGAUUAGGGUAAAACAUUCCGGCUCUCUCAUUAUUGAUAGUCUGAAUUUCUGCAAUCUCUGAGAUAUAUUUGGGAUAGUUUUAUAGUGAUAUACAUCAAGGUUCAAGAAAAACUUUGCUGCACUGCACUAUAGGAGUAUCUGGUUGAUGAAAUUUUUCUGAUUUAAGCAUUUAGCUCCUCGAUUGCAUUAAAUCAGUAUUUAAAGAAGUUUUUGUCUGAGAAUGCAUUGAUAGAAUUUUUUUUGCCCAAAAAUUAACUCACAGAGCUUCCUGUGAGUUAGUCUUAGCUUUUGAUUUAAUUUUUUUAGAAUUAUUAUCAUUUUUUUUAUCUCUGCUGCUGUUUUGGAUUUUUUUUAAUGAUUUUUAUGCGAUGUUCAUCUGUGUAGGCACUCAAAUUAGUGUUUUGGAGUGCAUAUGGACCAGACACCACAAAAGAGAAAACGGAAACCAAAAUCAGAGCCAUCAAAACAAACAAAUGCUGGUAUGUCCUAAAAAAGGUUGGUUUGUGCACUUUCAAAGAAUACAUGGAAGAAGAUAAUAUUGAUCAUGGUGUAGAAUGUGAUGGUAAUGUGGUUGAAAAAGAUAAAAUGUUGCACGAAAAGAUCUCAGAGCUCAUUGACGAAAAUAUGCAGCACCAGGCUGAGUUGAUAAGGAGAAACAAGGAGAAUAGUGAAACAAUUGAGUGGCUUUUAUCCCAGGUGCAUAAGCUAACGGAUGAGAACAAAAUUUUGAAGAUUAAUCUGGGAAUCCAUAAGGAUACUACUGAUCAUACAAUUGCAAUCCAUAAGGAUGCUACUGAUUAUACAAUUACAAGGCAAAACAAGCCUCAGUUUUCAAAGUCUAAGUCCAUAGGGCCAUCUUUCCCUGGAAGGCUCACUGGAUGCCUAGAACUUGGAUCUUAAUUAGCUACUUUUCAACUUUAGUAGGUAGCGUUAUAAGUUUUCAAAUGUAUCUGUUUAUAUGCUUUCAUAAUACAUGUGAAGAUUCCGAGUCAAUUAUAACAUAUUUUAAUUUUUAAUUUUAUGAGUAUAGAAAAGGAAUUGAAUGCUUCGUUAUUUUGAUCUUGCAGCUGAAGCCAAGUCUGGAUAGAGAGAAAGAUCUCAUGGUAGGAAUCAUGGACUUGAUGAAGGUGAGGUUAACAAAGUGUGCUUUAGCACCAAGAUUGGAAUCUGGGUGUUCUGAGUUUUGUUUUGUUGUGAUUUUUCUAUAAUCUAGAUGCUGAAAUACUUGGAGUUGGAAUUAAUAAGAAUUGAUUGAACAUGGAUUUUUUAUUAGAUUGGUAUGGCUGACAUAGUUAAGAAGUAGUUUAAGAUGCAGUGAUUAGGGCAUUUCUUUAACUGAACAUAUUUGUUUUCAUGAGGUAGAUAGAAUCCUCUGUAAUUUAAUUAAUUAGAUUGAAAUUUGGGGUCUGGAUUCUUAAACUACUAUGGUGGUUAAUGUAGCUUUUUUGGUGAAUUUUUCAAGUGGGGAAAAAGAGGUGGGUGUGGGAUUUAUAUUGUUAUUCUCAGUUGGUAUAUAAAUAUUUGAGUGUGCAAGAAAUGGUUACCAUACAAAAAAUACAAGAACUGAAAUUAGAAGGGAUAAUGGCAGUUUGCAGAGGGUUGGUUCAGGGAUGGUAAAAGUUGUGUACGUGGCGAGAUUAAUGGAGGUGGUUUCGUGGUGGCGUAGUUCUCCGUGAAAAAUGGCGACGGUGGUCGCCUUGCUAUUUCUGUGCAGCGAGCACAGUAUCAAGAGAGAGAGAGAGAGAGAGGUGAGGGAAAUAGGGAGAGUAGUAGAGAGGGAGUGAGACAUGAGGGUGGUGGCAAGCUGGUGCCUUGAGGGAGUGGCGAGUGAGGUGGUGAUAGUUUCUCGAACGGGAGAUUUAUGGUGUACUAGAGAACUUGACUCCUCUCUCAGUCUGGUCUCCGGAAGAGAAAACCAAACAUAGCUAUGCAUUAGCAAAGUUUGAAAUGAGGGUUUUUAAUCUUUGGCAUGCUAUUGUCUUUAUUUGAUCAUUCUUUGAAAAAAAUUAUGAUGGACAAGUGAAAUAAACUGAAUGAAAACUUGGAGAAGAAGUUCUGAUUUUUAAUAUCUUUAAUCCGGGAUUAUUGUGAUGCCCUUUGACAAUUGAAAUGUGAAUGCAUUAUGUUGCUUAGAACACAAGUCAAUAUUUUUUAAACUGUGUUAGGUAUGAUGGAUGCUAUAGAUAGAAAAAUGUUGGCUUAAGGUUGGAUUCCAGGUAAAUAUGUGCUAUCCUGGAUGAUGGAAUUGCAUAGCAUCCUAAGUUUCUUUCUAUAUUUUCCUGAACAGAUUUACUGAAAAUGUUUUUCAAGGAUAUUCAACAAUAACUUUAAUCUUCAGACUUUCUCAUUGUUGCAGUCUCUAAUGCUUUAGUUAAUCCUAUUAGCCUAUUGUUAGAUCAAUUAAAAGAGUGUUUUAGCCUUCUGUUAGUGUUUCAUCUUAUAUACUUUCUCUCAUUGUUAGAUCAGUUGUGAUUCUGUGUGGUUCAUGUUUCCGGGUGUAAAAUUGUUCAUACAAUCUCACUUUUGCAUCUAAUUAGUGAGCCAAAAAGAAAAUUUUUAACAUUUUAAAUCCUAAUUAUCUCUAUUUCAGCCAAUGCAUAUUUUUUCCACCUAAAAGUCUUUGAUGCAUGUCUUCUUUUUUUUUUUUUUAGUAUUGAAACAUACAUUGUUCGAAAUUUGUUGAGCACUUGAAACUUUACAAGUUAAGAUUUGGAAUUUUAUGAUAUAUGAUAACUGCUUUGUAUGUUUGUUGUUGAUUAAGCACGUGGGAUACAACUCGGUCUUAGACACUUAAUAAAGGUUUAUCGUUUGAAAUUAAUGGGGCACAUGUUAUUCUCAUGAUAUUGGCUGCAAAUGCUGCAGAGUGAUUACAGAAACCAACGCAGAAAAAGCUUUAUAGGUAACUUUUACAUUUAUAGCAUUUCAGAAUUCGCAUAAAUACCAGAAAACAUCUUGAAAGACUACCAUUUCAAGUGGAUCUUUUCUUUCAUGUGGAAACCAAGCUUCCUUUUUCUUAACUCAUUCUAUUAAAACUUCAAAUUAUGUUCAAUUUGUUGAUUGGCUGUUAGCACUUAAGUUGAUCUAUUUAUUUCCAAUGUACCCUUUUUUAUGCAUGAGUGCUUUUCUGUUGCAUGUUUAGAAGAUGAAUGCAUCAAUUCUUAGGUAACCUUCUUUUUGUUCUGUGACGUAGGACAGAGUAGGACAGCGGAAAUUAGAUUGUUUAGCGGAAGUGAAACGACAUAAAACUUAAAUUGAAACAUCAUAUGCUUCUGUUUUAUAGGACUGGGGGGGGGGGGGAUAAAAACAGUAUAUUUUGUUGUUGCAUGUUUCAUUUAAUUCAAACUUUCAAAUAUACACUCUCUCUCUUCAUUAUGCACAGUAUGUUGAUGUGAACUGAAUCUAAAUAAUUUGUCUUUCUGUCGAAAAUAUUCAUAGUAUGUCCUGCAUUACAGUUUCAAAACCCACAGCAGCACGUGGGCAAUUUUAUUUUCCCUCUCCCUAUAUGUAGUUUAAUAUAAUUCAACGAGUUCAAAGAGAAUGAUCAGAAUGAAGGUUUGUAUUAGAUCCGAUGUGCUUCCUCUUUCUAUGCAUUUUGGUUCAAAUUAGGGUUUUAGGUUGAAACCCGAAACGAAAAGAGAAUAAAGUUUUCAGGAUGUUCGGAUUUUGUGUUUCGAUGAGAGGAAAAAAUGAGAAAUUUGUUAAGAAAAGUUGUGGUCGGAUUUUACAUGUUUACCGUUUUCAAGGUACGGUGUUCAUCGAUCUUAACUUUAAAUUUGUUUCUCAAUUUUUUUGUAGUUUUGGAUUUGUAAAAACCCUCGAUUGAAUCGGGUGCUGGUAUGGUCCCUUACAGGAAAAAAAAGUUUCAUUUUUUUCCCCUUAAAAUUUUAGUUUUUGUUAUUUUCUUUUUUCUUCACAAAGGAACUUAGGUGGUAGCUGUAUUACUAAUUAGCUACAGAAUUUAUAUAUUCUUAUGAGUACGGUAUGGGUGCAGGUUUGCUAUGUUGCUUUUUGGGAUGAAAUUACUUUAAAUACAAAGGAAAAUUUGAUCGAUAUUAUUGGGUUGUACGCAGAAAUCUAAGUUUUACCUAUUUUGAUAAUGCUUGGUUUUUGUGUAUUGAGUUGGAUAGACAGUUCAUAGGUUUGGUUCCAUAUUUAUUCGGAGAAGAAAAACACAAAGAGGGCAACACAAUAACCCUAGGAUGAUUAUAUAUGGAAUGAAUUAAAUCUAUUAACGAAUUAUAUUUUGGGUGGUGUUAGGGAGAAACGCCUACACUCCAAAUAUUUAUGAAUUGGAUUCAUUAUAAAAUAGGUAAAUUGUAUGCAUUACUUCUUUUGGCACUAAAUCUUUUGUUAAAUUUUAUUUUGCUGACUUUUAGUUUUUGACUUUCCUUUGGCAGGACUUUUAAUUAAGCAUGCAUCUUUGGUGUAAUAUUAUCAUAUUCUUGAGGUUUGAAUUUUUUACUCUUACUUUUGUGACCAUUAUAUGUUUGCGUAUCUCUCUUUUGGGUUAUCCAUCAAUUAAAAAUUAUUAUGUGAGGAUUUUGAUUGUUGACUUAUCAUUGGUAUAUUUCAAGUGGUUUUUGAUAUUUUGAUAGGUGUUGGAAAAAAAAGAUGAAAUUGUUUUGCGCUCAACGCAUAGUUAAUCUUAAAAUAGGGUUUAUUAAAUUGGUUUGAUGAUAUAUAGGUGGUAACAAAUUAAUGAUGUCAACUCCUACAAGGAAGAGGCUGAUGAGAGAGACUUCGAGAGGCUGCAACAAGACCAGCCUGCGAGGAUUAGUGGGGCGCCUCAGGAUAACAAUAUAAUGUUGUCGGCGAGGUUAGUUAUUUUUUAGGCUUUGCUUCUACAAACGUGAACUCUUUACAUGGAAACCGAAUUUUAUGUGAAUUUUAAUAGUUAUAUAUCAAACUCCUCUGCACUGAACUCUGUGUAUUACAACAAUUAUAAUUAGAACUUGGAUGAAAUGGGCUCCAUCCAGCAAAACUCCUGCCCUAACAAUAAUAAUUAGAACCAAAUUUGAUAAUUUCUCAUAGUUUAGGCCAUUUGGCCAAGUCAGAAUGAGAAACAUAGAUGUUUUCUUUAUCUUAUGCUAUUUGUUUGGCUGUAAAUCGUAUGGAGUAAAUCUCAUGGUGUCAUUCUAAAUAAACUGGAAAUAUGUCUCAUGCAAAAUUAAUGUUGAUGUUUAUCAAUGGAAAUAAGUUUUGAAGUGAUUACCUUUCUUUAUACAAGUUCUCUUCACAAUGAAACCUAUAUUAUAGUGUCACUUUUACUUGCUUUCGCACAAAAGGGGUGUCUGGACAUGUAAUUGGCGUGUCAUUACUCACUAAAUCUUUUUUAUCCUUAUCUUCUAUAUUAAUAUCACCAUUUUUUUGGGUGCUCAUUGAGUGGUUUGGCAGGUAAUAGAUAAAGGUUUUAAUGCAUUCAUUUAAUGUUAUUACAGAUCUGCUAAAUUCUUCAAGAAGUCCGGUUUACAGAACUGAAGCUGUUUAAGCACAAGGUGUCCCAGUUUAUAGAUGAGGUAUUAUAAAAUUUAAAAAGCGUCAAUAUUAUCAUUACUGAUCCUUAACAUUUAACUAUCAAAGCUUGAGUUUAUAAUAAUUAAUUCUUCACUGAUGAUAUGUUGUGAUGGGGUUUAGUAAUUUUCAGUAUUCUUCAAUUCUUUUAAUCUGCAAAAUCAAAUAGCCCAUGGAAUUUAUGGCAUACAAUUAGUUUCCUUUCAGUUGGGUUGAAAUGAUAUUGAUUGUGUUGUUAUGAAGCUCCUUUUUAUAGUUAGGUUGAAAAUCAUAUUGAUAGAUUCUUUAUUUGGUUGGUCCUAUCUGUAACAAAUGGGAUUGUUUUGUUUGAUGUUUGAAUCAAAAUUUGAUCUUUUUUUGUGUGAAAUUAUGAUGGAAUCGCAAAUUUGUGAGGUAUAUCUUAGAUUAUUGGUUGCAUAGUCACCUUCCCACAACUAUCACAUUGUCUCUUGACUAGAUGAAUUUUUAUAAUUUCUAGGAUCUACGGUUGCAAUGCUUUUGAUGCAUGCAAUCAGGAGGAUGCUACUACUCUUAUGGAGCUUCUUUGGCAUGGUAAGUUGAAGUUGCAUAGCAUUUUUUUUUCGUUCACGAAAUUCGUUAUCUUGCUAUCCUGGCAAUUAGCAGUGUCUGACAACUGGUGAAGUAUAUGAAUAUAUGUGGAAGUUUGAAUUAUACAAAUGAAAGUGAACUUUUAACAACUCUAACUUAGAAUUUUUAUUAAUUUCUUUCAUUUGUGUUCGACUAUUUUACUUUUUUGGUAUAUAAGUACAACUAUAGAUCGAAAACCACAUAAAUUACCUAACAGCCAAGGAAUUGUUUGUGGUAGAACAUAACAUGAUGUAAAGCUCAAAUUUUGGGCACUUAAAUAUAUGUUUUUUUUUUUUCAAUUACAAUCAGUCAGCAUGAAAGUUCAAUUGGAUUUGUUCUGGUCUCCAAAAAUUUUUCUUUGUUUGGUUACCGAUUAAUUUAUGUGGUGAGAGUUUAGUUUUUGCUUUUCUGCCUAUGUAUAUAUGAUUUGAAAUGGACAAUUCAAUUUUCUAUAUAUAAAUUUGUAGUCGAAGAGUUCGAAGGAGAGGUGAAUUAGAAACAAUGGGGGGAAGAGUGAUGGAGUUGAGGAGUUGAGAGUUAAUGAGGUAUACUUGAAUUUCUGUAUGAUGUCCUUGGUAUUGGGAGAUCAUUGAGACUAACUAUCUGGUUGAUUAAUCACGAUGUCCUUGGUAUUGGGAGAUCAUUGAGACUAACUAUCUGGUUGAUUAAUCACUAAUUUGAACUAUUUGUGCUUGGAAAAUUAGCUACUUGAACAAGUACUGAACGCUUUCUAUGUUUUCUCUUAUUAACUGCUGAAAUAGGUGCCUGCCCUAUAGGACACAUAUUUUGCCUUCUUAACUACAAGGGAAAAAUAUGUGUGAAUUGCAUGUUGCUUAUGUUUCUUAUGGAAACAGAACUUUUUUUGGCAACCAUGUCUUUGUGAUCAAGAAUGUUCAGUUUCUUCCUACUAAUUGUGCAAUGUCUUUACAUGUCAACUUAGUGGAAUGUAUAUAAAAGUCAAACUACUUAUCUUAUCGAUCUCAUUCACUCAUGUGUCCCUCUGUUCAUUCAUGAUUGUGUUGAAUUUUUUCAGGUAAAAUGUGUCUUAUUCAUGCAGUUACGCCUGAAAUAGUGGUUCCCACUGCAACACGUGGGCUUAUUUUCUAGUUAUGUCUAUUUUUGUCAUUAUACAAAAUUUCCAAAAUUUUACAUUAGUAUUUACCAAACGCUUUUAUACUACUUUUCAUACUUACAGCAGUUUUAAAAAUACAGUUUACCAAACGUUCAGCUGCUUUAUUUUACAGCUGAUUAUUCUUAAAGCACAACUGUUGACCCUAAAAACUACAAAGCCUACGUGGCGCGCAGGCCGAGUAAUUAAUGAGCUAACUACGUCCUUCGGUGAAUGCGGGGCGUGCCAACUCGUCGGCCGAGCUCGGCCGAGGAGUAAAUUUGUUGAUGUUGCGUUGGGUCGCGCUACUGACUUCUGCGUCUUGCCAUUGCGGCCGAGAAAGGAACACGUCUCGGCCUCUUGGGCUCUCGAACCUGAAGACAAGGUUACUAUUCUUACGAAGUUCAAAAUCAAAUUCGGCUUUCAAUGUGCCGAAUGUAAUAACUGUAACACCUCACUUCGCCGAGAAGGCUGAUGAGAUGACCUCGACCAAUAAGGAUUUAGAAACCCUUCUCGACCGAGACUUGGAUAGGUAAUCAAUCGUUCUCGCCGCAGUGCUGUUGAUGCCAACGGAAGGUACUGCGAGACCGACUGACUCUACAGUGACAGAGCUAUCUAUGCCGACUUAAGAUAUCACCGGUUGCUUCCACAGUGCUGUUGAUGCCAACGGAAGAUGUGUCAGUGAAAAAGGAAAAAGAAAAAUCACAAGUUGUGAGAGUUUGCGCAGGGCAAUUUUGUAUUGAUUUUGUGGGUCUCGUUCCGUUGCCACUGCCUCUCUAUUUAUAGAGCUAACUUAGCAUAAAACCCGGCCGUGACCAUCAAUCACCACCACAAAUAAUAAUCGUUACGCGAGGAUGAUUAUCCAAUGAGAAUCGUAGCACUCAAAUCUCUUUGGUGCUAACGCAUUUCAGCCAAAACCACAUAACAAAUCAUGGCAUGCCAAUUCCGUCUUUUGCUAAAGAUAAGCAUUGUCGUUCAAAUCCUAGUCCCAAAGCCCUGGCAUAUCAAGCUUUAUCCAUAGGAUAUUCACUUCACCUAUUUGGCAACCUUGAAUUUGCUAAUAAUUAUCCCAUGCAUGCAUCACAUUAGCUUACGUAAUUAAUCUUUCAAGUUGGACUCCACCUUGAUCACCAACUGAUGCCACCACGUGCUAGGACUCUUCUCAUAAUGCAUGAUGCUUAAUCCCCGCGUCGAAUGAUAAGAAUCCCACAUUAAAUCGAACUGUUCUGCUUGCUUCGGUAUAGUUUGCGUCACAUUUAUCUUGUAUAAAAAGUGUCAAGAUAAUUCAUUAUUAAAAGAUCAUUAUUAUGAUUAAAAAUCAUAAUAUUAUCCCCUAACAACAAUAAAAUUAUCUUAACUUUCCUAUCCGACGGUGUGGAGCAAUGCUCACUCAACGGCCUUGAUCGCACGGGCCGAUGAUGUAAAUUGAGGUCCAAACAACAACAGAAGCAGUUUUAAAAAUAAGAACAGCAAUCCCAAACUGGCCCUUAGUCGAGGCGAGUCCUCCUUUGUCCCAUUGAACUUAGUCCUGCCAGUGAACAAACACGGAUUACACUACCUUUUAACUUAAGCUAGUCCAGUGAGAGCUAAAAAGGCAAACAAACAUCCCCUUAAUCGUUUCUGUACAGAGACUGCUAAAGAAACAGCAUGAUCAAAAUCAAAGAAUCAUGAGGCGGCCCCAGCAAGCCCCUCAGCGGCUCUACGUCCCUCCGUCGUCGCGCGACGGAAACAGCCACGACAACUACGAAGACACCGACCUCGACAACAUCGAUUACGACGACAACGAUGGUUCCAAGGACCCCGGGAGUGACGACAACAACCACGGCAACGCUGGCAGCGGUGAUGAAGAAGUCGAUCCUCUGGAUGCUUUCAUGGAGGGGAUUCAUGCGGAGGUGAGGUCAGCUCCGCCGCCGAAGCUGAAAGUGAAGGCCGAGAAGUACAGGGACGAUGAGGAGGAGGAUCAUAUGGAGAGGUUUCUGAGGGCUAAAAGGGACGUGGUGCUCACGCUGGCAUCAGAUGCUUUACACACCAGAUAUGACUCCGAUGAAGAGGUAUAUGCGACCGCCAAGGCCGUCGAUGCCGGGUUGUUGGAGUACGAUUCAGAUGAUAAUCCCAUUGUUCUGGACAAGAGGAAGAUCGAGCCGAUUUCAGCUCUCGAUCAUAGUUCAAUCGACUACGAGCCGUUUAAUAAGGAUUUUUACGAGGAGAAAGAGUCGAUUUGAGGUAAAUUCCAACCGAACUGAGAAUUUGGUUUCUUUCUUUUUUUCUUUCCAUUCACAUUUGUUUUUUAAAUUUUUGUGUGAAUUUAGUCGAAAUGCGUAGCAAAGUAUUUAAAUUUAAGUGGGAGAGAAUAUUGACCGGUAGAAGUUCUCAAGGAGAGAUUUGAAAUGGAAGACUAGAGUUAACUGGUGUUUUGGUUUCCUUGUUUAGGGAUGAGUGAGGAGGAUGUUUUUUAGUACAAGAAGAGCUUGGCCAUCCGUACGUCGGGGUUUGAUGUACCGAGGCCAGUUAAGACAUUUGAAGAUUGUGGAUUUUCUUCACAACUCAUGGCUGCCAUAAAAAAACAAGACUACCAAAAGCCGACACCAACACAAUGCGUAGCUCUACCCAUAGUUCUUUCCCGGAGAGAUAUAAUUGGUAUUGCGAAAACUGGUUCUGGAAAGACUGCCACUCUUGUCCUUCCAAUGAUUGUCCACAUUAUGGAUCAGCCAGAGCUUCAAAAAGAAGAAGGUCCAAUUGGAGUGAUAUGCGCUCCUACUAGAGAGCUGGCGCACCAAAUAUACUUAAGAGUCCAAAAAAAUUGCAAAAUCACAUGGGAUACGUAUCUCUGCUGUAUAUGGUGGAAUGUCUUAAGCUUGAUCAGUUCAAAGAACUUAAGGCAGGAUGUGAAAUAGUUUUUGCUACUCCUGGGAGAUUGAUCGACAUGCUUAAAAUGAAGGCACUGACAAUGCUUAGGGCAACUUACCUAGUACUUGAUGAGGCUGAUCAGAUGUUUGACCUUGGGUUUGAGCCUCAAAUUAGAUCUAUUGUUGGUCAGAUUCGGCCAGACCGACAGACAUUGCUCUUUUCUGCGACAAUGCUCCGUAAAGUUGAAAAAUUGGCUAGGGAGAUUCUCUCAGAUCCUAUAAGAGUUACAGUGGGUGAGGUGGGAAUGGCCAAUGAGGAUAUCACUCAGGUUGUUCAUGUAAUUCCUUCUGAUGAUGAGAAGCUGCCCUGGCUUUUUGAGAAGUUACCAGGAAUGAUUGAUGAGGGUGAUGUUUUAGUAUUUGCUUCAAAAAAAGCUGCAGUGGAUGAGAUCGAGUCACAGCUUGCUCAGAAAGGUUUUUAAGUCACAACUCUGCAUGGUGACAAGGACCAAGCAUCUCGGAUGGAUAUUUUGCAAAAAUUUAAAUCUGGCAUUUACCAUGUUCUUGUUGCAACUGAUGUUGCUGCUCGUGGUCUUGACAUCAAGUCAAUUAAGUCAGUUGUGAACUUUGAUAUUGCAAAAGACAUGGACAUGCACAUCCAUUGAAUUGGUAGAACAGGUCGGGCUGGUGAUAAGGAUGGCACUGCGUACACUCUUAUUACACAGAAAGAGGCACGUUUUGCUGGUGAGUUGGUUAAUAGCUUGGUUGCUGCUGGUCAGAUUGUCUCCACGGAGCUCAUGGACCUUGCGAUGAAGGUAAUUUUGCAUUACUAUUAACAUUUUUUUUUUGUGGUUUAUAUAGCGAGUUUAUACAUGCAUCCAACUACUUGCCUUUUUGUUUUAGAGAUGGUGGUUAUAACCUUAGUUUGUAAUCCUAUAAUGCAUUUAAGGCGAAUACAAGUUAUUAAUAUGUUCUCUGGUAAAACGUGCUCUUUUUAAUGCAAUAUGGAUUCUGGACAAUUACACCUACUGGUGUUUGUCUCACAAAUAAACUACGUUAUCUUCACUCUACUAUAUAGGUGCAUAGGUUGCUUCUGAUUUAGAGUGCGCUUUCGAGAGAGAUGGAUUUGAUGACCAUUUGGUCUUCAAGGCCUUAUUUUGGAAAGCUUUAGUAUGUCCUUGGAAUUACAGGGAUCUUGAGAUCGUUGACUUCAUAACGUCAAGAUAGUCAAUUUCAGGAAAUGUGCUUAGUUUAGGGAGAGAGUAAUUAGACAGUCUUUAGUAGUCCCAUCUUUACUUCAUACCAUGCUCUGCUUAGAAAAGGGGUUGUUGGGGGUGUAUGUUGGCUUGUUGGGUUGUGGAUUGAAGCAUAGAGAUGACUUGAAGAUGAAGCUCAGUCUGGGGACGUAAUAACUUUUGUGUAUUAUUAAGUACUCGCUUGCAUUCUGGGCUACCAAUACAUCGGUUGAGGCCAACCAAUUUGCAUUUAAGAACUAAGAGAAAAAUCGCAUUUUAAGUACUAAAUCUUAAUUACCACAUGGACCCUUAGUAAAUUGUCACUUAUUUUCCCUUGUGCCAAUAUAUCUCAUAGACAUAAAUGCACAGCUUAUCAUGAUAGGUGGCUGCACCUGCAUUAGUUUUAGAAGUUUUACACUAUGAGAGCCACUCAUGCAUCAUUUCUUCAGUCUUGUGACUUUUAAUUCUUGCCUUGCUGCUUGUAGCUUUGUAUUUUAUAUCCAUCAUAAAUACACUGGUUUCCAUCUCCUACAUGGAUGUGCAGUUAUUUUGGGUGCACCUUGUCUGUGGAACUUUUGUUGCUUUCCCUUACUAUGUUUCUUGUUUGAUAGCUUUAGAUGUUAUGUUAGAUUUCAGAUUUUACAUUCUCUAUUUUAAUGGGAUUUACCUUGUUUAUUAUCAGGAUGUUAGAUUCAUAUCAAAAUGUGAUUCAAGAAAAGGAGUUAUAAACUUUAAUCAUAUUAAAAUUUCAAUUUUCUUAAGGUUCUUUUGCAAUUUCAUAUUAAAUAAGCCUUUUUCUACAAUUCAAAUGAUGAUAUUAUAUGGAUUCUGCAGGUGGAAAGAAAGGUAGAGGGAGGGGCGGCGGUGGUCGAGGUGUGCGUGGGGUGGAUUUUGGUCUGGGUAUUGGAUAUAAUACGGAGUCCAAUAGUUCUUCAUCGAAUACUGUUCCUAGUCGAUCUGUUGCAGUAACUCCUCAGAGGACAGGAAUGAUGUCUCAGUUCAAGACUAAAUUUGUUGCCGCUUCAUCUAACUCUCCAAGUCAAGGUUCAGCUAACAGCUCUAGUGUGCCCAACAGACAGGCAUUACGAGGAUUUGUAUCCGGUGGUUCAAUAGGUGGUGAUGUAUAUAGAACUCAGGCAACCAGUACAAUUACUCCUGCUCCUGCUCCAACAUCAAUGGUAAAUAAAACUGCUACUCCGAACACUGGACAAAAUUCAAGUCAGAAACCCUCCGAAAGGUUAAUUAAACUGAUGCUUGGUUAGAAUUUUUUAUGUCUUUACUUAUUUGAUUGGUGUUGAGCAGUUUCAUUUGUGCCGAUUGCAGUUCUAGAGAUAAACCCAGAGAAAGGCGGAGGCGCUCCGUUUGGGACUGUUAACCGUACAGUUGAACUACACCACUCUCGCAUAAUGAAUUACAAGUUUUACUUUUGUUGUAGGUCAAGUCCUGAUAUUCCUAUAUUAUUGUUGAUCUUUGUCACUUUCUUUGUCGCUCUGUUUAUAAGUUAAAAGAAACAGAAGAUUUUGUAAACUCAGAUCGACUUGUUGCACAAAUAGUGGAUGAUUUAAAACAUAGACUGUUCGUAUCAUUAAAAUACGUUAUGAAGUAGAUUCUACAAAAAGUUGUGCCGUGUAAAAAAAAUUGUGAUGUUUCACAUGUGCUCCGUAUGUUAUUUAUAUUAAUCAUUCUGAAUUACAUCAUAACUCAACGACUUGGUAUAUAAUACAAUAAGGCCUUGUUGGAUGUCAAUGAUUUGAUUGGUUAUGACUGGAUUAGAUUGGCUUAGUUUGGAAAAUUCACUAGAUUCAGUGAAUGUUGAAAGAAAAUAUGGAUUGCUAUUUUGUUCAAGUGAAGAUGGAAGAGAAAAAGAAUAAGACAAGUAUAACAAAUCAAAUAUUGACGGAGCAUGCAUAGGUUUUUAAUUACAACUAUUCGUCAAUUGGUGCUUAUAAUUUUUGGUUUUAAAUGCUAUUAUCUCUUAAAUAAAAUAAUUAUGUUGCUUUAGUCUCCUCAUCGUAUUAUACGUGUCGAAUUCGUGUGAAGUCUGGUGGGACAAGAGAGAGAUAAGGAGGUUGACUUUGAUCAAUUGACCUCCUUUCCAUAGCCAUUUUUCUUUACCUUCAUCCCCUUACACAAAGUCCAUUCUUAAGAUCUCUAGUUCUCUCUCAAUGGCUGCUAAAAGUUCCCGAGAUUCUUCUUCGUCCUCUUACCAGUGUUCCUAUCAUGCCUUCUUGAGUUUCAGAGGCCAGGACACGCGCAGGGGCUUUACUGAUCACCUCUAUAGAGCUUUGGAGCUAGCAGGAAUCCACACCUUUAGAGACGAUGAUGAAAUCAAGAGAGGGGAGAAUAUUGAGUCGGAGUUAGAGAAGGCGAUAAAGGAGUCACAAGUAUCCAUAAUUGUCUUCUCCAAGGACUACGCUUCCUCAAGGUGGUGUUUGAACGAACUUCUGAAGGUCGUGGAACGUAGAAAUACUGAUCGUAGACAUGUGGUUCUGCCAGUUUUCUAUGAUGUGGAUCCAUCCGAUGUCAGGAAGCAGAGUGGUACUUUUGCUGAAGCAUUUGCCAGACACGAGGAGCGAUUCAGUACGGAGGAGAUGGACAAGGUGGAGCUGUGGAGAAGAGCUCUUAGACAUGUUGCAAGUUUGGGAGGCAUGGUUUUAGGAGAUCGGUAAUUUCUAUUCUCAUUAUGUUCUCACGCUAAUUGAAAGUGUCUUUUAAAUUAAGUAAAAUUGUAGAUGGCAGUGAAACUUGAAGUUGUUCGCCUAUAUAUACUGCAACUUUGAUUUAUAUGUUCCUAUCGAUUCAAAUGAAUUACAGGUAUGAGGGGCAGUUCAUCCAAGAUAUUGUUGGAGAGAUUAGAAAUAAAGUGGAUCACGUAGCUUUAGACGUCGCUCCCUUUGCAGUUGGAAUGGAUGCUCGUGUGAGACGCCUAAACAUGUGGUUACAAGAUGGAUCAAAUGAUGUUGGUUUAGCUGUCAUCUGUGGGAUGGGUGGAAUUGGCAAGAGCACCAUCGCGAAAGCCGCUUAUAACCGCAACUUUGAUAGAUUUCAAGGUAGCAGCUUUCUUGCAGAUAUACGAGAAUCUUCAGAACAACCCAAUGGUUUUGCUCUCUUGCAAAGAAAACUUCUUUCAGAUAUCCAAAACGGGAAAGCAAAGAAAGUAUACAAUAUGGAUGAAGGAACAAUCAGGAUCAAACAAGCCGUAGGUUAUAAAAAAGUUCUUAUUGUUCUUGAUGAUGUGAGCAACCGGGAUCAACUCAAUGCAAUUCUUGGAAUGCGAGAGUGGCUUCAUUCAGGAAGUAAAAUUAUCAUAACAACUCGACAUGAACAUUUGUUAAAUGCUCACGAUGUUUUUGAAAAGUUUAUGGUUCAAGAACUGAAUGAGUACGAAUCACUUGAGCUUUUCAGUUGGCAUGCCUUCAGACAAUCCCAUCCGGAAGAAGGUUACAAGGAGCUUUCAAGACAUGUGGUGCAGCACUGUGGAGGGCUUCCUGUAGCUCUUCAAGUUCUGGGAUCUUCUCUAUCUGGAAAAAGUGUAGAAGUAUGGCAAAGUGCAUUGCAGAAGUUAGACGUGAUCCCUAAUGACAAAAUUCAAAAAGUUCUGAGGAUAAGUUUUGAUUCUUUACAGGAUGAUCAUGACAAAAAUUUAUUCCUUCAUAUAGCCAGUUUCUUCACAGGAAAGACGAUGGAUUAUACAAGUACAAUGUUGGACAGCUUAAAGUUUUACACAAGGAUUGGGAUUGAAAAUCUAGUUGACAGAUGCCUAGUGAAAAUUCAAGGCUCGAACAGGUUGUUGGUCAUGCAUCAAUUGGUGAGAAACAUGGCAAUGGAAAUUAUUUGUGAAGAAUCACCUGAUGACCCUGGAAAACGUAGUAGAGUGUUGCAGAAAGAUGCCUCUAAUAUUUUGAGAAAAUUAAGUGUAAGAACUAUGUUUUCAUGUAUAUGUAUUUUUAGUUAUGAUUUGUUGUCCAGUACUAGUUAUAUACUUAUUCAAUGCUCUGAUUUGUUAGCAGGGUACGGAAAAUAUUAAGGGCCUCAUGCUUAACCUUGCUAGCAAAAUAACGUUUGUUGGAUGUCAUAAAAAACGAUGCCAUGAUGAAGAUUAUGAUGGAAAUUGUUCAAGACGACGUCGUCUUGGUUUCUUCUCUUGGAAGCCAGUUAGCUUUCCGUCCACAAACUCAGCUUCUGCAUCAAAUGAGAUAGAUUUCAAAUCUGAGGCGUUUAGAAGGAUGCACAAUCUUGAAAUUCUCAUGCUCAACAACGUCAACGUCAGGGGAAGCUACGAAGAAUUUCCAAAAAGUUUAAUAUGUUUAUCUUGGAGAGGAUUCCACUUAAAAUCAGUACCAGAAAAUUUUUAUUUGGAAAACCUGGUUGUUCUUGACAUGCGAAAUAGUAGCCUACAACAUGUUUGGAAUGGGAUCAGGGUACGUAACUCUCUCUCUCUCUCUCUCUCUCACUCACUCUCACACACACUUUCUCUCACACAUGUCCAUUAUAUCUUCUUAGAAAUUGAUUAAUACUUCUUAUUGAAAACAGUUCUUUCCGAGGCUGAAGAUUCUUAAUCUCAGUCAUUCGCAUGGCCUUAGGACAACCCCUGACUUCUCAGGACUCCCUAACCUUGAGAGAUUGAUUCUUAAACAUUGCAUAAAUUUGGUUGAGGUUGAUGAGUCCAUCGGAUACCUAGAGAAACUUGUUGUUUUGAAUCUAGAAGGCUGCAAAAAUCUCAUGAAGCUUCCAAAAUUGAGAUCUAUUCAGGAUCUUAUUCUUUCUGGUUGCUCAAAGCUUGUGCUUGGUGCCAAUACGACUGCCACAACUGGUCACUUACAAUCUACAGCUUGUGAAUUGAAGAAACUCAAUCUGCUAUCAGCUAAAUCAUGGUAUUCAAUCUGGUCGCGGGUGUCCCCAAGAAAAAAUAUUGAACCAAGCAGUUUCUCAUUGGCAAGUUUACCACAUUCCUUGACAAGUUUAAGUCUGGAUAGCUGCAAUCUAUCAGAGAUUCCGAGUGCCCUUACUAUGCUGUCUUCGUUAGAGUACUUGGAUCUGAAUAAGAAUCCAAUUACAAGCCUACCAGAGAGCAUGAACAAUCUUGUUAAGCUUCACACUCUUGCAGUAGAUGGUUGCAGAAACCUCACAAUGCUUCCAGAGCUCCCACAUAGUUUGAAACAAUUGAAUGGUAGAGGUUGCACAUCAUUGAAAAGAAUAACAAAUUUACCGAACUUGCACAUAUUACCGGCCACACAUCCCUUCGGCAUGCAAAAGGACAUAGAUUUAAAGUAUUACAACAUAUUAUUGGACUCAAAUUUAUGGUAUUGUGGGAAACUAGUUGAUGUUGUAAGCUUGUUUAAUACACUACCAUUGAGCAGCUUUGACAUAAAACUCCUCAAAGAUAUCGAUCUAUUCGAUUUGAAACCCAACGGUGGCGUUGAGGUCCAAAGGAACAGCGAUUGUGCAAGUUUUGGCAAGCCCAGGCGCUCCAAGGUUCUUCUCUCUCUCUCUCACUGCUAUGUACAAGUGCUUAUAAUAUGAUCUAUGGCGUAAACAAUUAGAUUGUAAUCACAUCACCAUGAAACUGCAGGGAACUUUUGAAUGCGGCAUAUUUAGCAUAUUUGUCCACGAGAGCAAGAUUCCAGAUCGGUUCAAUUACAGGAGCAUGGGUAACAGUGUGUUCUCUAUUAUUGUUCCUUCACAGCCUAAUAUCAAGAUCGUAGGUUUAAAUGCAUGUAUAUUGUAUGCCCGGCAAUCGGAUCGAAGCCCUGAGAUUGCACUUGGAAACUAUCAUUUCUAUUCGCUUGAACUUAGGAAUGAGACAAAGGGCCUUAAGUGGCGUUUACCUAUGUUCAAUGAGGUUGAAUGGAGGGUGAUGAACGAAGAUAUGUUAUGGCUAAGCCAUUGGAUUAUGGGGAACGAUGAAUUGGAAUGCGGGGAACAAGUGCGUUUUGAAAUAAUCGGAGUGCAAGACGGUUUCGUCACAAAGGAGAUUGGAGUCCAGUUUGUGUACGAGCAGCAAAAUAAGGAUAAGGAGGAUGUCCCAUCAAGUAGUGAAGAUCCAAUGAUCCUACCUGACAGAUCGUUUCGGGUCUGGAGCAAAGUAUCGCCUUGGCACUGGAGCGUAGGUUUCGCUGGAAGGGGUGGCCCUAUUGGGAGAGAGACCGGGGUGGAAUACAUCCAUAACAAUGAGAAGAAAGUUAUUUCAACUGUCAUGUGCGCGGCUCAAUACAUUCUCUGUAACCAUGAAGUGAUCGAUCUUGAGAAUGAAUCCCGCAUGACCCCGUAGUAACAACGAGUGCUCUAAACUAUUACCCAGUUUAAUUCAAAUUGAUGGUGAUGAUGCACAAAUCACUAAAUUCAAAUGUGUAUUGGUUGUUAUGCUUCGUUUCUAUCUAUUUUCAAUUUUUCCCUAAAAAAUUGUUUUCAAUAAUUUAAUAUACAAAAUUUCAUACCAAACAAAUUCUUGCCUGUAUAAAGUAUGAAUUUAAAACCUGUUUUUAAGAAAAAUAAAGUUUCAGACCCCAACUAGAAAAUAAGCCCACGAGUUGUGGCGGGAACUAACUGUUUCAGGCGUAACUGCGUGAAUAAGACACAUUUCACAUGUAACUGAAUAAAUAAGACACAAAGUGCAGGAAGUAAAGCUCAUAUUUAGCAGUGUUAUUUUAACAACAAUUGUUCAAGUGGUGGAUUGCCCCCGGUGGGUUGGGCAUUUCUCUUAGUCCUACUGCAUUCCGGGUUCAAAGUUCCAACCAUCCCCCGUACCAGUUUAAGCACACCAAAGACCAAAUUUAGCAUGUUCUUUCGUCAUCCACCCAACCCCAGCAGAUAUACAAAAUUCAAAUAGAACUUGGCAAAUUCAUCCUCUUAAAAUACAAAACGAAAAUAAUUUAUGAUCACUGACCUCUGAGAAUCGAAUGAUAUUCGGAUUCUUCAAUGAUCUGUGGUUCUUGAUUUCCCCUUGAACAUGUUCAUCCAUCUGCAUCACCAAAAAAAAAAGUAUAUUUAAAAAAAAAUACAAAAUGAAAAUAGUUUAUGAUCACUAACCUCUUUGGAUCGAAUGAUAUUCGGAUGGUCCAGUGAUCUAUAGUUCAUGAUUUCCCUUUGAACAUGUUCAUCUAUCUGCAUCACCAAAAAAAUAAUAAAUAUUUAAAAAAAAAUACAAAAUUUAAAGGAUAAGAAUUGCGAAGAUUCUUAGGUCUUAGUUCGAAAUGUAAUAGCUCAUCUCACCUCCAUAUAUUACCAAAUCUUAGUCUAUAUGAUUUUGCCAGAGCCACCGAAUGUUGAAUAUAUAUCUGUUGAAUGUUCUACUACCAUCAACAUUAUAAAGGUUUCUAAUCGAAUCAUAUAUUUAAAAUCCAAGCAUGAAAGUUUUACAAAGAUAAAUAAACAAAUGUAAAUAACUAAUUAGGCAAUACACAGCAGAGAGGGGAGAGAGAGAGAGAGAGAGAGAGCAAUUGAAGGGAAUGCAUAGUUAUCUCUAUCUUCGGAAAAAAGAAAAGAAAAAAAGAGAGCAGUUGAAGGAGUGAGAAGCAAAGCAGCAUACCAAGUGGAGGGUAAGCAAUUAAGCAUAGUCAUCUCACGUACGGAUUGCCUGAGAACUGAUCUUUGCUUCUCUUCCUUAUGAUCCUCUUAAAUGCAAUUCUACACAUUUCUAAACCAAAAUUGCAAAGCAGAAUUCAAAGAAAUUUAAAGAAAUCUAGUAAAGAUUCAAACUUUUUUAUUAUCCAAAAGAUGUACAUAACCCCAUGUAACAAAAACAAAUUUAUGACACAAAAGAAAUUAUCUUUAGCCAACAAAAGCAAAAAAGAGAAAGAGAGAGAUUUUGCUUUUUGCACUAUGCAGAAUGUGCAGAGAAUCAAAAUAUCAUAACCCAUUUAACAACAUGAUAUUUUAGGCAAAAAGGCAUCACCUUUAGACCCCAAAUGAAAGAAUUUGAGAGAGAGCGCAUACGUGGUUGCCAAGAAGAGGAAGAGAGCAAUUCUAUUUCCUGUAAAAAUGAAGAAACAGAGCAUUAACAAACACACAUGCACAAAUCUCAAAAGGAAAUUGGUAAGAAAUAAUCGUAAUUGAGAAAAUAAUCAAAAAACUAGAGAGCACACAACUGGAGUCUAAUUCUACAGAACCCACGAGUCGACAAACAAAUAUCCAAAAUUAACAGAUUACAGUAACAACAUUCCAACAAAAGUAAGAAGACCAGAAAAAUUAUCUAUUCUAAAGUACAUUAGUUCCAUCAUGCAUAAAUCAAGGGAGUCACGGAAGGCCAGUAUCUUAAGGUAAUCCAACAUGUUAAAGCAUCCAAACAGAGACUCAGAAUUACAAAACGCAUGAAAAUUCACAUUCCAACGUGUUAUGGAAUCACCAAUUUCAGAUCAACCAAAAUCAAAUAAAUUUAUAUCAGUACGCAUCAAACCCACCAAACCCAAAAUCAAAAGAAGGUGAUCAAAUGUUUGAUUUUGCUAAAUAUUACAAAAUAAAAUAAAUAAGAAUAUGUACAAAUCAACAUGCAUACCUUGUAGCGGUGCAGGGAACAGUAGCGUGAGCUGCAUCGAGGGCAUGUGUACUGGGAAAAUUGCUACUGGCAGCUGCAACUAACAAAAACAAAAACAAAACAAAAUUGAAUAAAAUCAAAAUCGGAAAAAUUUCCAGAAAAUAAAUAAAACAAAUUAUCAAGCUUUGUUGAUGAAAGAGAGGUGGGGUUGGUGAAGAACAUACACGCGGCUAUGAGCAGUAGACAAAAGAUUUCAAAAUGAUUUCUUCACUUUUCAAUCAGGACAUGCACGAAUAUAAAAAUGGCAGAGAGGAUUAAAACCAUACCAAACACUAGAAAAUCAAGUAUAAAAAUCGUACUUACCUUGUGAAUGAGGACAUGCAGACACAUGAUGGAUGAAGGACAGCAAAUCCCGCAUACACGAACCUAACUUGCCACUGUUCGCCACCCCCACCCCUCCCUAUCUCUCUCUCCCUGCAAUCGCGACGAUUUCUGUCACUGUCACCCUCCCACUCCCGAAUCGAAUAUCCGCACGAAAUCUCUCUCUCUCUCUCUCUCUCUCUCUCUCUCUCUCUCUCUCUCUCUCUCUCUCGCUCGGUUUCUCUCACUGUCACCCUCCCACUCCCGAAUCGAAGAUCCGCACGAAAUCUCUCUCCCUCUACAAGCGGCAUGGCCGCUGUCCCUCUCUGUCUGCCCUCACCAUCAAUCCCAAUCCCAAAAUUAAGAUGACAAAAGUGCCCUGCAACCCUUUAAUUCUAGCCGCGUGAUCCUAACCCUAGAUGAAUAUUUCUGGAAUUUGAACACCCAAAGUAUCUCAUCAAAUGUGGAUGUACCCACAGUAUGAAUCUGAGAAUUUCUCAAUUCAACUCUCGAAAUUACUGUGACAGUAUUAAUAUAUCAUGUGGAAUGAGGUGGUAUUAUGGUAAAAGAUAGAACUUUAGCUGAUGGUAAACAACAUUUGGGAAUUUGAUGUAAGCCGGCUGGGAAUCCCAAAUGUUGUUUACCAUAAGCUAAAAUUUAAUCUCUGAUUAAAAAAAUAAUAAUAAAAAGCACACCUCAAACUGACAAGGACCAUAAUUUUCAAGUGACACUGCUUUUCAAUGGUUACCAUAAAAAAAAUAAUAAUAAAAGAACUGAUCAUUUGAAUUAUUCAUGACAGAACCAAUUUUGAUUUGAAAUAUGAUGGCCAAGAACAAAUCACACUGCUUUUCAAUGGUUACCAUAAAUUUUCAGAAGUUACAGAAGAUUUUUUUAUCAAAUGAAAAGACAAUGGUCACAUAUAUCUACAAUUAACCACCAGUAAGCGUGAAAUAUUACAUCACAAUGCAAUAGCAGCUAUACAGGAUGCCAUGCCAUUCAUACUAUGACAAAUCACAAAAGUGACAAUUAAAGGGCACCUAACAGACACCCCCAUCUCUCUCUCUGCAAUAGCAGAAAUCCCUCGGGUUUCAGAAAGCAAAUGGAAAACAAAAUGCUUUUACAUCCCCUACCCAUACCCAUACCUCCCUUUACCCGUUCCCUUUACCCUCGCAGAAAAUCCUCCCAUCUCUCUCUCACCCUUGUCCCAUCUCUCUGUCUGCAAAUCGCAGAAAAGAAACCCUGAACAAAUCACUUAAAUCCCUCGCCUAAAUCCUCCCACAUUUCUCUCAGACACCCCCUAUCUCUCUCUCUUUGCAAACCCUAAACCAAAUCUCCUAAAUCCUAUCUCGGACACCCCACACAAAGCCAAGAAGCCAAGAUAUUAAAGCAAUCUCUACAUAAUACUAUGGAACAAUGAAGCAAAAUGGUACUUACUUGUUCCUUGUCCAAAACCGUUGGUGCCACCGCACAUUGUUAUCAAUUGUGGGUUGAUCAAAUCCUUCAUGGCUUAGACUGCAUGAAGAAUUAGAAACUAAAAGAUGAAUAUAUGCUGUAAAUCAUCAUAUAAAUGUAAUUGCAUUUAAAAAAAGAAGGGAAUGAAAAAAUUGAAUUCUAUUUCAUCAGUAUGUAACUGCAUGAAAAGUUACAUUGAAUGCAAACUCAAUCAAUUUCCCCAAAGUCAUUGUUAACUGAAAAUCAAUACCAAACCCAUAUAUACCACCAUUGAAUUUGCGAAACCCAAAAACAAAAUACAAAAAUUUACUCAUAUAAUCACAGAAAAACAUGAAAUUUGAGCACACAUUUGGCAAAGUUAAAGGAUAAAGGCACUCACAUCAUCGUAGUACUCUUUGGGAAGAUCUUCUAAUACUGGUUCUUCCUUUUUCUUGCUCUUCCUCAGAGCUGCCAUAAAAAAACCCAGAGAAGCACACAAAUUCAGAAAAGAAGAGGUCCAAAACUGCCAUAAAAAAUCCAGACAGCAUACAAAUUUAUCAGAACAAAAACCAAAUGAUGUGAGUGAUAGUGAGAGAGGUUGUGUUAGGCACCUGAAACACGUUUUGGUUUCAAUUGAAACGGCCAGAGCGUUGCAUGUGAGGAAGAUGACGAUAGGAUAUCCACAUUCUUUUUUCUUGGGUGAACUAACCAAACCAUAUUAUAUACUAAAACGACAUAAAAAAUCAUUAACAAAAUCACAACAAAAUAGAACAAAAACAUUCACAAAAGAAUUCCCCAAGUUUUCAAAUGGAAAUUAAACAUUUACAUAGCUUAUAUAAAAAGCCAAAAUAUAAAAAAUUAAUCAAAAGGUUGAGAUAACUCACAUCCCAGUAAUGCUUAUUGCUGAUAUUAACACCCACUGACAGCAGCCCUCGGUUUGUGGAAUUCCCACGCCCAACUCCAUGACCUCUCUCUCUGCCAUCCCUCUCUCCCUCACAACCAUACCCACUUUCGACCCACCCCUCAAUCCCGACACCAACCCUUGAUUUAAGGAGGAAAAAUCAAUACAACCACCCUUUUCGCAAGCCUCACUCCUCCCGCUCCCUUCCCCUCCCUGCCAAUCCCAUGCCCAUCUCCCUUGUUGUAGCUCUGCAACCCACGUUUUUUGGCACCAAACACUAUGUCCUAGGAUGAUGUGACAAUUUAUCAAAGUCAGAAAAUGCAUUAUCUCAGUUUAGGUUGGUAGCAUAUAUGAUCCCCGUGCAGCAACAUAGAAUACUUAGUAAAAGUUGCAUUUCUGAGAACAAAUAACCAAGAUGCUUGACCGAAAAAACAAUGCAGAUGCUUUAGUAAUACAGAAUUACAGUUUUAUUCAAGCUUCUCAGUCACAAACUAACCUUCCUUUGUCGAGCAGCAAGGAAGAGGGGGCGAAAAUUGAUUCCUGGAUGAGCUUUUUCGUUCAAAACUAAGUCGAGCUGCAAGGACGAAGGGUCGAGGAUUGUUCGUGAGCUGGUGUUGCGGAUAUAAACAUAUAGAAAGCUCCACUGUGUCAUAACAAACACAAAUCAAAUAUGAUCACCAUGUCACAUUAAUUACCUAAAAUUCAAAAUGUUAUAUACAUUAGUAUGUUGAACAAAACUCCGCCUAUGUAAGUUUAUCUUACAUUGCCGGUCCCAAGCCCGGAUAAAGGAGGAGGGGGAGGGCGUCAGGUAGUCGACAGCCGGCACUCCAUGAUCACGUCGAAUCCUUAUGAAAAUGAAUCCAGAACGAAAUCGCGCUAAAGCUAGGGCGUCACCCGUAAGUGGCGCGCUGUGUAGCCCGAGCACAGUGAUAAGUGAGCAAGGGUCGCUGUAUCUCCAUCGGCACCCGGAUACAGUGUUAAAUGAGCAAGGGGGCCAUAGAAACUUCUUUUCGAACGACUCCACUCAAAGUUGUUUGGGAGCAUAUGCUCCUAUCAACUUUACACGGGACACACAAAAGAAGUACUUUGAUCCUAUUAGACGGGAGAGGGUGAAGAAGCUAGGACAGAAGGGUAGAGUUCAAGAGAGCAAAAUGCGUUUAGGAACGUGGAAUAUAGGAACCUUGACGGGAAAAUCUAUGGAAGUAGUGGAAGUUAUGGUGAGGAGAAGGAUAAAUAUUAUGUGCCUACAAGAAACUAAGUGGGUUGGUCGUAAGGCAAAGGAUCUAGAAAACUCAGGGUUUAAACUAUGGUAUUCGGGCACAAAUAGAACGAGAAACGGUGUUGGCAUCAUCGUGGACAAGACCUUGACACAAGAUGUUGUAGAUGUCAAGAGGGUAGGAGAUAGAAUCAUGGCAAUCAAGAUUGUAAUAGGACAAGAACUUAUCAAUGUGAUUAGUGCGUACGAACCUCAAGUAGGGUUGGAUACGAGUUCGAAGGAGAAAUUUUGGGAAGACCUUGGAGACUUGGUGCGAGGAAUUGCUCAGACGGAGAAGUUAUUUAUAGGAGGAGAUUUAAAUGGACACGUGGGCAGGGAGACAGGCAACUAUGGAGGUUUUCAUGGUGGCCAUGGUUUUGAGGAGAGAAACGAGGAUGGGGAAGCUAUCUUGGAUUUUGCAAUGGCAUAGAGGAGGGGGAGGGCGUCAGGUAGUCGACAGCCGGCACUCCAUGAUCACGUCGAAUCCUUAUGAAAAUGAAUCCAGAACAAAAUCGCGCUAAAGCUAGGGCGUCACCCGUAAGUGGCGCGCUGUGUGGCCUGAGCACAGUGAUAAGUGAGCAAGGGUCGCUGUAUCUCCAUCGGCACCCGGAUGCAGUGUUAAAUGAGCAAGGGGGCCAUAGAAACUUCUUUUCGAACGACUCCACUCAAAGUUGUUUGGGAGCAUAUGCUCCUAUCAACUUUACCCGGGACACACAAAAGAAGUACUUUGAUCCUAUUAGACGGGGGAGGGUGAAGAAGCUAGGACAGAAGGGUAGAGUUCAAGAGAGCAAAAUGCGUUUAGGAACGUGGAAUAUAGGAACCUUAACGGGAAAAUCUAUGGAAGUAGUGGAAGUUAUGGUGAGGAGAAGGAUAAAUAUUAUGUGCCUACAAGAAACUAAGUGGGUUGGUAGUAAGGCAAAGGAUCUAGAAAACUCAGGGUUUAAACUUUGGUAUUCGGGCACAAAUAGAACGAGAAACGGUGUUGGCAUCAUCGUGGACAAGACCUUGGUACAAGAUGUUGUAGAUGUCAAGAGGGUAGGAGAUAGAAUCAUGACAAUCAAGAUUGUAAUAGGACAAGAACUUAUCAAUGUGAUUAGUGCGUACGCACCUCAAGUAGGGUUGGAUACGAGUUCGAAGGAGAAAUUUUGGGAAGAUCUUGGAGACUUGGUGCAAGGAAUUGCUCAGACGGAGAAGUUAUUUAUAGGAGGAGAUUUAAAUGGACACGUGGGCAGGGAGACAGGCAACUAUGGAGGUUUUCAUGGUGGCCAUGGUUUUGGGGAGAGAAACGAGGAUGGGGAAGCUAUCUUGGAUUUUGCAAUGGCAUAUGAUCUCUUCUUAGCCAACACCUUCUUUAAGAAGAGAGAAGAACAUGUGAUCACCUACAAGAGUGGGUCGUCAAAAACACAAAUAGAUUUUCUUCUAAUGAGGAAAGGGGAUCGUAUAACUUGUAAGGAUUGCAAAGUUAUACCAGGAGAGAGCGUGGCUAAUCAACAUCGCUUGUUGGUGAUGGAUGUACAUAUCAAAAGAGUAAGACAAAAGAACAAGACUUGGAAGUGCCCAAGGACUAGAUGGUGGAAUCUAAAAGAAGAAAAAACAAGCCAUUUUCAAAAGAGAAGGUAAUCACCCAAUGUGUGUGGGAUAGAGAGGGGGAAGCUAGCCAAAUGUGGAAUUCCAUGGCUAGUUGUAUCCGAAAAGUAGCAAAAGAGGUAUUAGGAGAGUCCAAGGGCUUUGCCCCACACCAAAAGGAAUCUUGGUGGUGGAAUGAGGAGGUACAAACAAAGGUGAAGGCUAAGAAGGAAUGUUGUAAAGCCUUAUACAAGGAUAGGACCGAUGAAAAUGGUGAAAGGUAUAGAAAAGCGAAGCAAGAGGCGAAGAAAGCUGUCAGAGAAGCUAAGUUAGCGGCUUACGACGAUAUGUAUAAACGACUAGAUACCAAAGAAGGAGAGUUGGAUAUCUAUAAACUAUCUAGAGCAAGGGAAAAGAAGACAAGGGACCUAAACCAAGUGAGGUGCAUCAAGGAUGAGGAUGGAAAGGUUCUUGCUACAGAGAACGCGGUUAAAGACAGAUGGAGAGGUUAUUUUCAUAAUCUUUUCAAUGAAGGACAUGAAAUGAGUGCUUCUUUAGGGGAGUUGAGUAACUCAGAAGAGUGUAGAAACUACUCUUUUUAUCGUAGAAUCCGGAAGGAAGAAAUGGUUGUAGCUUUGAAGAAGAUGAAGCAUAGAAAAGCAGUAGGCCCAGACGAUAUACCAAUCGAAGUGUGGAAAGUUUUGGGAGAGACAGGUAUAACAUGGCUCACUGACCUUUUCAAUAGGAUUUUGAAAACGAAGAAGAUGCCAAAUGAGUGGCGAACGAGCACUUUGGUGCCUAUCUACAAGAAUAAGGGCGACGUACAAAAUUGCAUGAACUAUAGGGGUAUUAAGCUAAUGAGUCAUACAAUGAAGCUCUGGGAGAGAGUCAUUGAGCAUAAAUUGAGGCAAGAGACACGGGUUUCGGAUAACCAAUUCGAGUUCAUGCCAGGGCGCUCAACCAUGGAGGCAAUCUAUCUCUUACGAAGAUUGAUGGAAAGAUAUAGAGAUGGGAAAAAGGAUUUACACAUAGUCUUUAUAGAUUUGGAAAAAGGAUUUUAGAGAAAGGAGUACGAGUAGCAUAUAUCCAAGCUAUAAAGGAUAUGCAUGAAGGAGCAAAGACUGCCGUAAGAACUCAUGAAGGACAAACCGAAAGCUUUCCCAUAACUGUAGGAUUACAUCAAGGCUCAUCCUUAAGUCCUUACCUUUUUGCGUUGGUAAUGGAUGAGUUAACAGGACAUAUUCAAGAUGAUAUUCUUUGGUGUAUGCUUUUCGCAGACGAUAUAAUGUUGAUAGAUGAAACUCGGGAAGGGGUAAAUGCAAAGCUUAACCUUUGGAGAGAAGUGUUGGAAUCUAAAGGUCUUCGCCUAAGCCGAGCAAAGACAAAAUAUAUGGAGUGCAAGUUCAAUGCAAAUGGAGGCCAAAACGAGUUAGGGGUGAGGAUCGGAGAUCAAAAAAUACCAAAGAGCGACCGUUUUCGUUACCUAGGAUCUAUCUUGCAAAAGAACGGAGAAUUAGAUGGAGAUCUCAACCAUAGAAUACAAGCUGGAUGGAUGAAGUGGAAGAGUGCAUCCGGCGUGUUGUGUGACCGCCGUAUGCCACUGAAGCUCAAGGGAAAAUUUUAUAGGACGACAAUAAGGCCGGCGAUGCUGUAUGGCACAGAAUGUUGGGCGGUGAAGCAUUAACACGUACACAAAAUGGGUGUAGCGGAGAUGAGGAUGCUUCGUUGGAUCUGUGGGCACACGAGAAAUGAUAAGAUUAGGAAUGAGGAUAUCCGGGGUAAAGUAGGAGUAGCCGAAAUUGAAGGAAAGAUGAGAGAAAAUCGGUUACGAUGGUUUGGACAUGUGCAAAGAAGGCCUACUGACGCUCCGAUUAGAAGAUGCGACUAUGGGACAGAGGUUCAGGGCCGAAGGGGUAGAGGAAGACCUAGGAAAACUUUGGAAGAGACCCUAAGAAAAGACUUAGAGUACUUGGAUCUAACGGAGGACAUGACACAGGACAGAACACAAUGGCGUUCUAAGAUUCAUAUAGUCGAUCCCACUCAGUGACUUGGAUUUUCCAAGUCUCCAACCGAGAAGUUUUCCUCACUCGGGAAAUUAAGGGAACACUACCUCAACCUACAUGCUCCACUCACAAAGCUUCAACAUACAAGCUUCAACAAAAGAAAAUUCAAAUAACUUAGCGAAGAAGGCUUUGGUGUAUUUAACACAAUACGUUGAAAUGAAGGAAAACUUAUUUAUUGAUAGCCCUGAUAAGUUACAAAUAUGUACAUAUACAUGAGUCAAAAUAAACAAACAAGAGGGAGCCUUCACAAAGGUCGCUUAGGAGAAGUCUCAGCAGUCGGUAGAGCCCCAGAAAGAAAAGGCACCGGAGGGGGAUCAUUCGGAGCCUCAGUACUGGACAGAACCCUAGAAGGAGGAGGCAUCAGAGGUUGAUCACUUGGAGCUUCAUUACGCGGUACAGCCCCAGAAGACGAAGGCAAUAAAUGCCUUUGGAACAAACCCACAAAUCUCUGAUGAUCAAGUAAAACCUGACCAUCAGAUUCUUUCAUCUGGUCAAGCUUCCUCUUCAUGUUUGUAGCAUAGUCAUGUGCGAGCCGGUGCAACUAUUUAUUCUCAUGCUUGAGCCCUCUAAUCUCCUGUUUGAGACUCAUCACUUCAGCCGCCAAUGAUUCAACUUGGCGGGUUCGAGCAAAUAGGCGUUGGGCCAUAUUAGACACAGAACCUGCACACUGAACACUGAGAGCCAGAGAAUCCUUAACAGCCAACUCAUCAAACCGUUUGGAAAGUAGUCUGUUAUCUUUGGGAGUGAGAACGUUCCUGGCCACUAUCGCAGCGGCCAUAUCAUUCUUCAUCACGGAAUCCCCAACGGUAAGAGGACCAGUAGGGGAGAUGAAGGAUGGGCGCCAUAUGUUGUUUGGAGAAGGCGGGGCUGCCUCUUCAACAAGGUUCAAGUCAAAACGACGGUCGGAGGGGCCAGACAUUUUCAAAGGUGUUGAAGAGAGAAGAGGUCGGACAAAUCAAGAUCUUAGAAGUGCAAGAAUGAAGCUUCUACUGGUGAAGAUUCAAGUGUGCUUUGGAACUUAAUGCUAGCCUCUAUAAAAAUCUGCACUAGACGAAGCUUCAGAAAUCGAAGAGGUGCCUGCUCAGAAAUCGAAGAGGCAUUUGCUUUCUCAAAAGCUGGGCUGCUCAGAGACCACGAGGGUCGACCUCAGAAAUCGAAGAGACGUUUGCUUUCUCAAAAGCUGGGCUGCUCAAAGACCACGAAGGCCGAUCUCAGAAAUCGAAGAGGCUUGCUUUCUCAAAAGCUGGGCUGCUCAGAGACUACGAGGGCCGAUCUCAGAAAUCGAAGAGGCACAUACUUUUCCAGCCUUGUCAACACCUGUCACACGCACACUCAGCUUUGCGGAAAUUAUUGGCAUUCUGUCGAAGAUUUCUGAUGAAGUAGAAAGCACAUGAAUCGUACUGUUCAAUCACCCACUUCCCACACGCAACAGUAGCUCGAGGGUACCACAGAUAACUUUGCCAAAGUUAUCUGACAAAGUUGAGACACGUGAAGCUUACAGCUCCCACUACAUCGCUCUGGCCAAGAAGGGUAAAAGAAUAACAAAGAAACAACACUAACAAAGUUUAGACACAUAAAUUUUGAAGGUCUAGCUACCAUAUUAUUACCCACAAGGGUAAAGGAACAGUACCAUUGCUAGAUAAUUGGAAGGUCCCGGUGUGUCAACCUCUGUACUUCGUGGCACGAUAGACUAGCAAACAUGCAUAACCUUUACUCACAUUCGAGAAAACACUUCCAACAAGAUUGCUUGCUCCAAUAUCGAAGAGGCACCGCCUUCCGAAUCUCGAGAGCCAGACUCCCAACAUGAUUACUUUCUCAAAAAUCGAAGAGAGGGUAAAGGAACAGUACCACUGCUGGAUAAUUGGAAAGUCCCUGUGUAUCAACCUCUGUGCUUCGUGGCAAUGUAGACUAGCAAACAUGCCCAACCUUUACUCACAUUCGAGAAAACGCUCCCAACAAGAUUGCUUGCUCCAAAAUCGAAGAGGCACCGCCCUCCGAAUCUCGAGAGCCAGACUCCCAACAUGAUUACUUUCUCAAAAAUCGAAGAGACACCGCUAUCCGAAUCUCGAGAGCCAGACCCCCAGCAGGAUUGCUUUCUCAAAAAUCGAAGAGGCAUCAUUCUCCGAAUCUUGAGAGCCAGAUCCCUGACAGGAUUGCUUGUUCGAAAACCGAAGAAGCACCACUUUCCCAACUUCAAGAGCUGGAUCUCCUUAGAUAAAGCUUGUCUGUAAUCUUCACACGCAACAUCAGCUUUCCAGAUACCACAGACCACUUUUUCAAAGUGCUCUGACAGAGUUAAAACAUGUGAAGCUGGCAGCUCCCACUACCGUGCUAUGACCAAGCAGGGUAAAGGAAUAGCAUUAUUACUUGAUGUUAGGGAGACUCAUAUAUAUGUCGACCUCCAUCCCCAAUGGACAGGCAGACCUGCAAAAAUGCUCAACCCUUCCUCUUAUCUGAGAGGGCACUCCCAACAAAGCCUUUCGAAAUAUUCAGCUUUCUUUCUUCCCGAUAAUACCUCUGCAAACAAGCUAUACUAGAGCAAGAAUAUCUCAUAUCAUCAGGGUUAAAAGCAAGAGUAUCCCAUAUCAUGCUUUUUCCCUGUCUUUUCCUUUGACCUUGUUCUUACCUGCAAAACAAGGAGAAAGAGAGCAAUCAGUCAGCACUUGGAAUCAAGCUUCCAGCCAGGAACUGACUGCCUGGAACCCCUUACCUGAGUACUUACCUGGCAUUGCUCUCGAGUACUCAUCUUCAACAUCUUAUGCUUCCAGGGAAGAUACCGCAUCUGCUUGAGGAACAGAUAGGGCAAGUGAGAAGGAUACAAAGAAGCAUGUGGAGACAAGCGUAACAGCACACGUGCCAAUACAUCCACUACUCUGUCAAAAGCAAAAGUAUCCCAUAUCAGCAGGGUCGAACGUACUCUAGAUUUGAUGGACUUGUUUUGACCCUCAAAUUCUUCAGUCGGCCUUAUACUUUGGAGGAAACCAAAAAACCCUCCAGCCCAGUUCAAGAAUAAGCCUGUGGAAAGUUACUUCUUCAAAAGCAAAAGUAUCCCAUAUCAUCUCUUCUCAUUUUUCUUCUCUUUAUCCUUCAUGCUGCCUGCAAGAUAGGGAGAAUGUGAACAAUCAGCCGGAGCUCUGAUUGCUUACCUUGUCUGUCACCUCUUUCAGCAGAUCCCCUAGCUCGGCGACUUGGGGGACUCCUACUACAUGGUUUGUAUCGCGCUUGACCAAGCCUGAAAUUACAAGUAAGCUUCAAGUGAAAUUGAUACAUUACCUUGUGCAUCUCCACCAGUUAAAGAUACCACCCCUGGAUGGAGGAAGAGUACUUCCAGAGAAGAUGCCACAUCUACCUAUGAGACAGAUAAGGCAAGUCAAGACGAUACCACACUCCGGUACUUAGAAGUUUCGUGAUUACGAGAUCAUUCUCCCACAAUAUUUCCUAAUGUCAUUUGUACUAAAUCAUUCACUUGUACUCACUAAAGGAGAGUUUGAACCUAUGUACUUGUGUAAACCCUUCACAAUUAAUGAGAACUCAUCUAUUCAGUGGACGUAGCCAAUCUGGGUGAACCACGUACAUCUUGUGUUUGCUUUCCUAUCUCUAUCCAUUUAUAUACUUAUCCACACUAAUGACCGGAGCAAUCUAGCGAAGAUCACAAAAAGCGAUCGUUUUCGCUACCUAGGAUCUAUCUUGCAAGAGAACGGAGAAUUAGAUGGAGAUCUCAACCAUAGAAUACAAGCUGGAUGGAUGAAGUGUAAGAGUGCAUCCGGCGUGUUGUGUGACAGUCGUAGGCCACUGAAGUUCAAGUGAAAAUUUUAUAGGACGGCAAUAAGGCCAGCGAUGUUGUAUGGCACAGAAUGUUGGGCGGUGAAGCAUCAACACGUACACAAAAUGUGUAGCGGAGAUGAGGAUGCUUUGUGGGAUGUGUGGGCACACGAGAAAGGAUAAGAUUGGGAAUAAGGAUAUCCGAGGUAAAGUAGGAGUAGUCGAAAUUGAAGGAAAUAUGAGAGAAAAUCGGUUCCGGUGGUUUGGACAUGUGCAAAGAAGGCCUACUGACGCUCCGGUUCGAAAAUGUGACUACGGGACAGAGGUUCAGGGCCGAAGGGGUAGAGGAAGACCUAGGAAAACUUUGGAAGAGACCCUAAGAAAAGACUUGAGUACUUGGAUCUAACGGAGGACAUGACACAAAACCGAGCGCAAUGGCGUUCUAGGAUUCAUAUAGCCGACCCCACUUAGUGGGAAAAUGUUUUGUUGUUGUUGUUGUUGUUGUUGUAUUAGUAUGUUGAACAAAUUAGUUACAUUUCAUUAUACUAAAAAAUUUACAGAAUAUGAGAAAUAAAGAAUUUGUAUUGUUUAUAUAAAAAUAGAAUAACAAAGAACAUCAUUGACUACCAUUUUAUUCGGUAGUUUCCUCCAACUGCAAUUGUUGAGAUUGUAGGAGAUCUUCGAAUAAAGCCUUCAAUUCAACCAUCCGUACACAAACAUAAUAGACAAUGUUUUUUAGCGAAUUAUGGACAAAGCUUAAUAUUCAAAUGCAAUGAAAUGGAAAACACAAUCCAAUUCUAGGACGAAUUGAAUCCUUAUUAAUCCUUCCUGGUCUAGUACCUAAGAACCAAUGAAGUGGCAAUAUAUGGAUAUGCAUGCUAUAGGAAACCAUUCAUUUGUAGAUGGUAUUGUGUCACCAAUAUUGUAUUUAAAAAUCUACCCAAGAUAAAGAUGCAAUAUAUAGUUUGGUAAAAAAUCAAAACGAAGAGUUAACAAAGGAAAAGGAUUAAGACGUUGAAAAUACAAAACUGGAUUCUUUUAUUUGGUAAAGACGGUUCCCCCACUGGCUGUCCGAAAUCACAAACACUUUUUUACAUAGAAACUUUAUAAACUAAUAGAUUAAAAUAAGGGAGUUUUGACAAAACACUCCCGGUACUGUUCAUUUUUAACGAAAAACCACUUUUUUACCUUUAACUGGUACUAUUCACUAUACCUUCAUAAAGGGUUUUUCGUUAAAAGAGAAGUUUUUUUGGACUUUUUGUUAGUUUUCCUUUAAAUCUAAGUGUUAUAAAUGAAAAAUCCUGGGAUUGAUAGCAAUGGCAUCAACAGUGCCACCACAUCCCAAAUAAAUGAAUGAAAAUAUAGUGAUUAAUGUCCAACAAAGAAGCUCAAGCUUGAAAUAAACCAAGGCAUAAAAGCUUACCAAACUUUUCAAAUGGCUAAAUUGUUCAUUUAACUUAAUAACUUCUUCCUACAAUCCAUAAGUAAGACCAUUAGAUGCGGUAAAUAAAACAUCAUACUUCAUAUAUGGCAAUCUAGCAGAGAAACCAAUUGCAUUCAGAUGGAGCCUAAUUUGUGGAACUACAUUUAUAUGCACUGAAAUGCAUUAUCAUGUUGUCAUAUUUAAAACUGAGGUUAUGCAGUAUGCUAUCUUUAGCAUACACAAAAUUUUUGCACCUCAUUUUUGAAGUUCUGCACUUCAUAAUUUAUAUACUUUCAGUUUCCCUUCUAAUGAAGGUAUGGCUGCUUUCCAUUUGGAAUUUUCGCAAGACAACGUUAUGAUAUUCCUAAUUUAGAAUGCGUUUCCAUUCUAAUGAAUGCAAGCCCUAAAUCAUAAAUAUUGUAUAAUUAGAUCUCAAUUACUCUGAUGUGUUUGAGCACGUGGCAGGGCAUGAGAAUCAGAACCACUCCUUGUUGUUCUCUGCUUCGUGAUUUGGUCAUCAAACAAUACUUCAUUCCCUCCAUCCUUUAUCACGUCUUCUUGGUGAUCAUUUGUUCAUCUCCAAACUGUAUCCACAAAAAACUACAAAUUAAUCCCAAAAACAAUCAUACAAAAAAAUUGCGGAUUAGAUUUGAUUACGUACCAUUUUUCACCUUAAACAUAGACAUUUUAAACCAGAAACCAAAAUCAAACAAACAUAAAGAAAUACGACUGACAGAAUCACACUGUAAGACACCACCCCCUCGCUUCCACGGUUCCACCCACAACACCAAAAACAACAAUAACAAUAAUAACAAUGUACACUCAGACAAAACAAAAAUGCACCACAGCCCUCCAGUGCUAUAACAGCACUUCUAGGACAACUUUGAUAUCUAUGGACUGUUCCCUUCUCCAUGUUACAACGAUAGUAUUAGAGCUCUUACAACAUCACAGAUGCAUGACCAAGAGUGUAUUCGACAACCUUUUCUCUGAUCCUUUUCAUCAGUUGGUCCUAAAGAUUCUAUUCUUCUAAAUUCAUCUUCUUUUUGGGUAUCCACAGACAUUUAUCACUUCAUAUGUCGAACACAAAACACCUAACAUUUUGGGUGACAAAUUAGAAGCAACUAAUCGGAAUCUGGGUACUGAGAAUUAAAUUACUCUUUGUUCUUAUAGUCCUGAUGGAAAUUACUCAUUGAUUCAAAAUUAAUCAAACUAAAAUGCAAGAAAAGCAAAAUCAACAACGCAUAUCAGAAUAAUAUGAAAAGAUCCCAACAAACCAACCAAACAAUUAACAUUAAAAAAAAAUUGCAAACUUGGAGGGAAAGAAGCACCAGAAAAAAUAUACACAUCCAAUGCUUUUAAUCCAAAGCUAGAAGUAUGAAUAACUGAGUAAGUUAAUGAAGGCAAAGCAGAGGGUAGGAAGCAGAACAUACCAAGAGACCAAUAGGGCAUCCGAGCCGGUCUGCCGAUGAACGCCGUGUCCUGGUCGACAACGCCCAACGGCGUCGGCCUGGCAAUGAAGUAAAAGUCGAAAACACCCCCAAUGACCUUGUAGGUGAGAGAAGUCCCUCUGUAGAACACAUCCAUGCCAUUACUGUUGAGCAGCAGAAAAGAGUGCGCGUAAGCCUCGUUGCCCACAUUCUGAAGAUCCAUGUAAACCCGGGUGGGACCCGUACAAAUCAGUGUUGAGAUUGAUCGCCGAGACUUCAGUAGUGACGAGGGUGUAUGGAUCGUUCGGGUAGAGCUUGAUCCCGUGUGGCUGAGUGUUCUCUCCGAGGCCGUACAGGGAGGCGUCUUUCGGCGGUCGGGUGGAUAUCUCGAGGUACUGGUCCUUAAACACCAGUUCGCCAUAUGGGUCUUUGGAUUCGGAGCUCGAAUUGAAGAGGACCUGCCCGUCGGACUUCCUCUUGAAGGUGACCCAAAUGAGUCGGAGAUGUGGCUAAGAAUGAGCUUAGAGCCGGAGUACACUGAGACUUCGAUGGGGUUCUUCGUCUUCGCCUGAAACACGUUUUGGUUUCAAUUGAAAAUGCCAGAGCCUUGCAUGCGAGGAAGAUGACGAUAGGAUUCCAGAGAUAGAGAAAAAAGGAGUAAGACGACGGAGGCGAGAGAAGGGAGACGGCGGCAAGAGGAGGAUAGGACGGAGGCGAGACCGUCUGUAUCGUGGGUCUGUGAGACGUACAAGGCAAGGAGGGUUUGAGAAGGAAACGGAAAAGGCCUGCUUUACCAUUGUUAUUCCCUUCCCGCGAUCAUCAACGCGUGCGCAACAAGAUCAGCGGCAGAGAGAGCAUGUGGCAAAUUUGUAAAUAAAUUGAAAUUCAUCCCAAAACACUGUUUAUUUGAUUUAUUUGAAUAGUGCAAUUGGAAUCCCUUCUUUAGACUAAAGUAAUUUUUAAGUAGAAUUCCAACCGAGCCGUUAGAUUUUAUGCAAGCCAAAACCUUACCAUUAUUCAUACUUGUCAGAAGGCCUCAGAAGUCUCCACUAAAAUGCUUCCCUAAGCACGAGUACAUAAUGAUGCCACUGACAACUAGCUCGUCGAUCACCUCAGCGCUGCGGUUAAUUGCUUCUGCACAAGGCCUUGAUCACGAAUCAAAGAAUCAUGAGACGGGUAGUGUAGCAUAUCGAUCAAGGCCUUGUGGUACUGUCUGGUAGAUAUUAAUAACUUUGAGUAUAUGUUCACAUAGGUUGCCCAUUUCUGCCCAAUGGCAGUUGCAAAUACCAAACUCGUCAAUAACUUUUGCACAUGUACCGUCUAUGACAAUAUUGCAGUUAAGAAUCUUCAAAGCUUUACGCCAAGAUGUUAAACCACUCGCCCACUCAUCUUUCCAAUAUUGUGCAAAAUCAUCCUUCUCAGAAUAUUCAUCAAGCCAGAAGAAGGAAUGUACUUUUGUACCCAGCUUAUCAACCAACCAAUCAACUCGUUUGUACACUCUAGGUUUCUUCUCGUUCAAUAACCUAAGCUUUAGUGGCUGUGCUAGAACUCCAUUGCCGCAGAGGUUUCCUGGCUAGCAAGAGGAAGAGUUUGUAGUGCAGAUACCCACAUCCCUGAGUCAAAAGACAUUUUUCUUGUACGAGUUAUUCAAGAAUAAGGAUCCUGUUUAAAGAGAAGGGGGUGAAGGAAUUAAACGACACACUUAUUACUUCGUAUCAUAAGGCAAAAUAUACCUCUACUAAAGAUGAUAGUAAUCCAUAAAAUCUUAUUCAUCAAGAAAAUCUUCUAUGAAGUCCUCAGACAAACGCUCGGCUCCUCGUUGUUGACAGAUGUUAUCCACUGCCUAACGAAGCCUUCUUGACAUUGUAGUUCGCAUCUUAUUGUCCACACAUUUCUUUACUAAGUUUUUAUGCCAUGCAUGAGGAACCCGCCAAAAGCUUAUCAACACUGAACACUGAAAUACAUCCUUGAGUAUAACGACAUAAAACUGUCAGUAUCAAGUUUGGGCGAGGACUGAGCAACCAACCGGAUGGUGAGCACAUCAGCUAGAGGAUCAUCCACUAUGAAACCACCCAACUUCCAAAUAGGAUUUUUCGUUUGAACUCUAUUGUAAAGAGCUCUCAUCCAUUUAUGGGCAUUGGAACUUCCAAACUUUGGAGCCACUAUCCACGCCACCGGGAUAGUAAUAAUGUUGCAACAUGAACAUAUUCGGUUUCUCAUUAUUAUUAACAAUUGUAGUUAUAAUAAAAGGUUAAACAAACUAAACGGACCUUCAAUUUGGUUGUUUCGAACCUUGAAUCAGAAAGCUAUAAGGUUGUGAUUGUUGAAGCAAAUCAUCUGUUGCAACUGCCACUCUGUUUGAAUGCCCAAAGUGAAAGGGUCCACAUCAGAGAAAUCCUAAUAGAAGAAAACAUGACUCUGAUGGUUUUCUAGCCACAUGCUAAUGCUAACCGCAUCAUCAGCAUCCAAUUCAUAUAUAGAGCGUCGAAUGACCCUGCCUCCGAACAUACCUAUGGGUUAAAAGGUCAUCACGAUUAGAUGGACCACCCUGUUUCUCUACAGAUUCAUUGUGUCUCUGCAUUAUAGUCUUCACAAAGACCCCUGCAUAUAACAAAGAUUGCACAUGAAGAAGCAGAUCUUCAGAGAUACAAGGGGCAAAUAUAGCACGUGUUCCAGCAGCCAUCUUAUCUUGUGGACCAUGGCAUGGCGCUCCUUUCCUAUCUACAUGCUUAUCCUGAUUAUAUAUGAUAAGCGCCACUGAAGAAUACCAAGUAUACCAUCAACCUUUGGUUUGUUAGGCGUCUAUGGCUGCCGCCGUCGCCUCGCUUCAACAUGAAAUCUUGUUGGACAUUCUUUAUUAGAGCAUUCACCCCUUAGAAAAUCGUCAACUCUAGGAAACGAAAUUAUAGCAACUUCAUCUUUCUUGUCCCGCCAACCUUCCACCUUUGACCACACAAGAUCAGAAGAAGAAAACUCCAAUGCAGGUGGAUUUUCUUUGCAACUGGCUUCGUAAAGUCACAUGUUAAUAACAGUAACAGAGGUCCUUUUUACUCUACGCAAUACAAAAGAAAGUCAAAAACUUCAUAUCUGAUAACAAGAAAACAAACAAACAAAAAAGAAGAAACAAUAUAAUUCUUGCAAUACAUUUCCUUCCCAACAAGAGAAGUUCAAAACUUUAGUAAACAAUUAAACUGAUUUCGUCUAUUUUCAUAAAUUCUCAGAAAUUAACAGUCGAAAAACACAAAUUAAAGGGAAAAAAAGUGAAAUUCUUUGGGUUUUCAAAUAGAGAAAUUAUAUUCACACACCUAAAAUUACUUCUCACACACAUUUUUAUUUUAUUUUUUAUUUUCUACACACUACUAACACUUGAUAGAAAAAGAUUAAAAAAUUAAAAGGAUGUGAGAGAAGUAAUUUAGGAUGUGUGAAUAUUAUCUCCCUUUCAGAUAAGUGAAGUCACUAGCUUCAGAGUCACAGAUUGAGCUAUAUCGAUAUGUAUAGUAUCAGGCCAUUUAUGCAAAAAGAUCCCCAUUUUUUCAAAAAAAUGGGGAUUAGGUGUGGGUUCACUCCACAUCGAACUUUAAUGAUCUGAAUUGUCUAUUUUGUAUAGAACCGGAUCCCCUGCAGAUCCCUAAAAACUAAGCCUCCUGAGCAAAGAAUUAGGACCGUUGAAAUUUGAUCAAACUACUACAAACAGGGCCCCUCUAAAAGUUAUAAUAAUUGUAGCCAUUGGAUUAAAUUUCAACGGUCCAAAUUCAUUGCUCAGGGGGCUCAGUUUUUGGGGAUCGGAUUCCAAUUUGUAAGUCUCAUUUCAUAGAUUAUUCUUACAAAAAUUCAAUUUAAUCCAAAAUCAUUUACCUAUUUUGUAAGUCUCAUUCCAUAAAUGUCAUUAUAUACAUCAUUUCAUGUGCUACCACAUUAUUUGGUUCAGUAGCCACUUUACCCUUGGUUCUCUCAGCAGCUACAUCUCCAUUCCCACAGUUAUUCACAUUUGAAGAUAAUACUUCCUCAUUUCCUAAUUCUUGAUCUCGAUUGGUAAAAGAUGCACAUCCAUUGUGGUAUCGUUACUUUCCAAAUUAGCUGGUCCACUUAAGGAUGCGUUUGUUGCACCGAAAUGUCUCAAACUGGACUAAUUUCAAGAACUAAGCUGAUCUGAUUUAGACUAAACUAAACUAGAUUAAAGCAUUUGGUGCAGUAUCAGACUAAGAAGCAGGAUAAAAAUUAAUUUUCCUUUUUUUUUUCCAAAAACAAAGAACUCUAUCUGUUUCUCCAUUUUCUUUGGUCAAACUAUCUCUUCUCAUUUUUCUCCAUCUCUUCCAUUUUCCUUUCCUGUCCAACUCGUUUUUCCUUUUCUUCUCGAUCACAAAUAUACACAGUUCACAUGCAAACCAAUUUUCCAUCAGACCAAACAAAACCCAUCACCUGCCUCAUCAAUCCAACAAAAUUCCCAAACUUUCCCACCCUAAAAUUUGACAAUUCCAUUCAGAUUAAACAAAAGUUAGAGCUGAAAAACUAAGGAAAGAAAAAAAAAAGAGAAAGGGGAGGGAGAGUAAACAUAUCACCAAUAGUAGGAGGCGGCUACGCCGUAUAGCUUGAGGACGAGCAGUAGCGUAAAGGAGAAGAGGAGGCUGUGGGCCGCCAAGGCCUGCACGGACUUCAACACUCUCCGCUAGUUCAUCAUCACAGUAAAACAAUGUCGUCCGCUGCGAAAGUCGAGACUUCAGAUUGUGAGAAAUCUCAGGAGGAGGUUGCUGUUUCAGUAUGUGCCAUUGAAACGAAAGAGGCAAGAAAUAUUCUUUCUCUCCUUCUUCUUUUUCGUCGUUCGGGUUGACCCAGAUGGCAAAAAAUCCCAAAUCACCGACCUAGAUGCCAAAAGGGCACUGGGUUUGCAGGACGAUGGAGAUCGGCGACAACCGUUUCUGGUUUGGUCAUUGGAGAAAGGGGGUUGAUGCUGCUCAUGUAGGUUUGUAGGACGCUGCUCGCAUACGAGGGAGACGGGACUAGCAAUUCCGUUGUUUUUGGGGGCUUGCUAAGACCUCCAAGUGAGGGAUUUAGUCGAGGCGAGUCCUUCUUUGUCUCAUUUAACUUAGUCCCGCCGGUGAACAAACACAGAUUGCACUAACUUUUAACUUAAGCCAGUCCAGUGAGAGCUAAAGAAGGGAAACAAGCACCCUCUAAUUGUUUCUAUACAGAGACUGCUAAAGAAACAGCAUGAUCAAAAUCAAAGAAUCAUGAGGCGGCCCCAGCAAGCCCCUCAGCGGCUCUACAUCCCUCCGUCCCUCCAUCGUCGCACGGCGGAAACAGCCACGACAACUACGAAGACACCGACCUCGACAACAUCGAUUACGACGACAACGAUGGUUCCAAGGACCCCGGGAGUGACGACAACAACCACGGCAACGCUGGCAGCAGUGAUGAGGAAGUCGAUCCUCUGGAUGAUUUCAUAGAGGGGAUUCAUGCGGAGGUGACGUCAGCUAGGCCGCCGAGCUGAAAGUGAAGGCCGAGAAGUACAGGGAUGAUGAGGAGGAGGAUCAUAUGGAUAGGUUUUUUAGGGCUAAAAAGGAUGUGGUGCUCACACUGGCAUCGGGUGCUUUACACGCCGGAUAUGACUCCGAUGAGGAGGUAUAUGCGACCGCCAAGGCCGUCGAUGCCGGGUUGUUGGAGUACGAUUCAGAUGAUAAUCCCAUUGUUCUGGACAAGAGGAAGAUCGAACCGAUUCCAGCUCUCGAUCAUAGUUCAAUCGACUACGAGCCGUUUAAUAAGGAUUUUUACGAGGAGAAAUAGUCGAUUUCAGGUAAAUUCCAACCGAAUUGAGAAUUUUGUUCCUUUCUUUUUUGUUUUCCAUUCACAUUUAAUUUUUUUUUUAUGAAUUUAGUCGAAAUGCGUAGCAAAGUAUAUAAAUUUGAGUGAGAGAGAAUAUUGACCGGCAGAAGUUCUCAAGAAGACAAUGGAAGACUAGAGUUAACUGGUGUUUUGGUUUCCUUGUUUAGGGAUAAGUGAGGAGGAUGUUUUUUAGUACAAGAAGAGCUUGGCCAUCCGUACGUCGGGUUUUGAUAUACCGAGGCCAGUUAAGACAUUUGAAGAUUGUGGAUUUUCUUCACAACUCAUGGCUGCCAUAAAAAAACAAGACUACCAAAAGCCGACACCAAUACAAUGCGCAGCUCUACCCAUAGUUCUUUCCGGGAGAGAUAUAAUUGGUAUUGCGAAAACUGGUUCUGGAAAGACUGCCACUUUUGUCAUUCCAAUGAUUGUCCACAUUAUGGAUCAGCCAGACCUUCAAAAAGAAAAAGGUCCAAUUGGAGCGAUAUGUGCUUCUACUAGAGAGCUGGUGCACCAAAUAUACUUAAGAGUCCAAAAAAUUUGUGAAAUCACAUGGGAUACGUGUCUCUGCUGUAUAUGGUGGAAUGUCUAAGCUUGAUCAGUUCAAAGAACUUAAGGUAGGAUGUGAAAUAGUUGUUGCUACUCCUGGGAAAUUAAUCGACAUGCUUAAAAUGAAGGCACUGACAAUGCUUAGGGCAACUUACCUAGUACUUGAUGAGGCUGAUCGGAUGUUUGACCUUGGGUUUGAGCCUCAAAUUAGAUCUAUUGUUGGUCAGAUUCGGCCAGACCAACAGACAUUGCUCUUUUCUGCAACAAUGCCCCGUAAAGUUGAAAAAUUGGCUAGGGAGAUUCUCUCAGAUCCUAUAAGAGUUACAGUGGGUGAGGUGGGAAUGGCCAAUGAGGAUAUCACUCAGGUUGUUCAUGUAAUUCCUUCUGAUGAUGAGAAGCUGCCCUGGCUUAUUGAGAAGUUACCUCGAAUGAUUGAUGAGGGUGAUGUUUUAGUAUUUGUUUCAAAAAAAGGCUGCAGUGGAUGAGAUCGAGUCACAGCUUGCUCAGAAAGGUUUUAAAGUCACAGCUCUGCAUGGUGACAAGGACCAGGCAUCUCGGAUGGAUAUUUUGCAAAAAUUUAAAUCUGGCAUUUACCAUGUUCUUGUUGCAACUGAUGUUGCUGCUCGUGGUCUUGACAUCAAGUCAAUUAAGUCGAUUGUGAACUUUGAUAUUGCAAAAGACAUGGACAUGCACGUCCAUCGAAUUGGUAGAACAGGUCGGGCUGGUGAUAAGGAUGGCAUUGCAUACACUCUUAUUACACAGAAAGAGGCACGUUUUGCUGGUGAGUUGGUUAAUAGCUUGGUUGUUGCUGGUCAGAUUGUCUCCACGGAGCUCAUGGACCUUGCGAUGAAGGUAAUUUUGCAGUACUAUUAACAAUUUUUUUUUUUUGUGGUUUAUAUAGCGAGUUUAUACAUGCAUCCAACUACCUGCCUUUUUGUUUUAGAGAUGGUGGUUAUAACCAUAGUUUGUAAUCCUAUAAUGCAUUUAAGCGAAUACAAGUUAUUAAUAUGUUCUCUGGUAAAACGUGCUCUUUUAAUGCAAUCUGGAUUCUGGACAAUUACACCUACUGGUUUUUGUCUCACAAAUUAACUACACUCUACUAUAUAGGUGCAUAGGUUGCUUCUGAUUUAGAGUGCGCUUUCGAGAGAGAUGGAUUUGAUGACCAUUUGGUUUUCAAGGCCUUAUUUUGGAAAGCUUCAGUAUGUCCUUGCAAUUACAGGGAUCUUGAGAUCGUUGACUUCAUAACGUCAAGAUAGUAAAUUUCAGGAAACGUGCUUAGUUUAGAGAGAGAGUAAUUAGACAGUAUUUAGUAGUCCCAUCUUUACUUCAUACCAUGCUCUGCAUAGAGAAGGGGUUGUUGGGGGUGUAUGUUGGCUUGUGGGGCUGUGGAUUGAAGCAUAGGGAUGAAUUGAAGAUAAAGCUCAGUCUGGGCCCUCUGGGGACUUAUUAACUUUUGUGUAUUAUUAAGUACUUGCUUGCAUUAUACCAAUACAUCGGUUGAGGCCAACCAACAUUUAAGAACUAAGAGAAAAAUCGCAUUUUAAGUACUAAAUCUUAAUUACCACAUGGACCCUUAGUAAAUUGUCACUUAUUUUUCCUUGUGCCAAUAUAUCUCAUAGACAUAAAUGCACAACUUAUCAUGAUAGGUGGCUGCACCUGCAUUAGUUUUAGAAGUUUUACACUAUGAGAGCCACUCAUGCAUCAUUUAUUCAGUCUUGUGACUUUUAAUUCUUGCCUUGCUGCUUGUAGCUUUAUAUUUUAUAUCCAUCAUUACACUGGUUUCCAUCUCCUACAUGGAUGUGCAGUUAUUUUGGGUGCACCUCGUCUGUGGAACUUUUGUUGCUUUCCCUAACUAUGUUUCUUGUUUGAUAGCUUUAGAUGUUAGCGUGAGACGUUAGAUUUCAGAUCUUACAUUCUCUAUUUUAAUGGGAUUUACCUUGUUUAUUAUCAGGAUGGUAGAUUUAGGUCAAAACGCGAUUCAAGAAAAGGAGGUAUAAACUUUAAUCAUAUUAAAAUUUCAAUUUUCUUAAGAUUCUUUUGCAAUUUCAUAUUAAAUUAGCCUUUUUCUAUAAUUCAAAUGAUGAUAUUAUAUGGAUUUUGCAGGUGGAAAGAAAGGUAGAGGGAGGGGCGGCGGUGGUCGAGGUGUGCGUGGGGUGGAUUUUGGUCUGGGUAUUGGAUAUAAUACGGAGUCCAAUAGUUCUUCAUCGAAUACUAUUCCUAGUCGAUCUGCUGCAGUAACUCCUCAGAGGACAGGAAUGAUGUCUCAGUUCAAGACUAAAUUUGUUGCCGCUUCAUCUAACUCUCCAAGUCAAGGUUUAGCUAACAACUUUAGUGUGCCCAACAGACCGGCAUUACGAGGAUUUGUAUCCGGUGGUUCAAUAGGUGGUGAUGUAUAUAUAACUCAGGCAACCAGUACAAUUACUCCUACUCCUGCUCCAACAUCAAUGGUAAAUAAAACUGCUACUCCGAACACUGGAGAAAAUUCAAGUCAGAAACCCUCCGAAAGGUUAAUUAAAAUGAUGCUUGGUUAGAAUUUUUGAUGUCUUUACAUAUUUGAUUGGUGUUGAGCAGUUUCAUUUGUGUCGAUUGCAGUUCUAGAGAUAAACCCAGAGAAAGGCGGAGGCGCUCCGGUUGGGACUGUUAACCGUACAGUUGAACUACACCACUUUCGCAUCAUGAAUGACAAGUUUUACCUUUGUUGUAGGUCAAGUCCUGAUAUGCCUGUAUUAUUGUUGAUCUUUCUCACUUUCUUUGUCGCUCUGUUUAUAAGUUAAAAAGAAACAGAAGAUUUUGUAAACUCAGAUCGACUUGUUGCACAAAUAGCGGAUGAUUUAAAAGAUAGACUGUUCAGAUCAUUAAAAUACAUUAUGAAGUAGAUUCUACAAAAAGUUGUGCCAUGUAAAAAAAAUGUGGUGUUUCACAUGUGCUCCGUAUGUUAUUUAUAUUAAUCAUUCUGAAUAACAUCAUAACUCAACGAUUGGUAUAUAAUACAAUAAGGCCUCGUUUGAUGUCAAUGAUUUGAUUGGUUUUGAUUAGAUUAGAUUGGCUUAGUCUGGAGAAUUCACUAGAUUCAGUGAAUGUUGAAUGAAAAUAUGGAUUGCAUAUUUUGUUCAAGUGAAGAUGGAAGAGAAAAAGAAUAAGACUAGUAUAACAAAUCAAAUAUUUACGGAGCAUGCAUAGGUUUUUAAUUACAACUAUUCGUCAAUUGAUACUUCUAAUUUUUGGUUUUAAAUGCUAUUAUCUCUUAAAUAAAAUAAUUAUGUUGUUUUAGUCUCCUCAUCGUAUUGUACGUGUCGAAUUCGUGUGAAGUCUGGUGGGACAAGAGAGAGAUAAGGAGGUUGACUUUGAUCAAUUGAUCUCCUUUCCAUAACCAUUUUUCUUUACCUUCAUCCCCUUACACAAAGUCCGUUCUUAAGAUCUCGAGUUCUCUCUCAAUGGCUGCUAAAAGUUCCCGAGAUUCUUCUUCGUCCUCUUACCGGUGUUCCUAUCAUGCCUUCCUGAGUUUCAGGGGCCAGGACACGCGCAGGGGCUUACUGAUCACCUCUAUAGAGCUUUGGAGAUAGCAGGAAUCCACACGUUUAGAGACGAUGAUGAAAUCAAGAGAGGGGAGAAUAUUGAGUCGGAGUUAGAGAAGGCGAUACAGGAGUCACAAGUAUCGAUGUCUUCUCCAAGGACUACGCUUCCUCAAGGUGGUGUUUGAACGAACUUCUGAAGAUCGUGGAACGUAGAAAUACUGAUCAUAGACAUGUGGUUCUGCCAGUUUUCUAUGAGGUGGAUCCAUCCGAUGUCAGGAAGCAGAGUGGUCCUUUUGCUGAAGCAUUUGCCAGACAUGAGGAACGAUUCAGUACGGAGAUGGACAAGGUGGAGCAGUGGAGAAGAGCUCUUGGAGAUGUUGCAUCUUUGGGAGGAAUGGUUUUAGGAGAUCGGUAAUUUCUAUUCUCAAUAUAUUCUUGAGCUUAUUGAAAGUGUUUUAAAUUAAGUAAAAUUGUAGAUAUGUUCCUAUGUAUACAGCAAUUUGUACGAUGAGCAAUCAUCUCCGUACGACAUAUCAUUUACUACAACUUCAUGUAAAAGAAAAUAACUUAUUUCUGCUUCAUGUAUUUUGAUUCAAAUGAAUUACAGGUAUGAGGGGCAGUUCAUCCAAGAAAUUGUUGAAGAGAUUAGAAAUAAAGUGGGUCACGCAGCUUUAGACGUCGCUCCCUUUGCAGUUGGAAUGGAUAAUCGUGUGCAAGACCUAAACAUGUGGCUACAAGAUGGAUCCAAUGAUGUUGGUGUAGCUGUCAUCUGUGGGAUGGGUGGAAUUGGCAAGAGCACCAUCGCGAAAGCCGCGUAUAACCGCAACUUUGAUAGAUUUCAAGGUAGCAGCUUUCUUGCAGAUAUACGAGAAUCUGCAGAACAACCCAAUGGUUUUGCUUGCUUGCAAAGAAAACUUCUUUCAGAUAUCCAAAAGGGGAAAGCAAAGAAAGUAUACAAUAUGGAUGAAGGAACAAUCAGGAUCAAACAAGCCGUUGGCAAUAAAAAAGUUCUUAUUGUUCUUGAUGAUGUGAGCAACCGGGAUCAACUCAAUGCAAUUCUUGGAAUGCGAGAGUGGCUUCAUCCAGGAAGUAAAAUUAUCAUAACAACUAGACAUGAGCAUUUGUUAAAUGCUCAUAAAGUUUUUGAAAAGUUUAUGGUUCAAGGACUGGAUGAGGAUGAAUCACUAGAGCUUUUCUGUUGGCAUGCCUUCAGACAAUCCCAUCCAGAAGAAGGUUACAUGAAGCUUUCAAGACAUGUGGUCCAGCACUGUGGAGGGCUUCCAUUAGCUCUUCAAGUUCUGGGAUCUUCUCUAUCCGGAAAAUGUGUAGAAGUGUGGCAAAGUGCAUUGCAGAAGUUAGACGUGAUCCCUAAUGACAAAAUUCAAAAAGUUCUGAGGAUAAGUUUUGAUUCUUUACAAGAUGAUCAUGACAAAAAUUUAUUCCUUCACAUAGCCAGUUUCUUCACAGGAAAGAGGAUGGAUUAUACAAGUAGAAUAUUGGACAGCUUAGAGUUUUACACAAGGAUUGGGAUUGAAAAUCUAGUUGACAGAUGCCUAGUGAAAAUUCAAUGGAACAGGUUGGUCAUGCAUCAAUUGGUGAGAAAAAUGGCAAUGGAAAUUAUUCGUGAAGAAUCACCUGAUGACCCUGGAAAACGUAGUAGAGUGUUGCAGAAAGAUGCCUCUAAUAUUUUGAGAAAAUUAAGUGUAAGAACUAUGUUUUUCAUAUGUAUGUAUUUUUCGUUAUGAUUUGUAUGUGCAGUACUAGUAAUAUACUUACCCAAUUCUCUGAUUUGUUAGCAGGGUACGGAAAAUAUUAAGGGCCUCAUGCUCAACCUUGCUAGCAAAAGAACGUUUGUUCGAAGUGAUAAAAAACGAUGCCAUGUUGAAGAUUAUGAUGGAAAUUGUUCAAGACGACGUCGGCUUGGUUUCUUCUCUUGGAAGCCAAUUAGCUUUUCCUCCACAAACUCAGCUUCUGCAUCAAAUGAGAUAGAUUUCAAAUCUGAGGCAUUUAGAAGGAUGCAGAAUCUUGAAAUUCUCAUUCUCAACAACGUCAACAUCAGGGGAAGCUACGAAGAAUUUUCAAAAAAUUUAGUAUGUUUAUCUUGGCGGGGAUUCCACUUAAAAUCAAUACCAGAAAAUUUUUGUUUGGAAAACCUGGUUGUUCUAGACAUGCGAAAUAGUAGCCUACAACAUGUUUGGAAUGGGACCAGGGUAUGUAACUCUCUCUCUCUCUCUCUCACAAACACACACAAAUUAAUAGGGGCCAUUAUAUCGUCUUAGAAGCUAAUUCAUUUGUAUUAUUAUUGACACAGGUUAUUCCGAGGCUGAAGAUUCUUAAUUUCAGUCAUUCGCAUGGCCUUAGGACAAUCCCCGACUUCUCAGGACUCUAUAACCUUGAGAGGUUGAUUCUUAAACAUUGCUUAAAUUUGGUUGAGGUUCAUGAGUCCAUCGGACACCUAGAAAAACUUCUUGUUUUGAAUCUAAAAGGCUGCAAAAAUCUCAUGAAGCUUCCAAUAUUGAGAUCUAUUCAGGAUCUUAUUCUUUCUGGUUGCUCAAAGCUUGAAAUGAAGAAACUCAAUCUGGUAUCAUCUAAAUCAUGGUAUUCAGUCUGGUCGUGGGUGUCGCCAAGAAAAAAUACUAAAUUAAGCAGUUUCUCAUUGGCAAGUUUACCACGUUCUCUGACAAGUUUAAGUCUGGAUUGCUGCAAUAUAUCAGAGAUUCCAAGUGCCCUAACUAUGCUGUCCUCGUUAGAGUACUUGAAUCUGGAUGGUAAUCCGAUUACAAGCCUACCAGAAAGCAUGAACUAUCUUGUUAAGCUCCGGACUCUUAAAGGAUCUGAAUGCAGAAACCUCACAACACUUCCAGAGCUCCCACGUUCUUUGACGAGUUUAACGCUGGUUCGCUGCAAUAUAUCAGAGAUUCCAAGUUCCCUAACUAUGCUGUCCGCGUUAAAGUACUUGAAUCUGCAUGGUAGUCCGAUUACAAGCCUACCAGAAAGCAUGAACAAUCUUGUUAAGCUCCAGACUCUUAGAGUAUCUGGUUGCAGAAACCUCACAAUGCUUCCAGAGCUCCCACGUUCUUUGACAAGUUUAAAUCUGGCUUGCUGCAAUAUAUCAGAGAUUCCAAGUGCCCUAACUAUGCUGUCCUCAUUAAAGUACUUGGAUCUUGAUGGUAAUCCGAUUACAAGCCUACCAGAAAGCAUGAACAAUCUUGUUAACCUCCAGACUCUUGAUGUAACUGGUUGCAGAAACCUCACAAUGCUUCCAGAGCUCCCACGUAGUUUGGAACAAUUGCAUGAUAGAGGUUGCGCAUCAUUGAAAAGAAUAACAAAUUAACCGAAGUUGGCCAUGUCACCGGACUUAGAUUACUGGUUUUCUUGCAUAGUAAUGGACCCAAGGCUAUGGUAUUGUGGGAAACUUGUUGAUUUUAGAAGCUUGUUGGAUACACUAGCAUUGGUCUCAUAUCUCUCAGAUCUAUUCGAUUUGGAACCCAAAGGUGGCAUUGAGGUCCAAGGGAACUAUUGUGAGAGUUUGGGCGUCAAGGUUCUCUCUCUCUCUCUCUCUCUCUCUCUUAUGUACAGGUGCUUAUAAUAUGGUGAAUAAGAUCUCUAUGGCGUAAACGAUUAGAUUGUAAUGACAACAUCACCAUGGAACUGCAGGGAACUUUUGACUGCUGCAUAUUGAGCAUAUUUGUUCAGGGGAGCAAGAUUCCAGAUCGGUUCAAUUACAGGAGCAUGGGUAACACUGUGUUCUCUAUUAUUGUUCCUUCACAUCUUAAUCUCAAGAUCGUAGGUUUAAACGCAUGUAUAUUAUAUGCACAGCAGUCGGAUCGGAGCCUUGAGGUUGCACGUGGCCAUGAUCACCGUUCGCUUGAACUUAGGAAUGAGACAAAGGGCCGUAAGUGGAACUUAAGAAUGCGGAAUGAGGUUGAAUGGAACUUAAGAAUGCCGUUGGAUCAUGGGGAACAAUGAGUUGGAAUGCGGGGAAAGAGUGUGUCUUGCAAUCAAAGAGGACAAUGGUUUCCUCACAAAGGAGAUUGGAGUCCAGUUUGUGUACAAGCGGCAAAAUAAGGAUAGGGAGGAUGUGCCAUCAAGUAGUGAAGAUACAACGAUCCAACGAGAAAGAUCUCCUUGGGAGUAGACCCAAAGUUUCCUUGAAACCACAAGACCCCGUGUUCCGGGGGGUGUAGAGACGGGGAUUCAAUGCAUCCAUAGCUGCGAUAAGAAAGUAAUUUCAACUGUCAUGUGUGCGGCUGAAUACUAUUUCUGUAACAGUGACAGGAUCGAGAGGCUCUACCGCAGUGGGUCGUAGGCUUUCGGACUUUUAGCCAAAAUAACCCAGUUUAAUUGAUGUUGGUGAUGCCCAAAUCACUAGAUUCAGAUGUGUAUUGGUUGUUAAGCUUUCGUUUCUAUCUAUUUUCUGUUUCCUCCUAAAAAAUUGUUUUCAAGAAUUUAAUAAAAUUCCAUACCAAACAAGUUCUUGCCUAGAUAAGAGUAUGAACUAGCAAAAAUGCCCGUGCUGCGCUGCGUGGUUGUGUGACACGCAUUUGGUAAGCUUCGGGGGAGAUAAGAGUAAUGGUAGAACUUAAUGAAACUUGGUUGAUUAGAUUUUUUUUUUUUUUUUUUUUUUGUUCAUAGUAACGGGCAUUGUGCAGGUAAGUCAUUUUCUUCAGAGAAUUGGGGAACAGGUUCAUGGUCUUCUUUACACAAAUCUAUGUUUAGUUUACCACAUAGAUUAGUGGCAACGAUCACACGACCAUCGCCAACUACCGCUACUUCGAAAUCAAAAAACCGCAAACUAAGGUUAAGUGUUGGUAAAGAUGAAAGGUUAUAUGUAUUAUGUGACUAAUGACUGAUGUUGCCGAGACACGAAAAACAUGAAGCUUCCUGGAACUAUUUGGUUUAGUGAAAAGUAAAUUUCGAACAUUGUUUCGUGGUGUUACGCAUGCCAACCACAUACUCUGCGGGUGCUCACAAGGAUUCGACAUCUUCUUCCUGAUGCUCCAGAACAAUGGUGGCAAGAGCAAGUCUAUAAGCUGAAGAUCUCAAAUUCCUGACUAGAACAUAUAUUUCCUUUCGUCUUCGCUUAGCUGGCACCAAAUCCCAUUGUUCCUCUCUGAGACGAGCGAGUACAACUGCCUCGCAAAAAGCUUCUGCUACUGGCUUCUUGCUGCAUAUAAAAUAAAAUGCAAUUUAGCACAUGGAAAAUGAUGAACGCAUAGCAAAAUAGAAAGAAAAGAUGGUCGUUGUAAAGUGGCAAGAGGCUGUGAACUAACAUCCCUCUAACAAAACCAGUGGUGACGAAGCCCAUUGGCGAACGAUAAGUUUCUCUAAGAACAGGGUCCUCUGGCAUUUGGAGUUCCCACUUACCAGAAGAUUGCUCUGUGAAGUACGAAGCCACAGCAGAUUGAGGCAUUUGAAGUCCUCCAUCGAAACUCUCUGACCUGCAAGACACACACAUGAAGCUUAUUUUUCAAAAUUAUUGGUCUGCAGCAUGAAUGGUGCUCUGAAAUACGUAUAAAGUCUUUCAAAAAUAGCUGCAAAACUUCAAGUCACUCCCACGAUUAAAAUUUUCAACGGUUACAUUAAAUCUCAGAAAAUUUUCAUCAAUGCAAGUUCUGAAUAAGAGACGUAAUGUAAAUAGGUCACAUUAUCUCCUCUACUAGUAUAUAAAAGACGAGAAAAUUUCAAGCACCACCGUUGUAAUACAAUCAUAAGCUUAUAGGAUAGCAUAUAAAUCAUAAGCUUAUAGGAUAUCAAAGAAAAAAUGACUACCUAGUCCACAGUGAUAUGUCCGUCAGUCGAGGAGCUCCCUCUUCAAGAAAACCUUCCUUGUAAGCAUGGAGUAAUACUCCAACAAAACAUAGUUUAUGAUUGUACUUAAAUCUAGUAAACUGAUCUUGGCCCGGACCAAGCUUGAUUUCGACCCUCAUAAACUUCGUGAAACUUCUCUCCUUAUCAGCGACAUAUGGAAACAGACGUAAAUGACAGCCUUGAAUUUCACUCAAGAAAUUUGUCAGCAAAAAACUCGUCUGUGCGAUAAAACCAUCAAAUGAAUUUCCAUGACAGCCGGCUAAUGUAGUAUCAGAAUUUCCAGAGUCUGAAUUAGUGAUGAAUAGCUUCUGAUGCCAUGUUGCUGCCUAAAACUUUCAGCAUCUCCAACUGCAUUUGAUUCUUCGUUUAAAGCAACUUGGAUACUAUUCCAUGGGGAUAAAAUGGGAACCCUCAAAGGUCUUAUGGCUGGAGGAUGAAGUUCCUCUUUAAGAUUAGAGGCAGCAGCUUCGGUCUCCUUGAGGCAUAAAUAUGCAUCGCAAUCAGGAAAAUCUGAAGGAAUAUAUGGCAACCCCAUCUAGAAAAUAAAAGGGACUUAGAUGCAACAUUCGAUAACCUGAUAUUAAAUAUUAUAAUUUACACGUAAUAAGUUUCAAUGCUUACUUCACACGAAAUCCAGCGCUUCUCUCUCAACCCCAUUGCAUGAGCCCCCUUAGAGACAAGAGAAAUCCAAAAUGCCUUGACCCAGCUUAAGGGGAGUAUAACAGACCAUCUGUAAGGCAAUAAGAGAUAGACUUCUAAGGUAACUUUAAAAAUAUAUCAUACUCAAUUGAACAGAUGAUAAAGUUUGAUGCAUUGAUGGAAUUUUAAGGCGAGUCAGAAAAAAACAGAUUGUCACAUUCUACUUUCAUGAAAUCCAGAACUUCGAAGAUCACGUUAUCAAUUAUUGCACAAAGAGUCAGCAGGAACAUUUAUGCCAUGACUUUCAUGUUUCCGAUAAAAAGACAUAGAACUCCAUAAUAUAUAUCUUAUGAGAAACAAAAUAUAUUAACAGUUUAUAAACAGUACGAACAUACAACUCAGGAGAAAUGGUGCCCACUGAACCCACAUAUAAGCAUUAAUACAAGUACAUAAAAUAUGCAGCAAUUAGCUUAAUCCACAUAACACUAAAUGGAAGAAUAAACCAGGAAAAAAAGGAGUUUACCCAACAUGCAAGCCUCUUCCGUUACUAUCUUCAAAAGCAUAAUCGGGCAAGAUCAUGAGCCCUGUGACGUGGAGGAAGUAUUUAGUUCCCCUGAACUUCAAUCAUCGAGGCUGAACAAAUUCCUAUUCUGGUCAUGUUUUUCCUUGCAAAGAACAGCCUCUUCCACUGGAGGGCUUACUCCACUGCUAACAUCCUACAAAUUGUUUGCUCUGAUCUUGCCAUUACCUGCAGGUUCAUCUGAAAAUCGUCCAAAGAUAACAUGCUUUUUGUCUUCAGCUCCUAGUACAUCACCUAGUAUACUAGCUGAACCUAAAUCUUGAGCAUCUGCAGUGUUUCCCUUCUCUGUUAAUGUGCAAGGAUCCUUGACAUUAAGGGACAAAAUUGCAUGAGAAGGAAUUUCCUCCUCAUUUUUAAGAUGAAUUGUAGAUUGGGAAUCCUCAUCCGCCUUGGCAGCUGAAUGUCUCAUCAACUUCCAAGAAUUAUCUCUAGUCCUAUUCAGCCAGACAACAAAAUUAGCCAUCUUUAACCUCAUUACUUGGUUAUGUCACUGAAAUCCUCUCCGUAACUCACCUGGUAGAAGGGAUUAAUGUCCUUUGAAGGAGUUGAAAUGCUUUUGAUCCCACUAAUUCUAAUUUUGCAAGUUGACCCUCAAGUGAGAAACAAUUAAUCACGAUGUCCCUGCCCUCCAUCUAAGAUAAUAAAGCAUUAUAUGAAUAACAGUAAAUAAUCUACCGAGAACAUGUAGUAUCAUCUAACAGUAUGAGUUCUCUAUUCUGACAUCUACCAAGUCUAGACUAGAGGCAAACUUUGACACCUAAGCACAGCACAAAAACCACUUGAGAUAGCAUUUGAAAAAAAAUGUUGGCUUAUCAGAGAAUCAAGUACAAAGCAUAGAAGUAGACGAGUUUCAGUAUUGCCCUAAAUCAUCAUUCACUCAAAGAAUUCAAUACCAAACCAGGGCUGUUGCAUUCUAUCUUAAGAUCCAUAAAUCAUUAUUUCCUUCCUUCUGACGUGAAGUCAGAUGAGAUUAAGCCUCUAUACACUUGCUAUUGAUGUAUGUGUGAACAAAAAGAAGGAAUGGGUACCUCUUUUUGGCAAGCUAAUUUCAAAGUGUCAUAAGCUUCAGUGAGAGCAGAAGCAUGUAUCCACACCCAAAGCUGGCGAUCAGUAGAAGAGUGGUUUGUACUCUCUAGUCCUUUAAAUUCAUCGCCUUCACAGUCAGCUGCAUUAUUAUCUCUAUUUGGUUGGCCAGAAGGCCGCCACAUACAGUUCACAGGAGCAAUUGGUUUUGAAAGAGGUGCUCCCAAAUGAUGAAGCUGCAAAAAAUGGGUCAUCAAGUCAAUACCUCAAGUCAUCCACAUUCACAAAGAAAAGUGCAAUAGGAUAACUUACCAUAGCAUUAUCAUAUAUGACGCCAGAAAUAACAGAACGGGAAACAUUUUCAGAACGAGUUGACUGAGGAGACACCAUUACCAUGCCUAACACUGAUAGUAACGAAUCCUGGAUGCAUAUGAAGUAGGGUGUAACAUCAUAAUUUAGUAGCAGAAAAUAACAUAUUGCAACACUUUUCCUUUUGAAGAAAAAUAAAUUAAAAGGUAUACAAUUUCAUAGGAAUAAAUUCAUAAGAUAGAAAGUAAAUGCCUGCCUCCGGCCCCUCCAAUUGGAUAGCUACAUGAUAGCUUGCAUCAUGAACAAGCACUCCAUCCCUGAACCACUUCAAGACAGCUCUGGACCCCCUUCCUCUACAUUUUAUUGUUUUUUUUUUUUUUGAUAAAAUAGAUAUACAAGCGAAUUAGUUAUUUAUUGAGAAAUAGAAGAAAUAAUAAGCGAAAAGUAAAGAAUAACACUGCUAAAUUAAUAUGCGUUUUACCUGCCCUGCAAACCCAAGGGAAGGUAGUAACCCCAAAGCUCUGUCAUUGCGAACCGCUUCGCAUGCCAAACAUGUGUUCUAAGCCUCUUUGUACCAUCCCCUGAUGUGCAGAAACCCUUUUCAAGGUUCAUUUUAAGCUCAGCUCUCCUACGAAUGCGAUGAGGAACAUUCUUGUCAUCUUUCUCUGGAGGCAAUGUCAAAGCAUUACUCUGAUCAAGUUUUCUCUAUUUUCUAAAUCUUUUUUUGGCGGCUUGAUUGUCGUAAGCAGUGGUUCUUCUUCUCUUGCUUCUCCGAGACCGGAAAUCAUUGUUCAAUCUGUUAGAUACAAUUGAAUGGAGUGUCUCAAGCUCUGAACCCCGUGAUUCUGCAAACUUUUGGACAUUGAUUUUUCGAGGCGGAGCUGAUGAAACCUGUUGCCGUCUGAAACCAUCGGUAGCCAUUAGACAAAAUUAAACCCCUCAGAUGAAGAACGAUAUUAUACCAGUCUGCCACACAAUUAUAAUCGCCUCUUCACUCUUCGGACAUCAUUGGUCUCUAUUCGCAGUACUACUCUAUUACUCUGAAAUGUCCAAAAACAAAUUGUAAGAUUCUUCAAAGCGUAGCAAUCGCAACUGGUUCCAAUUCCAAUUACUUUUUAUGGCGCAUUUACGUAACGUAAUCAAAAUAGAGGAAUUGAAUUGAGGAGGACUCAGAAUCGGAUUCUAUUGAAGCUGUUGGAAUCGGAUUCUAUUCGCAGUACUAGUACUGUGAAAUGUCCAAAAACAAUUUUUGAGAUUCUUCAAAGCUUAGCAAUCGCAACUGUGGUUCCAAUUCCAAAUAAAUAUAAAGUUCGAAACAAUAGAAAACAUCAGAUACGAAAUUCACAGUCUAACUAACAUGAUAACAUCAAUGAUACAACAACUUCAACUUAACUUUCGAAAACCAAUAUGUAAUGACACAAAGCUAAAUGAGCAACUACUGCGGUAUCCAAUAAAUAUAUAAAGAUUGAAACAAAGAAAACAUUAAGAUAAGAAAUUCUGAAUGCAAUGUGACCAACAAAAUCAAUUACUUGGCACUGGCACUGCCACUGUAGGAAUUUAACAAAAGAAACUCCUCACAUCAACCACCAGUUGCAUUGCGUGUAUCAAAACUCACCAGAUAUGCUCACAAAUUCAUACUAACAAUUAUUUUAAAAACAAAAUCAAAAUAAGAACAAGGAUGCAGUGCAGUGCAGAUUCACUCGAAAACUAAGUGAGAUUGCGGGAUUAUCGGAACUGAAUGGCUUGGAUUUGCGUUUCAGCUUCUGGUUAUCUAGUGGUAGACGUCACAAAAUUAGUAAAAUUAACUAAUUUGAAUGAAAAUAAAGAAUAAAACUUUACCAUGGGAAUCUGCAAGCAGAGAUAGAGAGAGAGUACCUGAGGACUGAGAGAAGAAGAAUAUGUGAGAGGGAGAGGAGAGAGAUUUUGCAGCUGAAGAGUGGAGAAAGAAAGGAGGGAAAAGGGGUACCGAGCAAGUGGCAGCCUACUUGAUACCUGGAGCAAUUUAAUUGAUUACCGUUGGAUCAAUCUCAACGGCUGAAACUAAACACUUUCUGUAUCCAAGAAAAACAAGGCAUCGGACUGAAAACUCCAUUCAGGACUCGGAUUGAUUCAUCAGCGCGCUCACUCUCACUCUGUUGUUUUAAGUGAUGGAUCAUAUAAACUAAGGAAGCCAGAUCGUCGUUGUUUUCAGAGAAACACAUCUUCUCGGCCCUCUCAACUCCGAAACACACACGAGGGAGGCCAAAUGGGCCUCAGCCUUCUUCCUCGCAAUCUCACAACAAACCCAUACCUCUACCAAACGGCCCUCGCAACCUCUACCACUUUCGCUGAUUCAAUCCACGUCUUCGUCGAGGUAAAGACUUCAUCUUUUUCAAUGUUAGAGUUAAUGGGUUUUACCCCUUUACCUGAUCAAGUAUGUAAUCGCCAUUGUAAACUUGCAUGCUAGUUCUUCUCUGAUCAAGGCCAGGAAGUCGACCGAUGCUAAAUUGGAUUAUUCUCACAUCACGGUAAAACAAUUUUUGAAAUUACUGCCUGAAGUUUACUGCAUUUUCGUCACUAAUCUAAACCCAGAUAUGAGAUAUCGAAUAAGUAGCAAAUUGAUUUUGGGAUUUUAGGUUGAGCUUCGGACAGUUGAUGGGUUCUUGAAGGAUAGCACUCAAGAGUUACUACUUCAUUCCCGUUUAUGACAAGGUAUUAUUUCUUAUUCUUUUUCGGUGUCAGAUUUCGCUGGAUCUUUGCAUUUCACGUGCUCUCAUGCUUCAGUGAUGAUGUUGUGUUGUCUGUUAAAUUAUCGGAGGAGAUGGCGAAGAGCUAGACCGGUAAACGGUCGGAUUUAUUGGAUUUGAGUCGGGUUGAAUCCGAUCUGUUAAUUUAAUGGGUCAUUUAAACCCAACCCGUUAAAUUGACUGAUCAUCCGAACCCAACUUGUUAACAUUUUAUCCAAAUCAAUUACAAUCCCGUUUUAUAUAGUAGAAUUCGACUUUCUAUCAAUUAUAUGCAUCUCCUAAUCUUAACAUGGAUGAGAAAAUUGUAUAAGUAAAACACAACUUCGGCAGACCCGACAAUGAUGAGCCCUGCGAGGCUUGUAUUUAGAACACUUUUCACAGCCCCCAUGUCAGAGAUCAAGAAUCAAAAGUUUCAAAAUUAGCUACAGAGAGAAGAAAUCAGCAUUUUUAAUGUGCGGCUAGACGCACUGCCAUAAAGUACUUGAUGACGUGAACUCUUCAAAAAUUCAAUGAAAGUGGGUUGCAGGGGGAAGAGAGAGAGAGCUUUGCUUUUAAUAGUGCAGUACUGCAGUAUUCCGUCGAGUUGAAGAAGACGUCGGAGAGAGUGGUAAUUUCUGAGGAAGAAGGUGAGGGGGAAGUUCUCAGAGAUGACGUGCACACUACUGCAAUAGUGCAAUGCGAGAGAGUGAGGGUUUCAUUAUUACUAUUGAAAUUACACAAAAGCCCUCAAUAACGAGUGUUAACGGGUGGUUAAUGGGUUUCGCAGGUUCAUCCAAAAUAACCCGUUAUUUAACGGGUGCUUAAUGGGUUGACCCCGUUAACUACCCGACCCGAUAAACACUCAUCCACAUACUCAUUUUAACGGGUCAGAUCGGGUUGGGUUAACGGGUCGGAUUUAAAAUGCCAGUGCUACGAAGAGCCAUACACUUGGUAUUGCUUACUCGACUGAAACUCUCUGGUUGGGACUGUUAAUUGUACAGUUGAACUACACCACUCUCACAUCAUGAAUGACAGGUUUUGUUUUUGUUAUAGAUCAAGUCCUGAUUUGCCUGUAUUAUUGUUGAUCUUGGUAAGUUUACUUAUUUAGCUUUAGUUGGGUUCCUAAUUAUGCAUGCUUGUACUUUUUGUUCCAUACUUUGAAAUUGGCUUCAACCGCAAGAUCAUUCAAUUUGGUCACUUUUUUUUUAUAAUUUGGAACUAGUCCCCUAGACCAACCAACCUUCUUUAUAAUUUGACUCCUUCACGUAAAGCCACAUGCCCCCAAAAAUACCCUAAACCCGAAAGUCAAAUUAACUUUUGACCAAAAAAACCAAAUAUUGUCAAAUUAACGGUUUGAUUAAUGGAGGUAUGAAAUUGCUAAAAAAUACAAGUUUGUGUAUGAGAUUAAAAUGCUCUAAAGAUGUUGUAUGAGGUUACAAUUACACUCACACUUAGGAUGUAAAAUGUUAUUUACUUAAUUUUAAUUGUAAAUUUUGAAGUUUUCAAGGGCAAUUUAUGGUAUUUACAUUUAGAAUGCUUCACAAUAUAAAGUCUCCCACUUUAUAGAUAUAGACAAUUUAAUUGUAAAUUUUGAAGUUUUCAUGGAUAAUUUAUGGUAUUUUGAAUGUUUCAUCCUAUAUAAAAUUUAUGGUAUUUUGAAUGUUUCAUCCUAUAUAUAUAUAUAUAUAUAUAUAUAAAGGUUUAUGUACACCUCGUGUAACUUUUUUUUGUCCUAGUUUCAUCAAAGAACUGCUAGUGGGGGAUUCUCCACAAAAAUUGAUAGUCAAAGUCCUCUCAAAUUCUAUAUUAUCCUCAACAUCCCAUUCACUUACGAGGAAACUUCGUCGUCAAUAAGUGUGGAGUGCCUGGUGGCUAAUGGGAACCUUCCUCUUCAUAUAUCAUAUUAUGUCUUGUCCCUCUCAGAAACUGCAUAUAAUUGUCCUUGGCCUUGCAUAUGCUUGCCCUGCUUUCAUUCAUUGCGAGAACCAAGAAGCAGAGGGUUUCUCUAGAUGGAUGCUUUCCGAGAUUCCUCUUCCUCCUCUUACCGGUGUUCCUAUCAUGCCUUCUUGAGUUUCAGAGGCCAGGACACGCGCAGGGGCUUUACUGAUCACCUCUAUAGAGCCUUGGAGCUAGCAGGAAUCCACACGUUUAGAGACGAUGAUGAAAUCAAGAGAGGGGAGAAUAUUGAGUCGGAGUUAGACAAGGCGAUACAGGAGUCACAAGUAUCGAUAAUUGUCUUCUCCAAGGACUACGCUUCCUCAAGGUGGUGUUUGAACGAACUUCUGAAGAUCGUGG